rnacentral:lncRNA from 1 species
UUUUUUUUUUACAACAUAAUUCAAUUCUCAACUUUUUUUCACACCCCAAUUCUUGUUACGCACCCCUAUAGUAGCCACCCCCAACCUAGUGAUUUGCCUUGGUUAAGGUGCACACUAUUUCAAACGGACCAGGGCUAAACAGGUUCAUUGUAACAAGAACCAGGCAAUAAUAACUAAAACUUUCCUCACACAUUUUUUUUCUAAUUCCUAACCAUCAUAAUUAACGCACAAUGAACACUUCUCUAGAGCUUCACUUUCACCUUUUUCCUUUAUAAUAUUGCAUUCCACUCUUAUUCCAUUGUCUGUAUUAAAGCUCUUUGGAACUAUGGAUCGAAUUAAGGUGUAUCAAAGAAAGGAUUUGGCUAUGGAUGAGGCUACCAAAGGAAUCAGGCUAUAGGCUCAAUGAGGCUAACUAAGGACAUGCACAAGGGUAGGUAAAUAAAGUCUUUAAAAUUCGGUUAACAAAGAAAUGUCUAAAUAACUUCCUACACCCAACACCCUUUAUUUUGCUUUGUAAACACACCGGGCAAGUUCUAGUCAUUCCUAUACAUGUAGAAUAUAAAAAAUACUCACUCACUCGGUGUAUGCUAAGAAUCAAGUCGGAUCCUUACGGUUUCUCGUAUUGCUCUUUAUCAAAUUCAAUAUUAAGCAAAUAAAAUCAAACUACACUUGUUGGGAUUUAACAUCUAAAAAUAUCUCAUUCUUUUUUUCAUCACAAUUGCAUUUAUACUCACAAAAUAAAACAUCUUACCCAACACACAACAUGUCUCAAAGAUCACAAUUAGGGUCCUAUAAUUUUCUUAGCUUCUAAAGACUCACUCUCCUUAAGAUGAUCGUCAUCUAUCUAUCAUAGGGGAACUAACUAAGACGAUUACAAAACGAGAAUUUCCAAAAAGGGCACACAUAAUUACUGUUAUCUAAAAAAUUACCACGAGGGGUGAAAAUAAAACAAACACUUUAAACUAAAUUUUCCAAAGAGGGCAAUAAUCUUGCCGAAAAGGGUAAUAAUGUCAACUUAUAAACCCAACAAAACAUAAAAACAUAAUAGAAAUAGAAAUUGUUCAACCAAAACAACCAAACCCCAACAUAGUUCAGAAAUUAAAGAUGAAGGAGAUAAAGAUGAAGAUCAAAGGCCAAACACCCCACACUUAAACAUAGCAUUAUUCCAGUGCUAGUAAUAAGCAUAAAGCAAGGUGAUGUCGUACUCUCUUCUCAAUCAAAUUUCACUAAAGCCAUAGCAUCAUCAUCAGCACCAUCAUCAUAGCUAAAGUCAUCACCUGAAUCAACAUCAUAUAACUGCUCCUCAUCCAUGAACUCAUCAUCAGAAUAACUCAUAUGCCUCUCCUCAUCUGUAGGGAUGUCAUUAUCUACUGGCUCAUCAAAAUCUGAGCCAAUUCACAGCAUAUUCUGAGUGUGAAGUCCUAGUGGGUAGUCCAACUCAACCGCAUGACUCUCCUGUUGGGUGGCUGGAUGCCCCCUGUUUUCUGUUGUAACAUAGUUAGCCCAUAUAUAUGGCCUAUGAUCUUAUUAUUCUGAGCUUGACACUCGGGCAUAGUCAAAUUUACACCAUGGGGAGAAGGUCCCUUAGCGCGGGAAAAAUACAAUGGCCUGUGACCAAUAAGUGGUCUAUAAUCCACCUCCUCCUUGGUCACACCCUACUGCUUGUUGCUUGUUGAAGAUGAUUUUCAUAUCAUGAAACUUAUGACAUCAUGUAAAACACUUGGAUCAUAUGACUUAAAAUAUCAAAACUUACCUAGAUUUUAGUGGAAAAGAAUGAAGAUGAAGUUGAAGCUUGUUGUUAUUGCCAAUAAGUCACAAAACUCUAAAGGGAACAAUUGUAGGGCUUUGAAAAAAUGGUGUUGUGCGGCUAGGGUUAGGAAGAAGGAGAAAAAAUAAGCAAGGUAUGGUAUUUAUAGAGAGGUAAAUUAGGUAUAACAUUUUUAUCGAUAGGUGAAGUCGAAGCGAUGCAUCAUUAAUCACAUUAAAGAAUUGAUGUGAUGCAUCGAGUCCACGUCAACAGACUGGAAGUUGUAUCAAAUAAUUAUUUUAAGUAUUACCUGGAUGACCACCGAAGCAUAGCGAUGAGUAACUCAUUGCAAGACUGACUCAAUGUGUUGACAUCGUGUCAGUUCACUGGAAAUAGCCUUGGAAAAUCUUUCUAAGUGUGGACAUGAUGCAUAUCGACACGACGCAUCGACUUAGCAUUAUUCCAUAGGAAAUUUCGUCCCAAAAACUUUCUAACACUAAAUUUCCCCUAUUUUAAUGCAUCAUUUCUUACCCUUUACCUCUUUCUCACCAUGUAUCACCUAUUUACUUACUCAAAGGCCGAUGUUCACCAUCCUCUCUAUCUUCACCAUAUUUCUCAUUUCUGCACAUCAACCAAAAACAACAAAAUCAUGUAAGAAAAAGUGGGUUGCCGCCCAACAAGCACCUUAUUUUUGGUCGUGGAUUGACUUAUCUUUUUUUAUUUUCUUUUUGUCCUUAACAACUAAAAAUUAAAAUACCUCUUAUAUUACAUUUUUGGGUUGCUUCCCACGUAUUGCCUUAUUUUAUGUCGUGGCACGACUUAGUUCAGUCUACCUCCUCAGAAAAAGUGAUGGACACGUUGUUCUUGUCUCCAUGAUCAUCCUAGUAACGCUUCACACAUUGUCAUGAGGUGUCAUUUGUACUACUUCAAAAUGUCCAGACCACUUAGACCUUUUUUUUCUCAGAAAUAACUUUAAUCUUGAAUUAAAUAGGAAAACAAGUUGCCCGGGGUUCAAACACUCUAUCUUGAUUAUGUCUAUCGUUCCAUAUCUUGGUUUUCUCCGUAUAAAGUAUUCCAUGCUCAUAAGCAUUGAGACUAAAUUCAUCUAAUUCAAUGAGAUGCAACAAUCUAUUUUAUUCCACGGCUUUCAUCUCAAGAUUCAACUUUUUAAUAGCCCAAUAAGCUUAAUGUUCCAACUCAAUACAUAAAUAAAAUACAUUCCUGUAGACCAAACAAUGUGGGGAAGUACCAAUAGGCAUCUUAUCAGCUGUCUAGUAAGCUUACAAUGCAUCAUCUAGCUUUUCUGCCCAAUCUUUUCAUUGCCCACUAACCAUCUUCUACAGUAUUUGCUUAAUCUCCCAGUUGGAGACCUCAACUUGUCCACUUGUUUGUGGAUGAUAUGCAGUGGCCAACUUAUACCUAAAACCAUAUUUAGCUAAAAGAUUCUUGAACCAAGUGUUAAUAAAGUGCGUACCUUUAUUACUGAUUAUAGCUCUUGGAGUGCCAAAAUUGGAAAAUAUUUGCUUCUUCACAAACUUCAACACUACUCUUACAUCAUUAGUAGGGCAAUCUGCAGCUUCCACUCAUUUAGAUACAUAAUAAACUGCCACUAUGAUGUACGAAUUACCAUUAGUGAUGGGAAUGAUCUUAUAAAAUCAAUCCCCCAAACAUCGAAUAUUUCUAGUUCUACGAUGUUGUUUAGGGGCAUCUCAUGACGCCUUAAAAUCGUUCCCAACCUUUGGCAUUGAUGAUAACUCUUUACAAAAGCUUCUGCAACUCGAAACAAUGUUGGCCAAAAGAAUCCGGAUAGAAACACUUUUCUUAUGGUUCUUUCACCUCCAUGAUGGACACCAAAAGGGGAUGAAUGACACCUUUGUAGUACUUGUCUAAAUUAAACUUUUGGAAAACAUCAUCGUAUAAUACCAUCCUGAUCCUUCUUGAAAAGAUGAGGGUCAUCCCAAAUAAAAGCAUGAGAAUCAUGAAGUAGUUUCUUCCUCUAUUGAAUUGUACUUGUUGGAGGAUAAAAGCUACUUUCCAACAAAGUUACAAUGUCCGCAUACGAAGGAACUUCACACUCCUUUAUAGACAAUAAUUUUUUAUCUAAAAACUCUUCCCGAAUGCAGAGAGAGUCAUCAACAUCAUGAUUAUAAGUUUCUAACCUUGACAAAUGGUCUGCAACUUGAUUUUCAGGUCCUUUACAAUCACAAACCUCUAAGUCAAACUUUUGCAAUACAAAAUCCACCGGAUCAAUCUAAGCUUUGCAUCCUUUUUAUUUAAGAGAUAUUUGAUAGCCGUAUGGUCAGUGUGAACAAUAACCUUUAUGCCCACCAAGUAUGCUAUAAAUUUAUCAAAUUCAUACACUACCGCUAAAUCUCCUUUUUAGCGACUGUAUAAUUUAUUUGGGCAUCAUUCAAGACUUUACUAGCAUAGUAAAUAGAGAGAAAUACCUUGUUUUAUCUUUGUCCCAAAAUAGCUCCUACACUUACGUCACUAGCAUCGCACAUCAAUUCAAAUGGAAACUCCCAAUCUGGUGAGCUCAGAAUAAAAGCUUCAAUCAGCCUCUUUUUCAGCUUCUCAAAUGUUUUUUUACACUCCACCCCAAAAUCAAACUUGGCCUCUUUUUCUAACAGUUUGCACAUUGGGCUUGCAAUCUUUGAGAAAUCCAGAAUAAAACUCCUAUAGAAACCUGCAUACCCCAAGAAACUUCGCACUUCUUUAAUUUUGACUGGAUGUGGAAACUUUUCAAUCACUUCAAUUUUCACCUGAUCUACCUUAAGUCCUCUAAAUGAAACUUUGUGGCUAAGGACAAUUCCUUUCUUUUUCAAAAAGUGGCACUUCUUCUAGUUCAGCACCAAAUUUGUUUCCUCAUAUCGAGCAAGCACUCGAUAUAAAUUUUGCAAGCAUUUAUCAAAAGAAUCACCAAAAAUAGAGAAAUCGUCCAUGAAUACCUCAAAAAAUUCUUCAACCAUGACAUAGAAGAUUGCUAGUAAACAUCCCUGAAAUGUCGUACGUGCAUGAAAGAGGCGAAAGGGCAUAUGUUUGAAGGCAUAGGUACCAUAUGGGCAAGUAAGAGUCAUCUUAUUUUGAUCCUCAGGAGAAAUAGUGAUUUAAUUAUAGCUUGAGUAACCAUACAGAAAAUAGUAAUACUCUAGCCAUGUCAACCUAUCCAACAUCUGAUCAAUGAAAAGAAUAGGAUAGUGAUCCUUCCUUGAGGUUUAAUUUAGCAUCUGGUAGUCUGUAUAAAUUCUCUAUCCAGUCACCAUAUGAGAGGUGAUUAGCUCAUUUGCUUCAAAAGUAACCACAGUUAUCUUUUCUUUCUUCGGGACAUAAUGUAUUGGGCUAGCCCACUUUCUGUCUUAAAUUAGAUAAAUAAUCCUAUUAUCAAGCCACUUAAUGACCUCUUUUUCUACCACAUCUUGUAUCACUGGACUCAACCUGCGUUGUUGCAACACUCGUGGCUUGAAACCUUCCUCCAUAUGUAUUUUGUGUAUGCAAAAAGCUAGAUUUAAUCCUGUAAUGUCAGAUAUUUUCCACGUGAUUUCCUUUUUCCUCCUUUUCAACACUAUCAUUGCUUUCUGUACCUACAUAUCAGAUAAUCCUAUAGAUAAAAUAACAUGAAAAGUAUUAUUACCACCAAGGUAAACAUAUUUCAAGUAAGGAGGAAGAACCUUAGGCUCCAAUUUUGGAGCUUCAUCAAUUGAAGCUUUGGGGGAUGGACCAAUUGGUCUAUUCAAUGGCUCAAAAAACACUUUUCUUAUUUCAAUGAAUUUUGAAUUCAUGACUUGGUCUGACACUAAUUCUUCCAUAUCUCCAUAAAUAUCACAACCUACCAAAGCUUGCUCUAAGGGUUCAUCUGACAAUAAAAGCUUCUGAUCAGACUCGAUAUCAAUAACAAAUAUAGCCGAUAACUUCUCAUAUAUAGCUUGAAAUUUUAGCACUUUGUACACAUCAAAAACCUUCAUGUUAUCGUGCGCUCUCAUUGUUAUUUUCCCUGCUUCUACAUUAAUUAAUAAUUCCUCCCAAAAUAAAUGAAACAAUAAGAUCUUCUUCUAAGUCAAGAAUUACAAAAUCCACCGAAAAGAUUAAGGAUCCCACUUGCACCAAGACAUCUUUGAUAAUACCAUCAGGCCUAGCAAAGGACCCAUCCGCCAAUCGCAAAACAAUAGUGGUGGGUUUGGGACUCCCAAGACCUAUUUUAGGGUACUAAGAUGUGUGUAUAAGAUUAAUGCUAUCCCCCAAAUCACACAAUCCAUGUGCACUAAUGGUAUGUCCAAUGGUAAUCUACAAAGUGAAACUACCUGGAUCCUUUAACUUUGUGGGCAGUUUGUUUUGAAUCUUGGAUGUGCACUCCUCAGUAAGUGCAACUAUAGCAUAUUUAGUCAACCGAUUCUUAUUUGCAACUAUAUCCUUCAAGUAUUUUUCAUAUUUUGGCACACUCUGAGAAUGUCAAUAAGAGGAAAAUUUACAUAACCUUUCUUUAUAAGAUCUAAGAACUUCUUGUAACUCUCCUCCUUUUGAUGCUUCCUUUCCCCUUGAGGAAAGGGUAAGGUAAGAGUCUUCUUCUUCACAUGAAUAUCUUCACUUGCCAUUUUUUCCUUGAUUUCUUUCUCCGCAUUAUCUUUGGAACCAUCAUCAGUGACUGUGGGACUCACCUACUCUUGAACUAUCUCCUAAGUUUGCAGCCCACUCAUUGUUGUAACCAUAUUCACCUACUUAGGUUUGUGUCUGUAUCGCUAGGUAAUGCUCCUUGAGGUCUUGUAUUCUAUGCCUCUAUAAUUUGAACUUGUUGCAACUCUAGAUUUCUCAUAAGCAAUUCUUGACUCUUAAACUCUACUGCAAAUUAUUCUUGUUGAGUCUUUAUUUCUGCUGCAAACUGUGCUUGUUAAUCCAUAAACUGCUUCAUUAAAUCCUCCAUAUUGCUAGUUUGAGCAGUAGCCUAAUUGUUCUGAGUCGACUAUUGAUUUGGUUGCACUAGUCCCUUGUAUUGAUUUGCAUUCUAUGCCUGAUUUCCACUCCAUGAGAAAUUUGGAUUGUUCCUCCAAUUAGGAUUAUAUGUGUUACCGAAAUUUUGUUAUCCCCACUGAUUCGCAUUUCCCACAUAGUUUACAGAAUCUGGAUUAAUAGAACAUGCAUAUCCUAUGUACUCACCACUUUCGCAAACCUCACACUAAGAAUUUGCCUUUUGGAUUGUAUUCGUUGUGGCUGCUAUUUAUGUGACCCCCAAAUUUAUGUUAUUGAGCUGAGUAAUCAUAUGAUUUUUCAUUGCUGUAAUCUGCGCCUGUAAUACGGUGAACUGGUCUACUUAUAAUACCCCUGCAACCUUCCUAGGAGUACUUCUUGAAUCAGCAUGCUAGUCAGAAUUCCCUUGUGAAAUUUGAUUCACUAGUGUGUACAAUUCUUCAUAAACCUUUUCAAGAGUCUGUCCACCUACUGCUGAAUCCAAGAGAAUCUUCGUAUUUGGCUCCAAUCCCCUAAUGAAAGUAUGAACAAGAACAUCAUUGGACUGAUGAUCGUGAGGGAAAUUUCUGAGCAUACCCUUAAAUCUCUUCCAAGCUUGGUAGAGAUUCUCUCCUUCCUUCUAUUUAAAACUCAAAAUCUCAUUUCUCAAACGUGUAGUCUUUCGAGAUGGAAAGAAAUAAAUGAAACAAUAAGAUCUUCUUCUAAGUCAAGAAUUACAAAAUCCACCGAAAAGAUUAAGGAUCCCACUUGCACCAAGACAUCUUUGAUAAUACCAUCAGGCCUAGCAAAGGACCCAUCCGCCAAUCGCAAAACAAUAGUGGUGGGUUUGGGACUCCCAAGACCUAUUUUAGGGUACUAAGAUGUGUGUAUAAGAUUAAUGCUAUCCCCCAAAUCACACAAUCCAUGUGCACUAAUGGUAUGUCCAAUGGUAAUCUACAAAGUGAAACUACCUGGAUCCUUUAACUUUGUGGGCAGUUUGUUUUGAAUCUUGGAUGUGCACUCCUCAGUAAGUGCAACUAUAGCAUAUUUAGUCAACCGAUUCUUAUUUGCAACUAUAUCCUUCAAGUAUUUUUCAUAUUUUGGCACACUCUGAGAAUGUCAAUAAGAGGAAAAUUUACAUAACCUUGCUUUAUAAGAUCUAAGAACUUCUUGUAACUCUCCUCCUUUUGAUGCUUCCUUUCCCCUUGAGGAAAGGGUAAGGUAAGAGUCUUCUUCUUCACAUGAAUAUCUUCACUUGCCAUUUUUUCCUUGAUUUCUUUCUCCGCAUUAUCUUUGGAACCAUCAUCAGUGACUGUGGGACUCACCUACUCUUGAACUAUCUCCUAAGUUUGCAGCCCACUCAUUGUUGUAACCAUAUUCACCUACUUAGGUUUGUGUCUGUAUCGCUAGGUAAUGCUCCUUGAGGUCUUGUAUUCUAUGCCUCUAUAAUUUGAACUUGUUGCAACUCUAGAUUUCUCAUAAGCAAUUCUUGACUCUUAAACUCUACUGCAAAUUAUUCUUGUUGAGUCUUUAUUUCUGCUGCAAACUGUGCUUGUUAAUCCAUAAACUGCUUCAUUAAAUCCUCCAUAUUGCUAGUUUGAGCAGUAGCCUAAUUGUUCUGAGUCGACUAUUGAUUUGGUUGCACUAGUCCCUUGUAUUGAUUUGCAUUCUAUGCCUGAUUUCCACUCCAUGAGAAAUUUGGAUUGUUCCUCCAAUUAGGAUUAUAUGUGUUACCGAAAUUUUGUUAUCCCCACUGAUUCGCAUUUCCCACAUAGUUUACAGAAUCUGGAUUAAUAGAACAUGCAUAUCCUAUGUACUCACCACUUUCGCAAACCUCACACUAAGAAUUUGCCUUUUGGAUUGUAUUCGUUGUGGCUGCUAUUUAUGUGACCCCCAAAUUUAUGUUAUUGAGCUGAGUAAUCAUAUGAUUUUUCAUUGCUGUAAUCUGCGCCUGUAAUACGGUGAACUGGUCUACUUAUAAUACCCCUGCAACCUUCCUAGGAGUACUUCUUGAAUCAGCAUGCUAGUCAGAAUUCCCUUGUGAAAUUUGAUUCACUAGUGUGUACAAUUCUUCAUAAACCUUUUCAAGAGUCUGUCCACCUACUGCUGAAUCCAAGAGAAUCUUCGUAUUUGGCUCCAAUCCCCUAAUGAAAGUAUGAACAAGAACAUCAUUGGACUGAUGAUCGUGAGGGAAAUUUCUGAGCAUACCCUUAAAUCUCUUCCAAGCUUGGUAGAGAUUCUCUCUUUCUUUUUGUCUAAAACUCAAUAUCUCUCUCCUCAAGCGUACAGUCUUCCCAGAUGGAAAGAAUCAAAUAAGGAACUUCCAAUCUAGAUCUUCCAAUAAAGUGAUGGAGAGUAGUGAUUCAACAUAUAACCACCUUUUUGCUUCCCCCAUUAGAGAGAAGGAAAAGAGUGUCAAUAUUCAGGAAUAUAAGUAUCAUUUAUUUCCAAGAAUGUAUGUAUGUGCUCUGUGGAUCUUUGUGUGAAAGGCCAUAAAAUUGCCCCGCUGAAUUCAACAAUUGCACCAUACUAGGCUUCAAUUCAAAUUGACCACCUGGUUUUACAUUUUGAAUAUUGUUCGUCACAUGGUUCGUGAGUGGGAUUUCCACUUUACGAAUAGGUCCAAUAGCUAGUUGAGCAGGAACAACUGGAAUAAUCAGAGGUGGGACAUUUUUGACAUUUGGAUCGACUGGAUCAUUUCAUUGUUCAGCCACUCUUCGCCUUUGUUAUUAGAUUAGUUCUAGUUCUGUAAAAGGCUCUACCAAUUCUUUCUCUCUCACCAGUCCUUUAUUCAGCUGAACCUACAAAAAUUUAGUCUGUAAGAUCAAUAUGUUAACACUUAAACUUAAUAUCAAAAACCAAAAAAUUUGCAAUUUACUAAUCAUACUAGUCCCCGGCAAUAGCUCUAAAAACUUGUUGUAACUCAAACACACAUGCAGGUGCACAUGACCAUACAAGUAAUAUAGUAAUUUAGACUAUUAGAUAUCGUUCCCACGAGGACUAAACAACUAGAAAUUUAUCCAACUCUUAGCUUUAGACAAUGAGUAUUUAGUGUUGUAAAGUAUCAAGAUGAUAUUAAAAUUUAGAAUAAAAAUGUAAAUUAAUUAAUAAGAAAAAAAAGUUUAUGACUAAAUCAAAGCAAGCAACUGUUUAAACAAUAAUGAUAAGAAUUCCAGGUGAGUCUUUUCAAAAAAUUAUACAAAUCUCUAUUCUUAUAGCAGUCUAAUUGGUUAUUGGGUUGUUGGUUCACAAGGUUUAGGCUACGAUUUUGGUCUCUCGACCUCAAAUGUUCUAUCUAUUGAAUAUUGUAGCUACAACUCCUGUAGAGAUACAACAAUUCUUCUAGAUUCAUAAAGUAAUCUUCUUGUAAUUAAACCAAACAAGGCUUCUAGGUAUGUCCUUGUCUUAAAUGCUAAUUCAAAUCCCUUAUUUUAAAAAAGGGUGAGAACCUUGCUUCUUAAUUUCUUUGUUCUACCCAACGAUUCUCCUCCCAGAUACACAUAGAAAUAUAAAUUUAUUCUAAUGGUGGCCACUCAUUAAAAUAGUAAGAUCAAGAAAUUAAGAACAACCCAGAUGAUAAUUCAAAAAGAAACUACGAUAAAGAAUAUCAAAGAGUAAUCAUGUUCUUGGCCUCAACCCCAGAACAAGGGUAUUUAGCCACUUAUGUUUCAAUUAAAUAGCAAAAACAAGUAAUUAAUCAUACCCAAAAUUAAUCUUGAAGUAAAGAAGUUCAAAAGGAAAAAUAAGAACCUUAAAAGAAAGAAUUCUAUGCUUUUCCACCGCUGUUGUGCUUGCCCAAAGUGUUUGGAAUUGUGCUCAAGUGUUUGUUUUAUAAUUGGAAAAAUUUCACCAGAUCUGAAGUCUUGUUGUAAUGUGUCACUAAUCACGUUGAUCCAGCCAAUGCGUCGUGUCAACAUCGUAUUGAUGCACUGGAAUUUGUCUUUGAAGAUCCGACUAAGUCCUAUUUCUUAAACACACAAUGCAAAGCAUCCACAUCGCGACGUAUCACUGGAAUUAUCAUCUCAGAUUUUGACUAUGUCUUAAAACUUAUGCAUCGAUGCGACGCGUUGAGUUCAAGUCGAUGCACUGGAAUUGCUCAUUAAAUAUUAGCUAAGGCAUAACUUUUACCAUUCGACACAACGCAUCGAGUUAGCAUCGCUUCACCAAAAUUUUUCUCUAUUUCUUCUCUUAAUUCUCGUACUUGCUCAGCUCUUUUCUUUUCUACUUGCUCUCAUGAAUCCAUGCAUAUUUUUUGACUUGAUCACUAUGCUCUUUCACAUCUUCAUGAUAUGUAUCUAAUUUUCAUCCGAGUCUAUGGGAAAUUUACCCUGUAUCUCUAAUGACAUCAGUGAUCCACGAAACACAAUUUAUCUCAUAAUUCAAAAUAUUAACAGAAAUUUUAUUCUCAAAACAAGUCCAAAUAUUAGUGAAUAGCGGUGUUUGGACCUAUAAAUAUGCUCAAGAUCGAUAGACUAGCAUUAUUAAGUUUGAAUUCCCAACCUCGUGGUUCUUGUUUGUAAGCUUGGGCGGCUAGCAUGGUUGGUUGGUUUCUUUUUUGUAAUAAGAAAAUUUUGGUCAUCUCUCUCCUUUAUCAGAGAGUUUAGAUUAUUUGUUGAGUAAGUUAUGGAAGUGAAGGUAGGUUAGACUUCCCUGGUUUUGUUACUGUUCUAUAGUCAGUAAUUUGGUUUUUUUGUCUGUUUUUGAGUUUGAGAUUCUAAGAAUUACCUUUUGGGUUAUGGAUAUUUUAGCAUUAGCUAUCCUUCUCCAUAGCCUAUUCCUGAGGUUAACCAGUUUGGGGAUCUUUUCUUCUGAUUUGGCUAGUUCAUUGCCCAGUAAUAGUCUUGAUAUUGUUAUCGAGAGGUCUUGGACUUGCCAUUCAGAUUUUUUUAGGUUUGUCUCCUGGUAAUAGUUUGAUCUUGGUAUUGGUAUGAAGUUGGAUACUCUAUUCUUAUUGUGAUGUGGAUCUCAAUUUAGUGAAGUUAAGGGAGGUAGAGAUAGGUAAUCUUUCUUAUGAUUGCUUUUUUAGUUAGAGAAUCAUGUAUUUAUUGUUGAAAUAGAGUUGGUAGCUUAUGCUUUUAUCUUAUGGUUUAUUACCCAUCAUAAUUUUGGUGCUCAACUACUUUUUAAUUUUGACUCCAGUAAGAUCUAGCGAGGAUAUGCCUGGUUUUAGAUUGCGAUGGUGACUUGGAUGUUUUCCCUUAGUUUAGAUUUGUUCUAUCAAAUAUCUAACUUUGAAUCUUGUGAUAUGAUACUUGAGAGUUGUGCUAGAUAUUGGAGUGUGGAUGGUUACUUGUCUGUAGGAUUAUUUCUGAUAGUGAACUUGAGAGCCUCAGCCUUAGUACCGAGAUUUUAGCCCGGAGUUGUAGUGCUUGGGUGCAACGUUUGCUUACAUGUUUUUUUUUUGAAUUUGGAUUUUGUUUAUGGGUUUCCUAAGCCUACUCUUUAUCUACCUAUUCAGUCUUUUUUAGUUUUGAUAGAUUUUAGUUUAUUGAUGUCAGGAUUAUGGCAUGCUAGCACUCGAGGAUGGUUUGGAUAAUCUACUCAGUCGGAGUAGUAUUCUUGAGUUGAAUUUAGCAUAAAUUCAUCCUAGAUUGAUGGUACAUCCUGGAGAGGAUCGUUUAGUGGUGAGUAUUUGUCCUUAAGACUCCUGAUUGCUAGUUUCGAGGUUAAUCCAGACAAGUUGUAGCAUUAGUAUAGAUUGUGGACAUUGGCCAUCACCAUUUGUGUACCAAACUAGUUCCUUAAGGGCUUAUUCUUAAGCUUAACAUUGUGGAUUUCAGCUGAUCAACUUCAGUUUUACAAGGAUAUUCUAAUUAAACUGCGCGGACUAGACUCGGGUGACCUUUUUCUUAGCUUGAAGUGGAUAGCGGAAUUGGAAAGGCAAAAGAAGGUUAUAUGUAGAUAUUGGAGUUCGUCGUAGGAUUUAUGCCUUUGGCUUAAAUUAGCCUUCACUUUGUUGUGUUUGUAGUGUUUUGGUAUCUCUGUGUUGUGGUUCAUAUUUACGUUUAUCAACCAUUCUCGAUUUUGCUGAAGAUUAGUUAGUUGUUGAGGUUGAGUUUUAUUAAUUUAGUAAUGAGGUAAUGAAGUUGGUUUAAAAAUAAAUACCUAUGGAAAAGUCCCUUUAAAGCAUUGUCUCUCUAUAGAGGUAAUACAAGGAGUCGUUCUUGAAGCAUGCGGGCCCAGUACCUCAUCCCUUCAAUCUUUCAUACUCUUUCUAACCAUUGACUUUUGUGGAUGAAAGUCAUUUUAGUAGUGAAAUUAUAAUGACCCUCUAGGUCAUUUUCUUGAUUUACGCACAUUUCUUGUGUUUCAAGCCUCCCCACAGUAGCUACAGGUUACUUGUGACUUUCUAAAACUAUUGGUUUAGAUAUUAGACAGUUGGUUUGGGUUUUAGACUCAUUUUUCGGUUUUAGUGCUUUUUCUAUUUAGUAUUUGGUGUUGGACCAAAACUCUUAGUAUAUGACCUUGGAUGGGAAUUUUAUCAAUGCCACCAGUUGCGGAAAAUUAAUUUUAGGCUUGAGGGACCCUUAGUUCAGGUCCCAAGGCAUCCAAACUCAUUUUUGGGCUAUUGGAUGGAUUGUGAAAAAAUGAAACUAUAGGUAUAGGCCCUACAUUUAGUCAAAACCAUAAAAUAUGGAAGUUUCAAUUGUUCCAUUGAGUCUAGAACGACAAAUUUGGUAUGGUAGGUUAGUUUGUGUGCUUGUGCUAGUUCCAAAUGAAUCCCGAGCACCCGAUAGAAGUCCAUUUUUGGACUUAUCAAAAUAUGAUAAUUGAUAUCUAAUGUGAACUCUUUAGCAGUGAUGGAGUCACUUUAGCGGCAAAAGCUUAAGCAACCAUGAGCCGCUUUACUUUCCUUGUCCAUUGGGUUUAGGUCCACUUUAGUCUUCAAGGGCCUCUUAAGUGGGCACCACUUUAGCUCAAACGUGACUAUUUUUCUGGUACCCACACCUCGUGCCUGACUUCUUUAGCAAAUGUGGAGCCAUUUUAGCGGCAACUGCUUUAGGGGCUAAUUUAGACCCUCUUCAUGCACUAUUUGUGUUUAACCUUUGAGCAAACAUUCCUUAUCCAUUGAUGGACCUCGUGAUGUAUUUAAUUUUGGAUUCCAUUUGUGGGUGCCAUGGGCCCAUUCUUUACUUUGAUUUUGACCCGACCCUUUAUAUUCAAACAUACAACUUAUUUUACUCCUAAUGAUUUAUAGAUUACUAUUUUUAUAGUGUGGAAGUAUUUUGGAAUUGUAGAGCAAAGGUUAAUGAUUUAUGGGUGAUUCAAGGACUUACGGUUUGGCAUCGUGGUAGGCUUCUAUGUAAUCUUCUUCACAAGAUAGUGUGUUAUAUAUAUUGCAUGUUGGUAAGAAUGUUCGGAUAUGAUUAUAGAUAAAUUAAAAUACAUUAGGCUAAUUUAGAAGUUUGUGGAUAGAAGGGUGAAACAACCCUUAAGAUGAAAUACUUGUUAUGCCUAUAAGGUUUACUACUUGACACAGUAGAUUAUUGUGGUUCCGCGUAUUAUUAUGCUAUGUUGGUUAUAUAUUAUUAGGCUCAAGGUCUUUAUUACAAUAUUAGUUGGUCUCCGAGUGAGUGAUUUCUCCUCAUAAAGGACGUAGUUGUAGUCUAUGGAUGUUUAUAUGCUUAUACUUGAAUUGUUUGAAAGCUAGUGAUGGCAUGCAUAGAUUUGGUACAUUCUUUCUCACAUAAUGGUACAAUUCAAAUAAAAACAUGGUUUUUCUACAAUUUUCCUAAAACAAAUUUAUUCUCACUUUUCACUUUUAAAAUAGAUUCUUUAAUAAUGGGAAUCGUGCCAUCUUAAUGGAUGAUUUAUGAGAUUUUGUGACUAAAAAAGAUAUUUUAUAAAUUUGGCGAAGAUAGAUUCCGGUCAAUGAUUUUAGUACUAAUAUUUAGUUUGGUCCAGAGAGUUUUUGACCUUUGCUUCUUUUUUAUACCGAUUUAGUCCCCAAGUUGAUCUCAAGCAACUGAUUCGCAGACUUACACAUUUUAGCCACGAUUCAUGUCUGUGCAUUUAUUACAUAUAUUUCUCUUCGGUAUUGGACGGAGGAGUAUGAUGAUGAUGAUUAUUAUUGGAAAUCCUGGAUCGAGACUAGGUUGAUGUAUACGGGUAGUCUAAACCCCCUAAGGGCCCCUUCGUCCGUGAGCUAUAGUUCCAAAGAAGAGAGGUCGACAUAGGUCAUGCCUUUGCAACUCGUCGCGCUUGAGGAGGUGUAUGCACGGUGAUACAUUAUGGCACAAGGAUUCAUUAUGGUAUCAUGGAUUUACUUUGGAUUCAUUCAUGCAUGGGCAUUGCCUAUAACAAGUAUUUUGUUUGGUACCUAUAUCUAUCAUCCAUAUAGAGGAUACGUGUUGAUAGAAUCGUUCGUUUUACGCGGCCCAAUUAUUGUAUUGUUUGUCGAAACCAUUCAAUUGCUUUAUUUUUAUUAGAGAAAAUAUACAAAGACACGACUGAAGUUGUCCCGAAUUUAUAGGACACUUAAAGUUUGCGGGUAUCCUGUUACCCCACAAAACUAGUUAACACUAUUCAAAAUAACCUCUUUUGACCCAUUUUGAGCCCAUAUAUUUUAUCAUACUAGAGACAUAUGUCAGGAAAAAAAAUUAUUGCACCAUAGAAUUAAAAAAUGCCACAUGUAAUGAAAAAUUUCCACUUUUGUUAUUUUUGUAUUUUACUAUUUGUUGUAUCUUUUCUAUCUUUUUCUUUUGUUUCUUCUUUCUUCUUCCAUUAAUGGUGUCUUGUUUUCCCUCUUCCUCUUCUUCUCCAUUAAUGGGAUGGUGGUGGAUUUUAUAAUGGUCAGUAUUUAUUUUGAAUAAAAAUCAAAACAGAUUAAAAAGGUAAAAAGGAGAUGGUAUAUUAGGCACCAUUUUUCCGGCAAAAUGGUAUUUUCUGACGGCAAAAAAAGUGAUGGAAUUUCGUCGGAUUUAUGAAUUAUAAUGAUGGAAGAAAUCAAUGUUAAAGUGAGCCCGAAGUUUAAUGAAAUUUUAAAAUAAAUUAUAAAAUAAAAUCAUUGAUUUUCUUGAAACAAGAUGAAAAAAUAACUAACCAUAUGAACUCAAAAAAUUAUAUCCAAUUUUAAUUUUGUAAACCUAGUACAACUAUAAUAGCACAACAGGGAUAGAAUGGUUAUUAUUUCAAAAUUUAAAGGUUGAUUAUGGAAACUCUGGAUAGUGGAAUGAAGGAGAAGGAAAUUAUUUGAAUAAAAGAAGAGGAAUUAAGUACACGGAGGGAGGGGGUGGGUAAAUGUCAAGACCUAACCCUACGCAUAGUCGUGACGAGUAUCUCAAUCCCAACCGAGAGCCGGAGACUACCCCCUUAGCCUAGCCAACUAGAACACAAUAUGUUAUAACAAUGAAAGCAACCCAAACAAUCAUAUGGAAGAUAGAUAGACUCAAAAGGAACUAAUAAUCAACAAAAAAAUAACCACUCACACUUUGUCCACAAAAGCCUCUAAACUGAAAUACCAAGUUAGGAUGGAACAUGCCCCCAAUAAUAGCCAGAAAGGUAAUUCAAAAUAUAAAAACAAUCGAUGGAAUUUCGAUAAUCAUAAAGAAGGUGGUGCAAUGUUCGGCCUUCCAAAAUAUGGAGGCUCACCACUUCAAAACAGACUAAUCAACAAACCAAAAUCACCUAAAUCUGCACAAACUAACCAAAACACCUCUAGGAUCCUCCAUCAUGAUACAAUGUACCAUUCAGGAGUGCUUAGCGGGGUGAGAUCUUGCAUGUAACUCAGGGAAGGGAUAAAAUAAUGUCAUAAUCAAAUCAGUCCAAAAUCCUUAAGAAACCAUAUUCACACAUUCAUAUAUGCAUAUAUAUAAGAUGUAGGUAUAGGGAACAAGGUUUAGCAUGAGAUUUAAAAACCAUUAACCUGGAUGGUAUAGCUCUAACCAUCCUAAGGGAACCCAGGGGCUUUAUGGGUUCAACUUUCCCUUCUAAAAAUCAACUAGCACAUGCUAGCCGCAUGAACUAGGAAAAUAUGAGGAAGGGCCAAAACCACUGAGGCUCAAACUAUUCCAAAAAUAUAAAUAAUGUGUGAACUAUGCACAUAAUCACCAAGACCCCAUGCCGGAAAACGUGGUUUCUAGUAUCGGUCCUACCGGGACCUCUACCUUCCAUGGUGAGCUACACAACCCUCUUCAAGCCUAAAUUAAAACCAUUUACACAUUUUUAUCCAAUAACCAUGGAGUCUUUUGAUUGGGCAUUUACCAUUGGUGUCGUCACACAAAAUAAAGUUAAGCUUGCAAGCCAAUUCUAUUAUGCCAUUCCAAACUAAUUAGCAAAACAAACUCAAAAAUUCCAAUUUAGAAACCAAGGAGUCUUUUGAUUAGGAAUUUACCAUUGGUAACGUCAUACAAAAUAAAGUUAAGCUUGCAAGCCAAUUCCAUUAUGCCAUUCCAAACUAAUUAGCCAAAUACACUCAAAAAUUUCAAUUUAGAAACCAAAGUAUGGCCACCAAGGACUUUAAAAAUCAUUUAAAAUCAAACCAUGGCCACCAAGGCUUUACAAAACCAUUUCUUUUCCAUUUAGCUAUUAAUGAAAUGCAAAUGUUUAGUAAAGUAUGUAAAACCAUGUAAGUGUCCAUAUUUCAAAACCAAUUAUGCAAGUGGGAAGAGAUUACUACUAGUCCCAAACCAGAAACCAUAAUUUUUUGGGCAAUCCAUGACCCUGAUCCUAUUCACCAUUCACAUACAUCCAAUUAUUUUAAAAACCACAAGUUAAAGCAUGAAUAACAAUUCAAAAACCAUGGGAAAACCAACAAAGUAACAACCAUUCAAAACCCUCAACCCAUCAUUCCAAACCCAUCAUUUAAAAUCAUAUGAAAAAUGAUUAAACUACUUGUAUUUAUGAAAAGACAAAUUAGGAAAGAGAUACAAGCCUGAAAACACAAAGUAUUUGGAGAGGAAACCACAAUUUUAAUUCAAGGUGCUCAAUCCUUACAAACUGUAGAUUCCUUUUUCUUGGGGAGUGUUUAAGAUGUGAGAAGUGUGUUUUGAUUUGUUUAUUAAUGAUCAUAAGACCCUAGAACUAUUUUUAUGUCCUGGGUAAUGAGUUAAGGAUGAGAAAAUAACAACAAUCCUCAAUAGAAACAUCUAGGAAAACUGCCGCCAGUCGUUAUGGGUCAGGUGAUGACUCAUAAUUAUAGGAUACGAGUCUUUGACUUGACUCAUAGUCUAGGCAGAAACAUUGGGUACCUAUAUUGUUAUGGUCACGAGUUCUUCACCACGACUGGUGACCACACCUUCAGACUCAUAAGGUUUUAGUCAUGGCUAGGCUAGAAACAUUUGACAACCUUACUGGUUAGACCAUAAUAGUCCCUACAUGACUUGUAUAGAGUAACUAUGACUUGUUACCUUAGUCAUAGUAUGGAUAGUGAACUCAAUCAAAAUGAAAAUUUCAGAGUCUAAAAGUUUAGGUAUUACAUUACCCCCGCCCUACAGGAUAAUUCAUCCCCAAAUGAGGAGUCAAGGUACUAAUUAGCAUGAUAACAAGAAUGAAUGCAUACAUACCCAAAUGAUAAAUUUAAAAGGCCACACGAAAGAGAACAAAAAUCAUACCUCAAGGUUUUUCAUCCAAUACAAGGAAUAGGAAUAGAUAUUCAGACCUCAUGUCUUCUUCGGCUUCCUAAGUAGGUUCUUACACCCUUUGAUUCCUCCACCAAUACAUUCUUAGUCCUCAACCUACGGAAUUUUCUAUCAAAAAUAACUAUCGGGACUUCCUCAUAAGACAAGGAAUCUAAAAUACCAACAUUCCCUACAGUGACAACCAAAAAAGAAUCACCCACACAUUUCUUCAACAUCAAUACAUGGAAACCAGAUGAAUGGAACUCAAACUCUAGAGCAAAUUCAAAUCAUGAGAAAUAUUCCCAACUCUCCCCAAAUUUUAAUACAGGACAAUAUAACGGGGACUGAGCUUCCCUUUCUUCCCAAACAUCAUCACUCCUUUCAGAAGAGAGACUUUCAAGAACACCCAAUCACUUACUUCUAACUCCAACUCUCUUUAUCUUACAUCCGCAUACAAAUUAUGGUGAAUUUGGGAAGUCUUAAGCCUCUCUCUAAUCACUUUCACCUUCUCUAUGGUGUGAUGAACCAAAUCAGGACCAAACAACCUAGUCUCACCAACCUCAAAUAACAUUGAUAGGAGACCUAUACCUCCUACUAUAUUGAGCCUCAAAAGGAGCUAUCUAAAUACUCUAUGGUAACUAUUGUUAUACUCAAACUAAAUAAGAGGCAAAUGAUCAACCAAACUACUUCCAAAAUCAAUCAUAUAAGCCCUUAGGAUAUCCUUCAAAUUCUGAAAAAGUUAACCUUAGUCACUAAACCUAUCUAAAAUGAAAGCUAAAAGUUAGAAGAGAAUUGCAUACCUUGGUAUGAAAUAAUGGACACUGGAGCACCAUGCAACUUGAUGAUCACCUGAAUAAACAAUUUAGCAUAAUUCUCUCCAGAGUAGAUAGUUCUUACUAUAAAGAAGUGAGUAGACUUAGUCAUCCUAUAAAAAAUGGCCCAAAUUAAAUAAUACUUAUAGAAAGAUCAAGGAUGAUCCAUAAUGAAAUCCAUGUUGAUUAUCUCUCCUUUCCACACAUGCAACUCUAUCUCAUAAAAUACUCUUUUAGGACUCAAGUGUUCAGCCUUUACCUACUAACACACAGUAAAAUUGGCCAAAAAAUUCACCACGUCAUUCUUUAAUUACUCCUCCAAUAGAUUUCCUUAUGUCACAGUACAUAUUUGUCAAAUUCUAAUGAAUUGUAUACCUUAAAUCAUGAGUCUCAGUCAAAAUACUUUCUCCUAACCUAUCAAUAUCAGGAAUGCACAACCUGACUUGGUGCCUAAUGAUACCAUCUCCCCUAAUCUCAAAUUACAUAACCUUUUGUUGACCCCUAUCUAGCUUAAUCUACAUGAGUAUAGGAUCCAAAGCCUGCUUCUCCUUCACUGCAACACCAAGAGAUAACUUAACCAACACUUAAGAAACUAAUCCUCCAUCCUUAGAGUUUAAAAGAUGAAAUCCUAAAUUUUUCAAUCGAUGAAUCUCCUUCUCCAACCCUCACUUCUCCUCAUUCAUAAGAGAUAAGAUCCCCAUGGAUAACCUGCUAAGAGCAUCAGCAAUAAUAUUAGCUUUACCCAAAUGAUAGUGAAUACUCAUCUUAUAGUCCUUGAGAAACUCAAGAUACCACCUCUGCCUGAGAUUCAACUCCUUCUAACUAAACACAUACUGUAAACUUUUAUGGUCUAAAUAAAUGUUUACAAGCACUCCAUACAAGUAAUGGCACUAAAUUUUCUAAGGAAAAACCACAUCUGCCAAUUCAAAAUCAUGAAUUAGAUAAUUAAUUUCCUGAACCUUAAGUUUCCUAGAAGCAUAGGCCACUACCUUAGCAUGUUGCAUCAAGACAUAACCUAGUCCCAUGUGGGAUACAUCAUAAUACACAACAAAUCCAUCGGUACCCUCGGGCGGGAACAGAAUUUACACAAAAGUAACUUAUCCUUCAACUUCUUAAUGCUACCCUCAAAAGUUGGACUAAAAUAACUUCACCUUGUUUUGAAUCAAUCUUUUCAAUGAAGCAAUAAUAGAAGAGACUCUCUAUAAACCACUGAAAAUACCCAGCAAAGCCCAAGAAGCUCUAAAUAUAAGUUGGAGUCGUGGGUCUAGGACAACUCUUGAUUGCCUUAACUUUUUAUGGAUCUACCUUGAUCCCCUCACUAAAAAUAACAUGCCCAAGAAAAGUUAAAACAUUCAACCAAAACUCACACUUAGAAAAUUUAGCAUAUAACCUUUGAUCCAUAAGUGUCUGCAACAUAAUGUGGAGAUGACUGACAUGAUCCACCUAACUCUUAGAAUACACCAAUAUAUCAUUAAUAAACAUUAUCACAAGCAGAUCCAAAAACUAUCAAAACACCGGGUUCAUGAGAUCCAUAAAGGAAUCAAGAUCACUAGUCAACCCAAAUGACAUAACCAAAAUUUUAUAAUAACCAUAUUGGGUUCGACAAAUAGUCUUGGGAAUAUCAAUUACCCAAAUCUUCAACUGAUGAAAACCCGAAUAAAGAUCAAUCUUAGAAAACCAUCUAGCUCCCUGAAGCUAGUUGAAAUGAUCAACAAUCAUAGGAAGAGGGUACUUAUUCUUCACUAUAACCUUAUUUAACUAUAGAUAAUCCACAAAAAUCUGAAGAGAGCUAUUUUUCUUAUGCAUAAAAUGCAUGGGAGAAACCCACAUAAAAAUACUAGGGCGAAUGAAUCCUUUAUUAAGAAGAUCCUUUAACUGCUCCUUUAGCUCUUUUAAUUUAGUCGGUACCAUUCUAUUAGGAAAAAUAGAGAUAGGGCAAGUAUUAGGUAGAAGUUUAAUACCAAAGUCAAUUUCUUUAUCGGGAGGAAUACCAGUAAGAUCCCCAGAAAAAACUUUAGGAAGCUCAUUGAAAAUAAGGAUAGAUUGCAAUGAGGGAUCCUCAAAUCUAGAAUACUUAAACUGAACAAGGUGAUAUAGACACCCCCUUAGAGAUCUACUUUUAGGCUCUAACAAAGAAAUAAACCUCCCUUUAGGCACUAAGGAACUUCUCUCCUAUUUAAUUAGCAGUUCAUUACAAGAUUGGAAACUAAUAAUCUAGGUCCUACAAUCUAGACAAGCAUAGCAUGAGUGAAGCCAAUCCAUCCCUAAGAUUACAUCAAAUUCUUACUUAUCAAGCUCUACCAAGUCCAUCAACGUCUAUACAGAAUGAAAACUACACAGCCCAUAUAGAUUGUUCUAGCAACCACAAAAUCACCCACUUGAGUAGACACAAAAAAGGGGUCGAUUUUACUUUUAGAACCAAAACCAAAAUGCAUAGCCACAUAAGGGGUCACAUAAGAAAUGUUAAACCCUGGAUCAAGCAAAUAAAACAUAUCUCAAGAGAAAAGUUGUAAUGUAAUUAUAACAACAUUAUGAGAUGCCUCAGAUUCCUGAUAGGUAGCAAGAGCAUAGAGACGAUUCUGGAUAGUAUCGGCACCAGAAGUACCACUAAUUGGCGCAGAAGCUAAGGAUGUGGUAACCAAAACAUUAUUUGCCUUGUGGCUUGCUUAGCUGAGGGAAUGUCUUACUGCAUAUAAUAAAGCUAACCAAAAUUAAAUAACUAAUUUCUCCUAUCAUCCCAAUGAUCUCGGUGAAGUUGAUCACAAAAUAUACAAGGAGGAUAUUAUGGGGCUUACUAAGCUCCACUAGCCUGAUUUUGGGCACCCUGUGCCUUAGGACCACUACUAGUCUGAAAACGGCAAUCACUAGACGACUUCGAAUAAAGAGCACUAGUCAAAGAAUAUGAAAUAGAAUUUCCACAAGUUUACUUUUUACUCCACUAUCUACCAUCACUUUAACUAGCUUGCUGCCCUUCACCUUGUUUUGAAUACCUGAACUUCUUAUUCUGCCUCUCCACCAUCUCCUCUCAUCUCUUCUUUUCAUCCUUUACCUGUUACAUAUAAACCACAAGACUAAGGAUAUCCAUGUCAUUAUUGAACAUUGCAUUCUUACACUUCAAUACCAAAAUCACAAGACAAACCCAAAGCAAACUUCCUUAUUCUAGCCCUCAUAUUACACAUCAAUUCUAGAGUCUAACGAGACAACUGAUGGAACUUUAGGGCAUAUUCCUUCACACUCAUCCUACUUUUCCUUAAGUUUGCAAACUUUUCAACCUUAUUAUCCUUCAACUCUUGUAGAAAUAAAUAAUCAAGAAAAGCACCCAAAACCUUCUCUCAUAUUGCUGCUCAGUAUCAUUACCCCUUAACUACUCCCACUCCUCACACCACAAGUAAGCAACAUCCUUUAACUAGCAUGUAUCAAAUGCUACAACCUCGUAAUCAGUAGUAUGCAUCACCUUAAAUAUCUCUUCUAUCUCAUCAAUGAACCCCUUACGAUCCUUUUAAAGUUUAGAGACUAUAAAUAUUAGGGGAUUUAAUCUUAUAAAUUUUCCAGCCUAAGUAACCUCAGAUAAAACCACACCAGAACCAAUAGGACCAGACUGAUAAGACUGAGAAGACACUAAUUAAGUAAGAAGAUGAAUAGACCUGUGGAGCUCCAUAUUAGAGAUAUCCUCCUAAGGUAAUAAGUGUCACCAGCCGAGGAAGGACUAGUGGGGACAGACAUAAUGUUAGGUGGAGUAGCAUAAUUAGGAACAGGGACCUUAGAUUUGGUAUGCACUCCAUAAGUAGGUUGAGUUGCAUUAAUAAUGUUUGCAGGUAGGACAGAGGGCUUGGUAAAGUUCCUAAGAAAAUUAGAUCUUUAGGGAGGCAUGAUCUGAAAUAUGAGUAAACUAAAAGUUAGAGAAAUACCACGACCCUAGACUCUAUAGCCCAAAAUAGAACCCAAGAAAGGGAAACAUUCCUAAAUGUCUUUUCGCCUCCUCCUGUUAGUGUGGCACGCUAAACACCCAUGAAAGGGAAUCUAUUCUACACGGACUUAUGGACACCCAAUAAGCCUGAACUUAUGCUCUGAUACCAAGCUUGUCAUGAGUCGACCCCUGGACUAGUCGUGAUGGGCAUCUCAAGACCACCGAGAGCUAGAGACCACCCCAUUAGACUAGCCAACCAGUACACAAUAUAAUAUAAUAGCAGAAGUAACAUAAACAAACGUAUAGAAGGUAAAUAGAUAACUCAAUAGUAGCAAAUUAUCAAUAAAUAAUAAUGACCUAUACUUUGUCCAAAAAAGCCUCUAAACAAAAAUACCAAGUUAGGUUCAGAUAUGCCCCCAAACAUGGCUAAAAAGGGAACCUAAAAUAUUAAAAAAGAAACCAAUAGGAUUUUGAUAAUCAUAAAGAAAGUAGUGAAAUGUUUGGCCUUUUAGAAAGAUGGAGGAUCAUGACUUUAAUUCAGACUAAUCAAUGAAUCAAAAUCACCUAACUCAGCACAAGAUGACCAAAGAACACCUAGGAACCUGGAUGAUGAAAUGAUGUAGCCUUCGAGGAUAGUUAGCGGGGUGAGCGCUAGCACGUAACUCAGGGAAGGGUUAAAAUAAUGCCAUAAUUAAAUCAAUCCAAAACCAUUCAAAAACCACAUGAAAGUAUUCAUAUAUACAUAUAUAUAAUAUAUCGGUAUAGGUAACAAGGUUCAUUAUGAGAUGUAAAAACCAUUAAUCUGGACUGUUAUCUUUACCGUCCUAAGGGCACCCACGAUCAAUAUGAGUUUAGCUCCCCUUGUUGAAUGGGUCCCAAUGCCUAUAGAUUUUAUAAACUAGGAAAAUACUAGGAAGGUCCAAAGCCUUCGUGGCUCCAACCAUUCAAAAAAUAUAUGUAUAAUAUGUGAACUAUGCAUUCGGUCACCAAGACCCCUACGCCUGCCAACGUGGUUUCCAGUACUGAUCCCCUCGGUACCUCCACCUUUCAUGACAAGCUACAUAACCUAUUUAAUCCCAAAUUCAAACUAUUUACAAAUUUCCAUCCAUUAACCAAGGGGUCUUUAGUUAGGCACUUACCGUUGGUAUUGUUAUACAAAAUAAAAUUAAUCUUGCAAGACAAUUCCAUUAUGCCAUUGCAAACCAAUAAGCCAAAUAAACUCUAGAGUUCUAAUUUAGAAGCCAAUAUAUGACCACCAAGGCCUUUCAAAACCAUUUACAACAAACCAAUGGAAACAAAGGCAUUCAAAAUCCAUUUAUAUCUAUUUAUCCAUUAAUGAAAUGCAAUAGUUUAGUAACGUAAACAAAACCAUAUAAUUGUCAAUAUUUCAAAACUAAUUAUGCUGGUGGGUUGAAGUUAUUACCAGUACCAAACCAAAAAUCAUAAUUUUUUAUGGAUCCACGACCCCCAUCCUAUUAACCAUGCCCAUACAUCCAAUUAGUUCAAAAACCACAAGUUAAAGCAUGAAUUACAAUUCCAAAACUAUGGGAAAACCAACCAAUUAACAACCAUUAAAAACCCUAAACCCACCAUUUAAAAUCAUAUGAACAAUUAUUAAACACAUGAAUUUAUGAAAACCAAGUUAGUAAAGAUAUACAUUCCUGAAAACACCAAGAAUUUUGUGUGGAAACGACAAUUUGAACCCUAGGUUCUCAAUCCUUAGAAACCCUAGAUUUUUUCUACUUUGGGAGAGUUUACGAAGAGAGAAGUAUAUUUUUAUUUUUUUAUGGAUAAUAAUUAGAUAGUACAAGAGAUUUUAAGUUGUGGGUAAUGAGUUAAGUAUGGGAAAAGACCCAAAAAGCCCAUAAUAAGAACGUGUAGAAAAAUUGUCGCCUAUCGUUAUGGGACAACUGAUGACUCAUAAUAAUUGUCUAUGACUAUUUUCUUAGACUCAUAAUCAAGGAAGAAAAAUUGGGUACCUAUACUGUUAUGGUCAUGACUGCCUCACCAUGACUCGUGACCAUACGUUAUGACUCGUAAGGUUUUAGUAGUCGCCAGGAUAAAAACAUUGGACAACCUUAAUAUUUAGACCAAUAUAGGCAUGGCAUGAAACAUAAGAGUGACUAUGACUCAUCACUUGAGAUAUAGUGUGGACAGUUGUAAUACCUAAGGAAAUUUUUUGUUGAAAUUUUAUGCGUAAACGUAUUGGGUUCUAUCUUCUAGGAUGAAUUAUAAAUUUUUCCAUGUGGAAUGUCUUAGGUUAUGACCCACCAUUGCGUAGAGUAUUAAAUAAGCUUUCCAACGAUAUAUGGAUCAUCCAAAAUGGAUACCCGAGCGACGAGUUAUGAACAUUCCGAUCAAACCAUGAAUAGUAGUGUACAGUAAAACGUGCAGGAAAAAGUACUGAGGCAUGGUGUAUUUUUGCUCCAGCUUUAAACGAUCAUAAAUCCUUGUAUAUAAUGAUCUGGGUGAUCUACUAUAUAUUAACAGAAAGAUAUGAGAGUCCUCUUUCUAAUGAAAUUGGUUUCAUCUAAUUUGUCUAUCAGAGUAAAAUAUUAUGGUUGAUCUACUUUAGACUAUCAAAACAGUCCACCAAAGGAUAGAUUUGAGAAUUAUUUGAUUUUUAGGGGCAUUUUGGUCAUUCCCCCUCACCUAAAAUCCAUCCAAACCCUAUAUUAAAGCCUAUUAGAAACAUUAUAUGUUAUAUUUCAUCAAAUUCCCUUAAAAAGAAAACUCUAAGAUCCUACAUCUAACUUCAAGAACCUCCAAAGUUCACCAUUAAUUCUGCAAAUUUAUUCAAGAUUCCAAGUUCCUACUUCAAGAACUUCAAGAACCUCCAAAGUUCACCAUUAAUUCUGNNNNNNNNNNNNNNNNNNNNNNNNNNNNNNNNNNNNNNNNNNNNNNNNNNNNNNNNNNNNNNNNNNNNNNNNNNNNNNNNNNNNNNNNNNNNNNNNNNNNNNNNNNNNNNNNNNNNNNNNNNNNNNNNNNNNNNNNNNNNNNNNNNNNNNNNNNNNNNNNNNNNNNNNNNNNNNNNNNNNNNNNNNNNNNNNNNNNNNNNNNNNNNNNNNNNNNNNNNNNNNNNNNNNNNNNNNNNNNNNNNNNNNNNNNNNNNNNNNNNNNNNNNNNNNNNNNNNNNNNNNNNNNNNNNNNNNNNNNNNNNNNNNNNNNNNNNNNNNNNNNNNNNNNNNNNNNNNNNNNNNNNNNNNNNNNNNNNNNNNNNNNNNNNNNNNNNNNNNNNNNNNNNNNNNNNNNNNNNNNNNNNNNNNNNNNNNNNNNNNNNNNNNNNNNNNNNNNNNNNNNNNNNNNNNNNNNNNNNNNNNNNNNNNNNNNNNNNNNNNNNNNNNNNNNNNNNNNNNNNNNNNNNNNNAGAUGGGAAGCAUGAUGGCUCCCAAUGUAUAUUUAUAUAUUACUGAAAUUAUUUUUUUGUGGAUUGUCUUUGAAAUGAUUUGAGCUAAGUUCGGGAGAAAUCUUUAGCACAGAGUGGGAGGUAUAAAGAGACCUUACUUCCCUAGAACUACAUGCCCUCGUAGGAGUGAGCAUGAGGCUGAUUUAUAUAGUGAUCACUAGUUUGUGUGGAUUUGAUAUCGAUAGUCCUACUCCGAUGGCAAGGAUAGGAUGGCUCUCCCCAAUGUGGGUUGUACGUUGGACUCCAUGUAGCUCACAUGGUUUUUGUCAGUUAUAGGAUCUCCCAGUGUGUGUGUGUUUCCUUGUGUCUAUGGUGAAUGGUAAAAUGAUUUGAAAGUGGUAUUGUGAAGUUAUUCUUUUGAAAGAUUUAAAUGAUAUUUACAUUAUGAGAAUUGAUAUUCUUGAUGAACUAAAAGUGACUGACAAAUUCUAUGAUGACUCACAUGUGUUAUUGUACUUAUUUCAUCCUCUCAUGAUUAUGAUGAUUUUCUUCGGGCUAUGUGAGUCUUUCAUACAUCCUGCAUAUUUCUUAUAAAUAUAUUUGAUGAUGAUGUAUUAUACAACUGUAUACACCCCCAUAUACUCGGUUCCUUUCUAAGGUACUAACCCACAUCUUCGGAUGUGGGCUGCAUUUUCUCGAAAUAUAGGUUCAGGUGCUCAGUUCCAGGUUCGACAGUGAUUCUUCGGGCACGCUGUUCUACAUUCUCUGUCGUGGUAAGUCCUCAUGUUCCGAGACGUGAUGUCUGAUGUUGGUUUUACGAGAUUGUUAACAUUUCAUAACUGAGUAUGAUUUAGUUGGGGCAUAUCUCAAUAGCUCGCUGGUUGUAUUAAUUUUCUUAGAGGCUUGUCAGACUAGUAUAGAUGUUGGGAGUUGACUAAUAAGUCGUAUUUUGUUAUCUUUCUAAAAAAAUUUUAUUCUUGGAUGAUGAUUACUCUGUUGAUAUUUGAGGGUUAUUUAUGGAACCCCAUUGAUUCGUGUUGAACUGAAUGAAAAUGGCUCAAAGGAUUAGCUUGGGGCUACUCGUAGCCUCAAGCAUCGUGUGACGCUCUGGGACCCAUUUUCAAAGCGUUACAACAGUGAGCUCAAUCUCAAAGAAAAUUUUAGAGUCCAAAACCCGAGGUAUUAUAGUAAAAGAGAGAAAUAAAAGUCAAAAGAGUAAGAGAGAGAAAACAAAGAGAAAAACAUAAUGAAAAAUAAAAAAGAUAUUUAUGAAUAAAUUAUAACAUGUUAAUUAGUAAUUGGUGUGUAUUUUGUAACUAGAUUUUAGAAAUUAGGAUUGAUUUUUAAAAUAUGUAUUAAUAUCAUUUCAAUAUUUUUUGGAGGUAAUAGGAUGUCCGCAAACUUUAAGUGUCUUUUUGAAAACUUGGGACAGCUUCUAUGGUUUCUUUAUGUUUUUUCUAUUUUUAUUAUUAUGGUUAGUCCAUGGUAAGUUUAUUAUAGACUGUUACUGAGAUUUGAGGUAUGAUUCUGAUUCAUUUAUCUGAUGAUUAUUUUAUUAUGAAUAAUUAUCUCAUGGUUUGACAUUAUUGAUUAGGGAUGCCGAUUAUUCUAGCACUUGUUCCUACUAUGAUUAAGAGAAAUUAAGAUAUUAAUAAGACUACCUUAGGUUGUACUUUUGAGUUAGUCAUGUAUAUAUAUAUAUAUAUAUAUAUUCAUGUUGUAUAUCUUUUCUUUGAACUUGUAUACUAUUAUAUGUCAUUUUUCUGCUCUUUAUUUGUAUAUUGGCUAGUGAUAUAUGGUAUAGUGCUUUAGUGAUUGAGAACAUCUAGAAUAGGGUAGCUUAUCCUUACUGCUUCUCUAGUUUUAUUUUUUAGCUUCCUAGAUAUUUGGUUGAAGUUACAUUAUUUCUUCCAUACUAUUUGUAUUUGAAUUAUAUUUUGAGCUCAAUCGAUAAUUUCUUUUGGGUAUCACAUGUUUUGUGCUCAUACUACACUUCUACAACAUACAAAUCAUAGUACAGGUUUUUCGUUGUUUAUGCAUCUUAUAGAGUAGCUAUUGAUUAGAGAUUUAGGGUGAGCUCCUGAGCUUUAGAGUAUUACUAUUCUUUCUAUUAUGGGUUAGAGUGAUCUCUAUGUUGUAUUUAGAGAUGGCAGCACCUGUAUAUUUAUUUAAAACUUUAUUUUCUAUUUUUAUUAUAUUAGAAACACUUGAACUAAUUUCAUUAGGUUUUAGCCCUAUUUUAUAUAUUAGUCUUGUAUUAUAUUUAUUUAACUAUAUUCAUUCAUUUCUUUUGGUAGUCCAUUUCAAGCAUUUCCAAACUGUGGGUUGGGUUACCUACUAGUCAGAUUGUAGUAGGUACCAUCAUGACUUAAGAAGUUGGAUCAUGAUAAAUUGGUAUCAAACCUGGGUUUAUCAGUGUGUUGGUAAAAGAGCUAAGUGUCUUAUAGGGUCAUGUAAAUUGGUACGAAGACAUUUGUUACCAAUUUUUGGGAGGCUAUUGGCCAUUAUUAGGAAAAAAAAAUUUGACUCUUUGUCAUUUGUCUGUAUUUCUAUAAGCCUCAAGUACAUUCUUUGACUCCAAUCUAUCCCAGAUGGAUAAUACGAGGUUAAUGAUAGUUGCAUAUAAAUUUCAACAUAUGUUUCCAGAGCUUCAGCAUAAUGUUAGACUAGGGAUUCAGAGUUUAACACAAAGAUCUUCAGUAUCGAUUAGAGUAUUUGAGGCAAACUCAGGUUUCAAUAGCGUUUGUGAGUGCUUCAUCCUUUCAAAAUUUAGCACUAGGGCUUCUGAGCCAUUAUACGAAUAACUCAUGACUAGAGAUGAAAUCUAAUUAAUCAAGUAGUUAUCAAGGUAGAGUUUGGUUUAUUGAUGUUUAGCAGGGUUCCUUAUUUAUUUUAGAGUAUCAUAUUAGGUUUCUUAAAUGGGCCCAUUAUAUUCUUAUGUUAUAUCCUUCAAAGCAUGAGAUGGUGUAUGGAUUUAUUUAAGGAUUAGCUUUGCCACUCAAUUUAGCAUUAGAGUAUUUAAUAGUAGUUUGGUCUCCCUUCUUUUAGGUAGUUAACUAUGUGAGAUACAUAGUGAAAACAUGUAUUGACUCUUGUGAAUGUGGAAGUAAGAGGACAUGUUAUUAGAAUAGUUUAUAAUAGUCCAUCCAAGAGUGAGGAUCCUUCUAUAUAAGAUCAGCUUCAACUUAUCCAAUCAGUUCUACACAAGUAGCAUUUAAACCAUAGGUAACUCAUAGAUCAAUCAUGGUGAUCAAGGAAGGCACUAUUUUUGUCAGGCCUUAUAGAGUAUUUAAACAUGGAUUUUUAGGCCAUUGUUAUCAUUCUAGAUUAGUGAUUAUAGCACCUCAUAGUAUUCUAGGAGUUUUUUAUGGUUAUGGAGAGAUUGAUCAAUUGUCUAGAGAAUGCUCCAAAUGUGAGUUGGUUAUUCAGACAGAGUUUAUAUGUGUUCCCCACCCGCAGAAGGCUUCUUUGGUAUUUUAUGAUGGCAGGGAGGAUGUUCAUCUAUGUAAGAAGUACCACCGACAUCAGUUGGUCAGCCAGUUAGGGUUGGAUCGUGUUUCUCACUAUAUUACAGCAUCAUGGGCUUGCUAUGACUAAGAUAGAUUGAUCAAUGGUCACGACCCGAGACUACAGAAGCACAAGAAAUCCUAAGCUAACCCAUGAACUAGCAUAAUACUUGAGCAACUGAUUUAGAAUAAAUAAAAUAGCCAAAUUCGUUGUGCGGAAACAUAAUUAUUACAUAAUUUGGAUAAAUAAUACUGAUAAAGUUUACCAUCUGAUAAAACUGAAGAGAGAACUAGAAUUUACAUUUUAUAACUCUGACUGACUAUCUAUGAAGCCCCUACUAUACUGACUGUAAAUAGCUGAGACAUGUCUCCAACUACCACAAUCAAUUGAUAGGAAUAAUCAAAGAAAAGUACAUAACCUACUACUAACUAGAGUCCUCAAAAAAGAAAACUCAUCACAUGCUAGUCAGAAGAUGCAAACUGUCUGAUUAUGUCUUGUAGGCUACAACGGGUACCUACAUUAUAAGACAAUAUAAUUCAUAGACAUACAUAUAGAUUAGUACUUUUAGAAUGUACAUCGUAAACGGGGGUAAAUGCAAUAAGUAAAACUGAGAAGAAAUAAAAUCCUAAAACAUGCAUGUUAAGUACUAGUAGACUCACCAAGAGACUAAAAUAAACUAAAAUUUGAAGUAGCUUAAACAUGAAUAACAAACAUAAUCUGAUAAGUUGGUUCACUAGACUUAGUUACUUAAAUCUUUACUUUUAUUGAAUAAGUAGAUCUGAUGCUAGAAAGUGGUAAAAAAUGAAUAAUGUAUGUAAAUAUUAUGUAAAGCUGACAAUGCUAUAAAACUGGACUAAAGAUCAUGUAUGGGUACUGAACGUGAAAAAUAACUUAAAUAUAUAAAACUAAAAAUAUAAGACCAAGCAUAAACAUGUUUUUGAGAUAAUCUGUAAUCUGAAAGACUGAAACUGUAUAACUGAAUAACUAAAAAUCUAUAUGCUUUGGUCAAGAAGACAUAAGCUAAGAUAUGCUGAAUACUGACUGAAACUAUGGGAGGUAUUAUCUAAUCGACAUGACCCAAUUUGAGCUAAUCAGGGUCCAACUUGUAACCCAGUUGAAAGGGUGUUAGUACCGUGCCACGAGUAUAAAUACUAGCUGUAUGGAUCCACUAAAUUUGAGUCCUAAAAGACUAAGAAGUCACCCUCUACUGGCAGGUGCUCUCAUGAGAUAUAUGUCAACCCUCAACUAGCAGGUAGAUAUUUUAAACCUAUGUUGGCUACAUAGUUUUAUAACUUACGGACAACUACUAAAGAUUACACCCUCUACUAUCAUGUGAGCCCCCAUCCCUGGGUUCGCUCGAUUAUAAAUUCUACUCCCAACUAAACUAACCCCGGUACAGUGACAGAACUAAACUAAACUAAUCAUUAUUACAUAACUGCUAGUUCUCAUCAUGAUCAUAAAUAUCUGAACAAAUAGUAAGACUCAUGUUUAACUAAAUUAUUACUUGAAUGAUCUAAAGUGUAUAUAAAUGCAUAGGUAUUAGGUGUUCAUAAUCCGCAAGCACUGAAUGACCAUAAAACACGAUAUAAACACUUAAAACUUUAGGAUGGGGAAUCAUGGUUCAAAAACCCAAAACAUGAUCAUUCCACCAAAAUAUGUGAGAAUCAUGAACUUCAACAUGGGAAUACGUUAAACAUGAUAAAUCAACAUGAUUACAUGGCUAAAUUCAAAAUUCAGGGAUUUAACAUGAAAUCAAAGGGGCUAUGACAUAGAAGUAAGUGAACUUGAAAAGGGGAUCAUGUUUAUAUGGAUAAAUGCAUGAGGUUAAAAAUUUAACUUGGGAUGGACCAACCAUGACAUAAAAGUUUGGGGUUUGAAUCACAUAGAACCAUAAUGCACAUGAUAAAGCUAAUAACAUGGCUUGAAUGUAAAAUUAGUAAGGAAUCAUAAAUAUAAAUAAAUCUUUAAGCCCUUAAAGCCUGUAAUCUCACUGAAAUAUCAUAAUUCAAGAAUAUGAAUAAUUGGGUAUGAACCCUAAUUGCAAAUCAUGAACUUUAAUCCUUAAAAUAAGUUUUGGGCACAACGAUAAAAGAGGAUCCUUGUUUUUAAACCCCACAUACCCUAAUUGAUGAAUUCUUGAAGGAAUCUUGAAAUUGAAGAUUAAAUCCUUAUGUCAUUGAUAGUAAAAUCUUGGAUAAUUGUUCUUGGGAAAGGGCAGGGUCUUUACGUGAGUUGAUUUAAGGAAUAAUGUUGGGUGUAUUUCCGCACUUUAGUAUUACUAUUCUAGCUUAUUUAGCCUAGUUUUAAGGACAUUCAUGCCCUUAAUGUGUGAAUAUAAUAUAAAUAAGAAUUUAAGUGUUCAAGUGUGUGAUUACAAUGUUCAAAGUGAAUUCCUAACAAGUUUGUACUUAAUUGAGUCAUUUAGAGUGACAUUACUAGCUUUAGCUAGGUGCUUGUCUAGUUGAUCCCAUCAGAGUAUAUUAUGUUUAUAGGGUUUCAAAGGGUUUAAUUUUGUAAUUAUGAUUGGAAUAAAUUGUUUUUUAUGAGCGACGUUCAAUUUUAUUAAGUUAAGAUUCGGAACAAGAAGUUGAAGAUCAUAAUAAACUAGCCCAGUCUUAUCUCUUGUUUUGAUUCAUCGUUAUGGAAUUUGUGUUGUUUAAAUCUCUAAUUCGUGUGGUGUGAUUAUGUAUUAAGAUUUGUGAUAUGAAUAUGGUGAUAUAGUGAUGAUAUAAAGGCUUGAAAUCUAUGGGAAAUACACCACAAGACAAGGGAUGGAAGGAGGGAUGAGCAACACUUAACCAAAUUUGAAGAUGCAAAUUCCAAUAAGGGAUCGUGAUAGGGUCGUGGCGUGACCCUGACUUGACUUGACCAGGUAGUGCGAUGCAACCCUAGCUUAACUUGACCAAGCACCGCUGUGCGACCCUGCUUCAAACACAAUAAAAAAGAUAACUUUGAAUCUUGCCCAACUUAGGUUUUGGACUUCAGCAUAAAUACAUCAUUUUACACAUUAUAAAUCAUCUUUAAACAUAUUAGAGCUUAUAGGAGGCUUCUACAACUUUAUAUCUAAGGUUUUAAUUACUUUAAUUCAGUUUAUUCAUGUCCUUAGUUGUUAAUUAAGAUAGUGUGAUUACAAUUAUGACUAUGCUUGGCUAAACGCCCUCUUUACGGAGUUAAAGCCAAGAACAUGAGUACUAUUAUUUUGAAUUAAUUUUUUUUAAGUUUAUUAUCAUUAUUGUUUGUGUAUUUAUUCAUUACAUAACUAUUUUGAGGCUUGAUCACCCUUAAAAUACAUCAAUUAUCAACCUUUUAAUCUCAAGAGAAGGAAUAGGCAGAUAGAACAUGGGAAUGAACGAAGUAUGGUAUGUAUUCUGUUAUAAAAUAAGGAAUUUAAAUUAGUGUCUAGGAUAGGUAUGUGGUUACUAAUAAGGUAAAAUUGCAAGAUUUGGUGGAAAUAACACCCACUGAGGAGUGUAGUUCAGUGGUCACUCAAAAGAUGCCGAAAAAGCUUAAGGAUCCUAAGAAGUUCACUCUCCCCAUUCAAGUUCACAAUAGCGAGGUGGUCCAGGAACUUAGUUAUUUAGGGAAAAGUAUCAACUUGAUUACCAUAUCUUUGUUCAAUAAACUGGGUUUGGGAAAACUGAGACCAAGAUCUAUACUACUGCAGCUGGCAAACGGGACUAUAGCUCAUCCGGAAGGAGUGAUAGAGGAUGUCCUCAUAAAUGUUGGUAAAUUUAUUAUUCCUACUGACUUUUUUAUUCUAGAUAUUUAGGCAGAUAAAUAGGUACCAAUUAUAUUGGGCUUCCAUUUUUAGUGAUGGGUGGAGCUUUAAUUAAUGUGAGAGUGGGCAUGCAAACCAUGAGGUUGGAGGAUGAAGAGAUGAUAUUUAAAGUUUACAGGUCACUUAACAUACUAUACCACUAUAAGGACUUAUGUAUGAUACUAUUAUUUAAGGGGAUAAGUGUGGGGUGGUUAGUCCACCCAAGACCUCUUCGGACUAUCUCAUUGAGCUAAUUAAGCAGCAACCACCACAGCCUGACAUAAUGCAAUUUGAUAAGCCUGAAAAGGCUAAAGUUGAAAGAUCUAUUGCUGUGGAGAAUUCACACUGAAGAGGUGUGAAAAUAAUAAGAAGAUGGAGACCAAGUCUGAGAAAGAGAAGGAAAGAGAACGACUAAGUCGUUAAGUUGGGUCAUGCCACAACACUAAAUUAGGCGCUUCUUGGGAGGCAACCCAAGUUAAGUAGGUAUGUUUUUUUUUAGUUUUUAGUUUUUAUUUCACAUAGUUUUUUUGUUUUUGUGGAUUCACGGGUUAAUGGGAAGUCUGAGUACCAAAAACUUGAGCUAAGGAGCAUGGCAAAGACUGAGUAUGGGGUCUAUGGAUCUUUGUAAUGUACAAAAGGAUGCUACUACCUAGGCCUACAUUCCGCAGUGAGUACUUCUAUCUCUUAUAUGAAAAGUUCACUUUGGGGAUAAAGUAGAUUUUUAAUUGUGGGGUGGUAAAUUCCCAAUUUUUGGCUCAAUUUAAAAAAAAUUAUGUAAGAUAUUCUUGUUUGUGUUGUUUUUAAUUACAUGAGGAAAGUGGUUUGAUUUUAUAAGAAUGUUGAUUGAUGUGAUUUACUACUUUUAAGACUCUUAGGCUCAUGUUUAUGACUCUUGUCCUUGUUGGCUUAAUGUUGAAUUCAUGUUAUUGCUUGGAUAAGAGUCUAUAAUGAUCCUAUAUGAGUUAAGCAUGUGACAUACGUGUGUGAGGUGUAGUAUAUUCCUUGUUCCAUGUGAUGUGUUAAACUUACCUGGUGUGUGUGCAAAGCAAAAUAAAGAAUGUGAGUUUAGGAGAUGAUUUAGGCAUUUCCUUGAUAGCAUUGUUUUACACCUUCUAAUUGACCCACCCCUUGUGUUUAAUCUCAGUAAGCCCCAUUAAGCCUUCAGGUUUUUCUUUGGAAGACUCAUAUACAGUCUAAUCCCCUUCUUUUACAAACCAUAAUUUGAUCCAAAAAGCUCCUAGGCACUUUUAUUAAAAAUUAAUUGAGUAAGGAGUUUGAAAAAUAAGAGGGAAAAGGUAAAUUUUAUGCCCCCAAGGUAAUAGUUAUUGAUGUUUAUAAUUGAUGUGUGGUAGAAGGGUGUGAUAGACAGUAUGCUAGAAAAAUUACCAUGGUUGUGAAAAAUAAAAAAAAUCAAUUCAUGUGGUAAUAAACAACACUUCCACCAUGUGUUCGUAAAAAUGCUUAAAAGAGAUAGGGCAAAACAAAAGAUAUGGGUGGAUGGAAAAAGUGUAAUUUGGUUGUUGAAGAUUGGUUUUAAAUGUAUAAUGUGGUGUAUUAAAGCACUUAGAGAGGUUAGUCAGUACUCCCAAAAAGUUUCUACCCGUUCCUUAGCCUACAUUACAACCCGAAAAAGACCUAUUUUAUCUUAAUCUUCAUCAUUUAGUUAUUAGUGGAGCACUACUCUAAGGGAAAACUUAUGGUUCAUUAUGUGUAACUUGUGAAUUCCUUAUGAGAGUGAGUAUAAUUUGAUUCUUGUACCCAGUAUGUUAUAAAAUGUGUUGUUGUGAGUGAUUAUGGGUAACUCUCUUAAUAUGGGGGGCACAUGUUUGAUGAUUAUGGGUGAUUCAUAUGAUGUCCUUGAUUGAAUUAUAAGCAUGAGUAUGCAAACUAGGUGAGUAAAUUUUUGAGGAUAGGAUGUUUUGAAGUAGUGUUCAUGAGCUAUCAAUUAUGUAUAUAACAUGCAUAGUGUAGAAACUUACAUUCUGUGUAGUCAAUGUAGUACUAGCUUUAGUAUCUUGCAUUUAGUGCGAGUGUAGAGUAUCCUUAUAUUAUGAUUCUUAGAGUUAAGAGUUUUUCGAGGAUGAACAAUGCUUUAAGUGUGGGGUGGUAAUGUUGGGUGUAUUUAUGCACUUUAGCAUUACUAUUCUAGCUUAUUUAGCAUAGUUUUGAGAAUGAUUCGUGUGCUUAGUGUGUGAAUAUGAUAUAAAUAAGCAUUUAAGUGUUCAAGUGUGUUUUUACAAUGUUCAAAGUGAAUUCCAAACAAGUUUGUACUUGAUUGAGUCAUUUAGAGUUCAAUCGUGGAAACUAGCAUUACUAUCUUGAGCUAGGUGCUUGUCUAGUUAAUCCCAUUGGAUUAUAUUGUGUUUAAAGGGUUCCAAAUGGUUUAAAUGUGUAAUUAUGAGUGGAAUAACUUGUUGGUUAUUAGCGAAGUUCAAUUUGAUAAAUUUAAGAUUCUAAACAAAAAGUUGAAGAUCAACACAGAUCAACACAAACUAGCCUAGUCUUAAUUCUUGUUUUGAUUCAUCGUCAUGGUAUUUGAGUUGUUUAAAUCUCUAAUUCGUGUGGUGUGAUUAUGUAGGAAGAUUUGUGAGAUUAAUAUGGUAAUGAUAUAAAGGCUGUAAAUCCAUGGGAAAUACACCACAAGACAAGGGAUGGAAGGAGGGAUGAGCAACACUUAAACCAAAUAGUAAAAUGCAAAUUCCAGUGAGGGAUCGCGAUGGGGUCAUGGCGCGACCCUGGCUUGACUUGAUCAGGUAGUGCGCCACAACCCUAGCUUGACUUGACCAAGCACCGUGGUGUGACCCUACUUCAAACAUGGCAAAAAAGUGCACUUUGAAUCCUAAACUACUUGGGCUUUGGACUUCACUAUAAAUACAUCAUUGUACACAUUGUAAAUCAUCUUGGAACAUAUUAGAGCCUAUAGGAGGCUGCUGCAACUUCAUAUCUUAGGUGUUAAUUACUUUAAUUUAGUUCAUUCAUGUCUUUAUUUGUUAAUGACAAUCAUGUGAUUACAAUUAUGACUAUGUGUGGCUAAACGCCCUCUUUUCGGGGUUAAAGCCAAGAACAUGAGUACAAUUAUUUUGAAUUAAUUUUGUUUAAGAUGCUUAUCAUUAUUGGUUGUGUAUUUAUUCUUGACUAAACUAUUUUGAGGCUUGAUCACCCUUAGAAUACAUCAAUUGUCAACCUUUUGAUAUCGGGAGAGGGAAUAGGGAGAUAAAACAUGAGAAUGAACAAAAUAUGGUUUGCAUUCUUUUAUAAAAUAAGGAAUUCAAAUUAGUGUCUAGGAAAGGGAUGUACUUAGAUGCGUUACUUGAUUCACACAUAGGAUGACAGCUUAAAGAACUUAAUUGGAUUAUUACUUUCCUGCUCAAUGAUGUAGUUGUAAUGUCCAUAUUAGGUAAAAGAUUAGAGAUCGGGAGACCAUGAGAAUUCAAUUAACCCUACGAAUCAACAACCAAGAUAAGCAAGUUAACGAAUGAAGUUUAAUAACAUAGUAUGGUUUUCAAAGUGCUUUAACCCUGGGUUUUACUCCAUUGAUUGGUUCUAUACCUUUACUUUACGCACUGUUACUUUACUUGAAAUUUAAAAUUUCCAAACUCUCUUUUUGGUUACUCUCACAUCAAUUGAAUCUAAAUUGUAAACUAAAAUAGAAUUGUUGUUAGGGCAAGUCCCUGUGGGAUCGAUACUUGACUUCUUGAAGGCAACUUUACUACUUGAUAGACCAUGAACAUUUUUGUGUCCACUAGGGCACUGUUAAAGAAAAUUGACAAACAAUGAUGUUUUAGGUGCUUUAAUUCGUCCAUUAGACGUUUAGGGCUGAGGGGAAGGACCAAAGUGCCCAUUCACCCUUAUGAAGUUGAAAUAUAGGGGGAAUAAGCUCCGAGUCAUGUCCCAUAUUGCAUUGAUAGAGAAACGCUCCACCGCCAAAUCACGGACCCUUAAUGUCUCUCACGAAAAAAACUAUAACUUUUUGCUCGGGUAUCGGAUUAAUGCGAAAUAGGUAUCGCUAGAAAGAUAAUUAAAUUAUCUAUCAUUUGGUGGUUAUUGAGCUGAAAAAUUCCACAUAUAUUUAAAGUUAUUUAAGUUCAAAUUUGACCCUAGUAGAAUCAAACACCAAAAUUUAGCCUAAUCAAAAGCUCUUAGUUCCACAUUGCUGUAAGUAAUUCCUAUGAACAUUUUUCACCUCAUAAGCACCCCACACACUAGGAUAAUGAUCAUGAAAUAUAUAUUAAAAUUAUUAAUCAUAGGAUUAGAGUUUACACACGUAAGAACAACAGUUCAAUUUCUAGCCUAAAAAUGCGGGGUAUUACAUUAUCUCCCCCUUGGAAUCAUUCGUCCUCAAAUGAGACUAGUUAAAUUGAGAGUACUAAGGUAAUUGAGACUUUAUACUGAACAUUCAUGACUUGGAAUAUGAUUGAAUAACUAAGUCUGAGCAUGAUAAGUGAACUGAAUGGAUUUCAUGAAUACAUGCAAUGACAUAAGAAUGGUUAUAAGGUUGAGAUAGAAAUGAGAGAGUUAACUUAUGAGUAACCAUUACCUCAGGCUGGAUCUAAUUUCAUAAAGAAAAGUUGAGAGAUUUAGUACAUAAAACCUUAGGAUAUUAUAAUACCUCCCCCUUGGGAUCAUUCAUCACCUGUAUGUUACUGACUUGGCUGAAAUACUAAAGAAAGAUUAAGAUGAUACACGGGACAUUUAUGAACUGAAUCAUCACUAAAUAUCUUGAAUCUGAAACUGAUGAAUGAUGCAUGAACUGAGUUGAAUCACAAUUUACAUGGAUGCAAAAAUAUUAUCUCUUGGAAUGGCCAUACUCAUAAUACUUCAGAUAGUAAGACUAGAUCUAAAGAUAGAAAACCACAGGAACUUGCUUGUCUAACUAUUAAACUGAAUUGCUGGCUAUACGGACUAAAUCAUACUGAAAGCUUAUGCUUAACUGGAGUAUUUCAUCAACACUCUUUAUAAGAAGUUAUAAUAAUAUUAGGGAGCCAAGGAUCUUGGGAAUUAUCUUAUUGAGAUAUCUGAGUAUGAAAUUGCAACACGAUUAUAAUUCUGUAACAUGGAACGUAGGGCUAUGAAACAUAAACUAGGAUAGCACCACUAUACCUUAAGUAAGGUAACUUCUAACACUCAAUCUUAGCCCCAAGUCUUAGUUGAUAUACAUACCCUCACAAUGUUGAAUUCUAACUUGAAAUCAUAAGGUACUGCACAUAACACCAUAACACUAGUGUGAACCAUGAAUUCAGUAUCCCAUGCGUUUUCACCACUUCUCAUCUCAAAUUCUUCUUACUAAUUCAACGACUAAAUUCAAACACUUACAGGAAUUCACUAGCUCACAAUGCAUUUAUCCACUUAUAUACCAACAUGACAUUCAAGCCUAUCAUUAUAACCACAUAUGAACUUCUAAACUAACACCCAUAAAAAAGCAACUUUCUCAUAUUCUCUAAACCCCUAUCAAUAAUAGAUUUUUUGCAUUAUCCUUAGAAAGACACACAUAGAAUUCCCAACUAACCAUGACAUAUAAUGAAAUUUCUACCUCAAUCAUCCUUUACACUUAUAGCCUGAGAUACAAUAAGAAUGAAACAAUCAUUACUCUACAAGAAUAUUUACUCUCUCUUAUCUAAACCAUUGAUCAUGAAUUUUUUUCAUCACCUCUAUCUAAACAUUAGGGAGAGGGAACUUAAAGGUUAGAACAUGAGGACCUAAAGCAUGAAAGAAUACUAUGCAUAACUUGGAGACUUAAUUGAGGCCUGAGGAAUAGAUUAUCCAUGGCAUGGAUUCAUUACAGAGAUCAAAACUAACAAUAUUCAUAGCAUAAUCUAAACUUUGCUGAUCAUUAAGAGUGUAGCAUGAGUUCUUGGAAUUGAACAUACAAUAAAGAAUAAGUACAUGAGACAUGAGCUGCAUGACCUGAGUUUGGAGUUUAUGAUUUUAUGGAACAUGAUCCAUACUACUGAAUGAAUUGGAACUCCUCAUACUAGAAAUUAGGAGAGUAUAUGAUUCAAUAGAAAGUGCAUGAAUAUGAGCUAUGAUCAUGGAGCUUACAUGUAAGGCAUGAUUAGGUGCCAUAAUGACUGAAAUACAGCACUUUACAUUGAGAAAAUAAUGGGUUGGGCAUCAUCCUCCCUUGCUGAUGUUCUACAACAUACAGACAUCACUACUAGAAUCUCAGAGCCUGACUUAGUUACUUGUUCUAUCAUCUCCCCCUUAGCUUUAAGCAAUCAUUCUAAGUUUAUAGUCCCCUGUAAUAAACUCUAGACUGAAAUUCAACCAUUUUAAUUUAGAGUUUGAGAUAUCACAAUACACAUAAAUAAUAAACUCAUCCUGAAAGACCAUAUCUUAAAGCAUAAAACCCACUGCUAAAACUUCCUUCUAAGAUAAAACUUUUGACUUUCUAUAGCCCCAAUAGUCAUCAUACAAUAACUCAAACAUUGACUAACUUAGAAUUUUAAGGAGUAUCACCAUACCAUGAGUUUAUACCAACUAGAAUUCCAACUCUUCAUUCUAUUGGUUCAAAUAUCUAUAAUUCAAACUUAGAUUCUAACACGUAGCAUGGGUAUUCCCAAACCUCUAAUGAACCUCACUACUUCUAUCAUAGCCCACUAAUAUCACAUCUCAAAACCUAUAUUUUUCCCUAAACCAUGAGAAUUACCAUUACACUAACAUACUCAACAUCAACAACAUAUAAUUUUGUAUGAACAAACUUAAAUUCUUACAUACAUCAUUUCAAGCCUACUUAUUCACCUUUCAUACAACUAGACCCAUGGAUACAAAAUCUACUAAGUCCAGAUAAAUAUUAUAUCUAAUUUACUACUGCUAAACUUCUAUGUUUAUGCUUCUAACUCUAGAUCACAUGCUACCAUAGGAUUUUGAGAAGGGAUUUGAAAACACAUUUGACUUUGUCUUAUUGCACAAUUUUCAUGAAUAUGAACAAAAUUUUUCAUACUUUAGAACAUAACUACACUGAUGGGAUACUUUUGAGUCUACGUAUAAUCCUAUAACUUUUUGCUGGGACUGUUUGAGAAAACUCUAUCGAUAGAAAUUUAAGCUUCACUGUUUCUAUUACCUAGAAAAUAGAGUAGAGUUGACAUGAAUGGAGAAUGAUAAGAAUCUGCAUGAGUUUCUUAAAGAACUUUUCUAUAGAACAAUCUCAAACAUGAAAGAAGGGAAAUAUUUCUUAAAUGCCCUAUAGCCUUUUGUAAGAAAGUAUAGUUAUCUCCAUACCGUUCGAUAAGACUUUACUAGACACGACUUUAUAGACACCAUAUGACACUUAAAAUUUGUUCUCUGAUACCAAGUUUUGUCAUGACUCGAGACUAUCUCCUAGUCGUAACACAGUUCGUAGAAGCAUAAGUGAUCCCAAGCUAACCUAUGAACUUGCAUAAUACUUGAUCAAUUGAUUUAGAAUAAAUAAAAUAUCUAAAUUCAUUGUGCGGAAACAUAAUCAUGACAUAAUCUAUAUAACUAAUACUGAUAAAGUUUAUCAUCUAAUAACCCUAAAGACAGAACUGGAAUUUACAUUUUAGAACUCUGACUGACUAUCUAUGAGCCUCUACUAUACUGAAUAUAAAUAGCUGGGACAUGCCUAAAACUACCAAAAUCAAUACAUUUGAAUAAUCAAACAAAACUGCAUGAACUACUACUUACUGGAGUCCCUGAAAUAAGAGAACUUAUCACCUACUAGCUGGAAGCUACAAACUGUCUGAUUGUGUCGUAUAGGCUACAACUGGUACCAAUAUUAUGAGAAAAUAUAGGACAUAUAUAUAUAUGGAUCAGUACUUCUGGAAUGUAUUGAGUAAGCGGGGGUGAAUGAAAUAAGUAAAGCUGAGUAAAUACAAAAUUCUAAAACAUGCAUGUUAAGUGCUAGUAGACUCACCAAGAGACUAAAAUUGAUUGAAAUCUGAAGUAGCUUAAAAAUGAGUAACAAAGAUAAUCUAAUAAGCUAGUGAAUCACUACACUUAGUUACUUAAAUCUUUACCUUUGUAGAAUUAGCAUAUCUGAAACUGGAAAGUGGUAAAACAUGAAUACUAUAUGUAAAUCUCAUGUAAAGCUAAACAUGCUAUAAAACUAUACUGAAGAUCAUGUAUGGGUGUUGAACGUGAAAAAUAACAUGAACAUGUAAAACUGGGAUAUACAAGACAAAGUAUAAACAUGUUUCUAUGAUAAUUUAUAAUAUAAAAGACUGAAAUCUAUAUAACUGAAUAACUAAAAAUCAAAAUGAUUUGGUAAUGCAAACUUGAGCUGAGACAUACUAAAUACUGACUGAAACUAUAAGAGGUAUCAUCUAAGAAAUAUGCCCCAAUCUGAGCUAAUCAAGAACCAACCUGUAACACUCAUUAAUAGGGUGUGAGUACCAUGUCAUGAGUACUAACACUGGUUGUAUAGAUCUACUAAACUAGAGUCCUGAAGGACUAAGGAGUCACCCUCUACUGGUAGGUGCUCUCAUGAGAUAUGUUUCAACCCUCAACUGGCAGGCAGACAUCUCAAACCUAUGCUGGCUACAUAGUUCUGUGACUCAGGGAUUUCUACUAAUGGUCACACCCUCUACUGGCAGGUGAACCCCCAUCCCUGGGUUCACUCUAUGCUAAAUCCUACUCACAACUGAACUGGCACUGGUACACACUAAACUAGGCUCUACUGUACAUUAUUACAUAACUGAGAGUGCUCAUAAUGAUCAUAAAUAUCUAAGUAAAUAAUAAACUCAUGGUUUUACUGAAUUAUUAGUUGAAAGAUCUAAAGCAUAAGCAAACAUAUAUGUAUUGGGUGUUCAUAACCCGCUAGCAUUGAAUCACCAUAAACCACGAUAUCAACAAUUAAAAUUGUAAGAAGGGAAUCAUGGUUCAAUAACCCAAAACAUGAACAUUCUAUCAAAAACUGUGAUAAUCAUGAUCUUGAACAUGGGAAUGUGUUAAACAUGAUAAAUUAACAUGAUUACAUGGCUAGAUUCAUAAUUCAGGGAUUCAACAUGAAAUCAAAAAGGCUACAACAUGGAAGUAAGUGAAAUUGAAAAAGGGAUCAUGUUUAUAAGGCUAAAUACAUAAGUUUAACAUUUGACUUGGUAUUGAAAAACCAUCAUAUGUAAGUUUGGUGUUUGAAAAACAUAGAACCAUAAUCCAGAUGAUAAAGCUAAUAACAUGGCUUGAAUGUAAAAUUAGUGAGGAAACAUAGAUAUAAUUAAUUCUUGAUGCACUUAAAGCCUUUAAUCACAUGGAAAUAUCAUAAUUCAAGAAUAUGACUAAUUGGGUAUGAACCCUAAUUUAAAAUUAUGAAAUUUAAUGUUUAAAGUAUGUUAUGGGCACAAGAAUGAGAGAGGAUCCUUAUUUAUAAACCCCACAUACCUUAAUUGAUAAACUCUUGAAGGAAUCUUGAAAUUAAAGCUUGAAUCCUUUUGUUCUUGAAAGAAAAAUCUUUGAUUAUUUCUUUUGGGAAAGGGGAGGAUUUUUACAUGAGUUUAUUUGAAGAAGAUGAGCAAAUACUGCCCUUUUGGGGGCUUUUAUUCGUGCCUUAGACGUUCAGGGCUGAGGGGAAAGGGCCAAAGCAUCCCUUGGCCCUGAAGAGGAUGAAACAGAGGGGGAAUAAUCACACUUCGCAUCCCAUAUCAUGUGUAAAGGAAAUGUAUUGCACCCUAAAUCACAUAGAGAGAGCAACGCGUCGCGUCCAAAUCACGGACCCUUACUACCUCUCACGAAAAAAACCAUAACUUUUCGCUCAAGAAUCGGAUUAAGGAAAAAUUGGUAUCUUUGAAAAUCUAAUUAAAUUACCCAUCAUUUUUUGGGUAUUGAGCUAAAAAAUUUUGUUUAUUUCAGAAGUUAUUCACUCUCAAAGUUGACCCUAGUAGAAUUGAAUACCAAAAUUUGGAAAAAUCAAAAGCUCUUAGUUCCACCUUGCUCUAAGUGAUUUUUAUGAACAUUUUUCACCUCGUAAUCACCCCAUAAACUAGGAUAAUAAUCAUGACAUAUAUUUAAAUUAUAAAUCAUGGUAUUAGAGUUUACACAUGUAGGAAUGACAAUUUGAUUUCUAGCUCAAAAAUGUGGGGUGUUACAUCACUUGUCCAGAAAGUGUCCCUGGCAUUGGUCAAUAGUCAUUCAACUUGUACAGAUUAGUAUCAUGGUGUUUUAUCACAUUUAAUUAGAUGUAGUGCACUUAAAACUUCAAUUGGUGAUUAAGAUGCUUAGUCCGUUUUUUGGACUACUCAAACUCAUAACUCCUUUGGAAACUUUGAGGAUGUGACUUCAUAUUCCACUGUGAUAGGUGUGCAAUUUUAUUUUCUUUAAUUAGCCUUUAAUAGAAGUGUAUUAGGGUUUUCAGACCCUCUGAUGGUUGUGUUCCAUAAUAUGUAUAUAUUGAUUAAUGUGCUCCAUAGUGUACGAUUCAUGGUUAUAUCACUACUCAUUGGGUGAUUUCAUUUUGUAAUAGAUGGAGUAGAUCAAUAUUAAUAUUUCCUAUGGGUGUAAUAUUUGUUUACGAGUGCCAUCUACUUUUUUAUAUUUGCAUCUUUAUGUCCCUAUAUUGGUACUUGUUAUUGAUAUUAAUUUUUGGUGCGACCUAAUCUUUACAUGGAUGAUUAUACUUUUGUUGUUAGUAUUUUCACUAUUCUGUGUUGAUCGAACCUUGCUUUAUAGGUGUCUAGACUAGCAUUAUAUAGUAAGAAUUCCCUUACUAGUCGUUCUUAUUUGCUUGCUUGGGUGGCUAUCUCUGUUGGUUGGUUUCUCUUUUGUAGCAAGAUGGAGUUGGUCAUAUUCCUUCUUUUUUAUGAGGUUAGAUCGAUUAUUGAGUAGGUUAAGGUAGUGAAGUUAGUUUGGACAUCCUUCAUAUUUUUAUGGUUAUAGAGUCAAUAAUUUAGUUUUAUUCCAUAUUUUUGAGGUUGUGAUUCUGAGACUUGCUUUUUGGUUUGUAGGGAUUUCAACAUUGGUUAUCCUUCUCUAUAGCCCAUUUUGAGGUUGACUAGUUGGGGAUCCAUUCUUCUGAUUUGUCUAGUUCAUAUCCCGAUAGUGGUCUUGAUAUUGAUGUCUAAAGGUCUUGGACUUGACAUCAGGGUUUGGCCUCAUCUCCUAUUUAUAGUUUGAGUAUUUGUUGAUGAGAUAGAGUUGGUAGUUUGUGUUUUCAGCCUGUGGUUUAUUCCCCAUCAUGAUUUUGGUUCUUAUGUACUUUUCAAUUUUAGCUCUGACAGGAUUCAGUAGGGAUAUUCCUUAUUUUUUUAUCGCAAAGGUGAGUUGGGUUUUUUCCCUUGGUUUAAACUUGUUGGCUAAUGUCUCAGACAUUUACUCAUGUGAUAUUCUACUUGGGAGUUCUACUAAAGAUUGGAGUAUGGAUACUUCCUUGUCUACUGGAUUGUUUUGGAUAGUGAGCUCCAACGCCUCAGCCUUGGUGUCGAGAUUUCAGCCCAUAGUUGUAGUGUUAGGGUGAAGUAUUUGUUUUUAGAUUUAUCUUAGUUGGGCUUUCAUUUAUGGGUUUUCUAAGCCUACUCUUUGACUACCUAUGCGAUCAUCUUUAGUUAUAGAAGAUUGUUUUUGAUUUAUUUUGGGGACAGUGGCCUAUUGGCACUCGAGGAUGGUUUCUCCUACCCUUAACCUUGAUUUUCAGUUUUCAUCAAGUAUUUAGAUAAUCUACUCAUCUGGAGUAGUAUGCUUAUCCUCGAUUGAUGGGACAUCUUUGAAAGGAUGAUUCAGUGGUACGUGUUUUUGCGUCGGACUCCUAUUGUCAGUGUCGAGGCCAUCCAAACCCAUUAUAGAAUUGGCGUAGAUUACAGACAUUGGUAAUCACCAUUUGUCUACCCAUGUAGUGUCAUAUAGGCUUAUUCUAAUGCUUGACAUUUGGAUUUCACCGAUUAACUUCUGUUCAUCUAGGAUAGUGCGAUGGAUCUAUACGGAUAGGACUCAAGUGAACUACCUUUUGUCUUGGAGAGGAUAGCAGGGUUGGAAAGGCAAAAGAACGUUAAAUUUAGAUAUUGGAGUUUGUCACAAGAUUCAUGCCUUGGAUUGCCUUUGGCUUGGAUAAGUCUUCACUUGGUUGUGCUAGUAUCAUUAUGCUAUUGGUGUGUUGUGGUUUGUAUUUACGUGUGUCAACUAUUCUCAAUUGAGAUAGAGGUCAGAUGAUUGUUAAGGUUAAGUUUUGAUAGUUUGAUAUAUAAAGUAAGUAAGUUGGUUGAAAAAGGGGAUACCUAUGGCAAAAUCUCUUAAAAGUGUCGUCUUACCAUAGAGGUGAUAUAGGGAGUCAAACUCGGAGCUUGCGGUCCAGUAACUUAAGAAUGAUCAGAAAUCUCAACAAAAUCCCUACCUACAUAAAUCAAACUCUAUGUAGAUAUACAAAGAGGAAGUCUUAAUCACCAAACUAAGCAAUGAAUGCUCUCAUACUCAGUAGUCAGAAUAGAAGUAGCAUGCCUAGCCAACUCAUAAAGUCGAGCCUCAUACUCUAUAAUAGUCGUGGAGCUCUACUCCAACCUCAAGAAUUGAUCCCACAGAUAAUUCCUAAGAUUGCGAGGCAUAUACUUCUCCAAGAAGAUCUCAAAUAAUUGAGACCAUGUCAAUAGGGGAGAUCCAACUGACCUGUAAUCAAUAUGACCUGUCAACCAAUGUCGAGCUUCAAAAUUCAACUAAAAAGUAGUGUAAUUCAUACCAUGAGUCUCAGCUAGGCCAAAAUUACGGAGUCUACUCUCAAAAUCAAUCAAGAACUCAUAAGCAUCCUCUCCUGGUGCAACAGAAAACCUAGGGAGAGGCAAUCUAAAGAAUCUACCCAACAUCUUUUAUUCGUCAUCCAAUAUAUUAGGUUGGGAAACUAGCAUAUGAGCAACCACCAAUACAGGAGGGACCUCCAAUCUGGGAGCUAAAGCUACAGGCUGCGCACUCACUUUUAUACAAUUUUGAUCUGUAGACUAUGCACCAUCAGACGAUGCACCCCAACUUAUCCCAGAAGUUGAACCAAUGUAUCCCUAAGCACCGAAGAAGAGAUAAACCCUGGGAGAUCCUGGGCUGGUACCUGUCCCACCGCUAAUUUGGGCUAAAGAUUAUCGAGCUCGAGAGUAGGAAUAACGUCUGGUAAAGGCCCUCUAUCCUUGUCCCUAGUUAGGGAUGUAUCCCUAGUUUCUCCUCGACCUCUAGGUCAUAGACAUACAAUAACAGAAUCCCUAGGCUCAAACUCAGGAUCCUCAUCUUUUGUAGUAAUAUCACAUGUCCUAGCCAUCAGCGAAAGAAUGAAACCAAAGGAAUUAUUUUGAAACCAACUCAGAAUCUUAGCACAAAAUGAGUGAAAGAAGUGAAUAACUCCUAAGAAUGUCCUAUUUCCUCCCAAAGAUAAGAAAUAGACAUCAUCAUUGCAAUCCGUGGGACAAUACUUGACACUUGCUCUUGUACCAGCAAUACUGGAGAACCUAGUCUUUAAUACUAAUUUUUCACAACCUGAUUUAUGAGUCGUGAUGGAACCUACAUUAUCCCACCAUUAGGUAUGCUAAAUCUUAGCCUGGAGCUAUAAGGAAUGGGCUAAUUUGGUUGAAAAUGGUCGAAAAGUCAAAAAUCAUCAAUUUAAGACUUGUAAUAAUAAUAAUAAAGCAAUAAUGAGAGUCUAAAAUAUAGAUAAAACCUGAAGAACCAUUUUACGACCUAGUAGUGUUGGUACAAAAGCUUUUACAAAAGUAACAUUAGUACUGAUGUAAUCAAAUACAAAUCUCUAUCGAAUAGUGAAAGACUAGAAAUAGUUAAUAGAAGUAAAAAGGGGCAAAUUUGACUUUGAGAUCUCACCCUAUAUCUGAAAUCAACUCCACACGAUUAUCAUGUCAAGAUGAUCACUACUACUCAUAUUUGCACCAAAAAAAUACAGAAGUGUAGUAUGAGUACCAAAUAGGUACUCAGUAGGAAUCAUCGAUCGACUAAGCUAAAUCAUGAUAUAUAUAUAUAUACAAUAAAGAUACAAGGUAAAUAUUCUAGGUCAAGGUAAGAGUGCAAACCUAGAAAUAAUCUCUAACACUAUAAGUAAAUAAUUGGAAUAGACAUGAUAUGAAAAAAAGCAUAGCUAAUACUAAAAGAUUGGCACUCAUAAGCAAGUAAAUGUGGAAAAGUAAAUAAUCCUACGUGGGCCCUCAUAAGUUUGAAGGGUGCAAUCAAAAGAAAGUAAAUAACUGGAGAUUCAUAAAUUUACCAAAUAUCAAGUUGUAAGCAUGAAUCCAUCCAUACCAUAUCAUAUCAUAAAUAAACUCUCAAUGCCAGAAUCGAACUGGGACUUAAUAGCAUCAACAUCUUUAUCAUUAUUUUUCAAACAUGAACCAUAACUUAUGUCAUCAAUUUCAUCAUCAAUUGACGUACUUGAAAAAAAUUCAAUAUCAAUAAGCCACUAGGAUUAUCCUGAAAUUAGCAGCAAAUCCCAAGUACCAAACCAGCAUAAUCAUCCAGUAUCUUACCUCCUUAAAGUCCUAAACUAAGCAUUUUGAUGGGUAUAACAUGCAUAUAGAAGUCUACAAGUGCUAACACAAAUCUUGACCUAAGGUGGACCGAAAGGGCCCACUUCUAAUCCUCAAAAUCCAUUCUAAGGGAAAUUCUACCCUGGACUAGGCUAAGGUACAAAAAUUCACUUCUAGAUUUUACACUAGCCAUAAUUAUCCCCAAGAUAGCAAUUCUACCUAAAUCAUGAGCAACAAAGUCAACUACACCUAUAUUACGGUUCCUUAAUAGGUUAAAUAGUACAAAUAAUAAUAACAAUACAAAUCACCCCUAUGGUACCUAUAUCCCAUCCAAUAGCUAGAAUAAUACAAGAAGUAUACUAUGAAUUAGCUCAAUCUUUGAAGAAGGUAAACCUAGCUUUCUUGGAUGCCGAAGAAAAGCUUGAGGAAUCUGCUAAACUGAUGAUUUGCCAUUCUGAGAAGCUUUCUCAAAAUGCCACUCAUUUAAAUUCAUAAUCUACUCAUAAAAAUGAGAACAAUUAUACCCAUAUAGUACUAUUAUGCUUCGGGUCCAAAAUUAUGUAAAAAUUCUAUGUGAGGCCUACUUGCAAAAUCAUUCUUUGAAAACUGUCAAUGGUCUCAUAUGCUCAGGAACAUUUAUCCUCAAUAAUGUGUAAAUUUUGAGCUCUAAUGGUUCUAUAAAAACCCACCAAUAUUCAAGGGAUUUUGUAAAAAGAUAAAGGAUUUAAUCAUGAAAUUGAUGGAAGCUUACCAAAAAUUUGAAGAAAAAGCACAUUAUUUAAAUUCUCAAAUGCUGCAAAAUCACCCACCAAUGAUUCUCCCAAGUUUCCACACGUUUAGGGUUCUAUACUCUUUAAAUUAGGUGAAAAUAGGAGAAAUUGGGAUAAGUGGGGGUAUUUAUAUGGUACCAGGUAUUGCUUAUGCAAACACUGGCAUGCAUAAGCAUCACCGCUUAAGCAACCUAGUGUCGAUUUAGUGACAUUUGGUUUCUUGCACAGCUACCUCUUAAGCAGUCGGCUGGGCUCUUUACAGCUACUCCGCUUAAGAAACCCAAAAGGCGCUUAAGUAGCUGCACCAGCUAAAAGCUCGAAAUGGUUUUGAGUUACCGCCAACCCCUUGGGAUUCAUUCAAAAUCAUAUAUACCAAAAAAAAACUAUUCUAUCCUAUAAAAUUUGACAUUACAGACUCAAUGGCGUAGUUAAAAUUUUAAUAUGAGGUUCUUUCAAUGAAAAUUGGGUCCCAUACCCACGUGCCAUGUUUUCAUAACUUGUGACCAAUAGACCGAAAAGAGUUCAGAAGCCUUUUGACCCAAACCAAGGGUCUACCUAGCCUUAAAUCAAUGCUCAAAAGCUGUUGGAACAAUCUGAAUUGGCAAAUGAGGUGGUUUGACUGAUUUUUCUUCCAAAUAGCUAAUUUUAACUAGCGAAGACUUCAAAAUAGGGAAUUAAUGCUAAAAAUCAAAUUAAUUACAUGAUAAAUUAAAUGUCAACUCCAACAAGUCAUAGAUUAUUUGGGCAUCUACAGAAAAUCUCUAAAUGACAAGAAUGAGCAUAAAUAUGAAAAAUGACAUGGAAGGUUAUUAAGAUAUCCACUACUAAAAGAACUUUCAGCUGUAGUAGGAUGUACUUGAAGCCUCGAACAAGUGAGGAUACCAGUUUUGGAUCUCUCUCUCGAUCUCCUAAGUAGCCUUCUCUGAUGAAGUUUCUCCUCUAAACCUUAACAACUGGAAUCUCCUUAGUGCGCAACAGUUUGCUAAUAUGAGCACCAAUUUCUCUACGAUUGUCAACUACUAAUCCAACAGAACUAAAUCCUAUCUAAUCACAUGAUACGCAUCAGGAGUGUACCACCGUAAUAUAAAAAUAUGGAAAUUUGAAUGGUCAGCAGCAAAUAUGGGGGUAAGGCAAACUCAUAAGAAACUUCACCAACUGUACGAAGGUUCUCAAAUCGUCCAAUAUAUCAGGGGAUGAUCUUUUCUUUACUUCUGAGCCUCAUCACACCCUUCUGGGAUAUACACAAAGAAAUACUCGGUCAACAACACCAAUUCUCAAGUCACGAUGUCUAUGAUCAGCAUAAGCCUUCUGUCCACUCUGAGUUACCCUCAACCUAUCUUGAAUCACCUUGGCCCUAUCUAGCGACUCUAGAAGAAAGUUAGUACCAUGGGUUUUAAUGUUAGAGGUCUUAACCAACCAAUCAAAGAAUGACAUUGCCUACCAUACAAAGCCUCAAAAGGCACCAUCUUAAUACUUGAAUGGUAGUUGUUAUUAUACGCAAAAUCCACCAAAGAUAAUUGUUGCUCCCAUUGACAUCCAAAAUAAAUAACACAGGCUCAAAGCAUAUCCUUAAGAAUAUGAAUAUUCUUCAGCGACAACCCAUUGGUCUGAUGAUGGAAUAAUGUAAAAAAAUCCAUCUAAGUAUCAAACUACUCCUGAAAAGCUCUCCAAAAGCUAGUACUGAACACUGAACCCUAAUCUAAAAUAAUACAUACAAGCACACCAUACCAACAGACCAUAAGAUGUUUGAAAGUUAUAACUAACAGUAAACUAAAACAAUGUGGUAAAUUAAAGUUCUUGAACAAUCAAUGAGGAGAAACCCAGGAUUAAGACACUGUGAAAGAUCAUACAAAAUUAUGGAACUUUAUUGGUUUGGUUGACUAUCUUUGUUCUUGGUUCAUGGAGUUAAACUACAACAAUAGUCUUCCAAGCCCUUCGUCAGUUAUCUAACUUUGCCCCACAACUACAGCGUUGAGCGGGGAUUCGAGAACUAAAUCAAUUGCAUUCAUAAUCUAUCUUAUAAUUUAUUCAAAUAUGGCACUAAAGUAUAUUCCUAUCCUAAGUGAAAAUCAUAACUUCAUUCAAUUAAAUUUACAAUCCUAUUAUAUUCAUCCCUCGUUCUACCCUAUUAUUCAUCUUUCCUGGUUUAUAAUAGAGUUAAGCUUAUAUUAUAAGGGUUUAUAUUUCUUAAAAUAGUAAAAACAAGGAUAAAUAAACAACCAAAUAUGAUUAAAAAACAAAACCAAAUAAAUUUGUAACCAUAAUACUCAUGUUCUUGUCCUUAACCUCGGAAAAGGGUGUUUAUCCACUCCCUGAUGUAACAAGAAUCAUAAUAUAGUAAUCCAUGUUUAAAUCCAAGAAUUAACUAAAGUAAAAGAGUAAAAGAACUAUUUGACACCUCCUUGAUCGUGUGUAUAAUCCCUAAGAUCAUCCAAAAUGUUAAAGGUAAUGACUAAGUGUCCUAUUUAUACUUGGAACAAGAUUGUCGAUUUUAACUUAGGUCUGUGCCACGCCAAUAUUGCUCUAUCUAGGCUGCAUGGCAGAGCCUAAUCAUAGAGUCACACUAGAUUUUACAUUCCAAUGAUGCUUCCAAGGGUGUGUGAUGGACUAAUCAUGGAACCUAGGCAACGUGGCACUCCAAGGAGUCCAAAACAUCAAACUUUAGCCAAGUCUUGUCCCAUACUUCUAUCAUUUAAGUCCAAGUUUUAUGAUGUUAUUUCCACUAAAUUUCCAGCUUGUGUAACUUCUAUUCAUCAUCAUGAUCAACUCACCAAUCAUCUUACAAAAUCAAACACCACAUAUUAGGGUUUAGAACAAGAUACAAUUUAAGACAAUGAACUAGUAAAGGUCAUAGCUCAUGCUAAGAGUACUAGUUUUGUCCUUUUGAUCUUUAACUUAUUGUUUUGACUCCAAAAAUAUUAUGCACACAUCUUAAACACUACAUUUAAAGAACAUAACACUUAGAUGCUUACUUAUACAAUAAAUAACUCAUUAAGAACAAGAGAAAUUCUUUAUACAAAUCUAAUUAAGCCGAGAUAACAACACUGAGGUGCGUAAAUCCAUCUCAGAUCACCACUUUACACUUAAAGACUUGUUUUUCCUCAAACAAAUUCUAUGCCUCAUAAUCAGUGAAGACUCCAUACUUAUACAAAAAGCAAGAUAUUCAAGCUAGUACUUUGAUGACUACACAGAAAGAAAGUUUCAUACACCAACAUGACUUCUACAAUUGAGAACUCAAGAAUACUACAUCAAAACAUCCUAACAUCAAGAAUUGACUCACCAAGUUUGUAAACAUGCAUAUUACUCAAUCAAAUAGAUCAUACAAUUAACUUAACAAUCAUGAAACAUGUUCCCUCACAAAAAGAGAGUUACACAUAUUCACUCACAUAGUAUAAUUAUCACAAGAACAUGUAUGAGAAUGAAAUUGUACUCACUCUCACAAGGAAUUCACAAGUUACACAUGAUGAACUAUAGACAUACUUUUUGUUUAGUACUCUAAUAAUAUCAAAAUAUUAAGACAUAAGAUCAAAUAGGUCUUAAAUGGUUGUAACGUAGGCUAUGGGGUGGGUAGGAACUAUUUUAUCCUGUAAUAGUGACUAUCUACCUAAGGACUUUAAUAUAUCAUAUGUACAUUCAGAUCUCUCUAUUAACAACCAAUUCCCACCACAUUCAUCUACAUACUCCUCUUAUUUUACCCACUCUUAUUUGAGAUAAUUCAUAGUACUAUGGAAGGGAGUAUUACUUAGCAAUACUUGAUUAAAUUUAAGCAGAUUUUUCUUCUCUCACAACCAACACAUCAACUCUUUCUAAAUGUUAAUAGCUAUAUACUAUGGUGCUUCAUUUUUCAGCCCUUUCUUCUUCAAUUUCAACUCCUUAACCAACUUAAUUUUUACACUAAAGAGCUUAGGAGCAUUAGAUAAAAUUAAGGCCAAUCAAUGAAUGGGAACAUGAUACGCAUGAGGCGACAAAAGAAAGACUAAACGUCGUCAACUAGAAUUAAGAACAAGGGUAGGUGAACUAGGGUAUGAAACAUGGCUAUUAAAAAAUUGCCUAUAUCACCUCCUAAAUACACACUCUUUAUUUGUGCAUAAUAUGCAACAACGAAUAUAAAAAUAACCACGCACAGAUAUGUCACAUGCUCAAAUCAAGUAGAAUUAUCAUAGACUCUAAACCAAAGAAUAGCAUAAUUCAACAUUAAAAUAACCAUGUACAAGUGUAAUAAACUAGAGCCUAGGAGUCUCAAAUAUAGUAGUUCACAUAGACAAUAUGCUUUAACAUACAAAACCCUUUGCAUCAUGCAAUUUUUUAUAGCAGCAACAAGAACAUCCCACUUAUUCCUAACAUAAAAAUUUAAAAUUUACUGCUAAUCAAAAGGAUGCUGGGGGUCAAAGGGUGCCCCAUGGAAAAAAACAAUAACAACAACCAAGGAGUGAGUGAAGCAUGCAUUUACUAGAUUGAAACACACUAACAAAAAAACAAAAAACAAAAUUAUAUUUUAAUCUUUUAAUUUUUUUCAAAUUUAACCCAAAACAAACUAAGAAAGCAACUAAAACUAAGACCCUACAGUAUCACUGCACCUAAAACCAUGGGAAUUCCCCACCCCACACUUAGUUUCUACCAUACUCCCUAGCUCAGGUUUUCGGUACUCAGAUUUCUCAUCAACCUGUGACUCAAGAAAAAUAAAAACUAUGUGAAGUAAAAACUAAAAUACUAAAAAUAAAGCCUAACUUAACUUAGGUUGCCUCCCAAGAAAUGCGUGAUUUAGUGUUGGGCAAGACUCAACAUCACUACUCAAUUAAAGUCCUUCAUCCUCUUCCUCUUACUUUGAGGACAUUUUUUUAUUCAUUUCUGACCUCUAGUGUACGAACUCUGAAGGACAAUAUCUUUCUCAACAACAUCCCUUUCAGGCUCAUCAAUCAUCAUCACUUUAGGCUUAGGUGGUGGUAGCUCGAGCAACUCAAUGAGAUUGUUCGAAAAGGUCAUUAUUGGUUUGGCUUCUACCUACCCAUACUUAUCCACUUCUAUAACUGUAAUCAUACACAAAUCUUUGUAGUGGGAAAGUGGAUUAAGUGGCUUGUACGCUCUGAAAACCACUUCUUUAUCAUCCAAUCUCAUUGUGAGAGUUCCCUCUCUCACUUCUAUCAAUCAAAAAUAAUAAAAUUAUCAUAAUUUACAAACUUACCUACCUUUAUAAGGAUGUUAUCAAUUAUUACUUUAGGCUUCAUUGUAUUCUUGUCAAUUAAUUACAACAUCAUAGAGCAUGGUCUCAGCUCACCCAACAUAAGAGUUCAACAUUUGCAACAUCACAGAGCAUGGUCUCAGCUCACCCAACACAAGAGUGUUGAACAUGGACAGAGGCAUCAAAUUCUUUCUCGCUCUAAAUCACACAAGGCAUGGACCACUUUACCAUCACCAAUCUAUAUGGGGAGGGUGAAAAUCCCUAGGUACUUAAGCUUCUUAGGCAUAUUUUUAAUUAACACAAAGCAUCACUCUUCUGUAAAUGUUUUUGUAUCAAUAUCAUGGUGCUUGACCUUAUUAGUCAGCAUAUCCUUCAAGUACUUAGCGUACUUGGUCAUUCCCUGCAAAAUAUAUAAAAGAGGAAAAUUAAUUUGAAGUUCUUUAAAUGUGUCAAAGAACUUCUUCAAACAAGAAUCUACUACGAUCUUUUAAAACUGUUGAGGGAAUAGUGGUAGUGGUCUUUCAGCAACAUGCUCAGAUCCUUAGUUUUCAGGGACUCUGGCCUCUCUGAAUUAUCAAUAACUUUGCCUACAACCUGUUAUGGAAAUAACUCUACAUCUGCCUCCUUAUAUUUCUUCAGAGAUCUAUCUCUAAGAUCUUUACCACUCCUCAAAGUGAUUGCCAUAACUUGCUUCAGAGUUUUAUUAUUACUUGGAAACCCACCUUGAGGCCUGGUACUUUGUGCUUGUACUAGAUUCCCCAACUAUUGCUCUAAAUUUUAUUGAGCCACUUUUUGAUUUAUUAUUUUAUUAGCCAUUUCUUUUUGCUUGUCCAAGAUCUUCUUUAAAGUUUCCUCUAUGUUACUAGCCUUUGGAUUAUGUUGAUGUUGCUGAAACUAUGAAAUAUUUCCCCAUGCCACUUUUGUUUGUAAGCAUUUGCAUAAGUUGUCUUAUAUGUGUUGCCCAUAAAAUUUAUGAAUUCAAGAUUUGCACCACAAAUAUCUCCAGAAUGGCCAUUAUUACCAUAUAUCUCAUAACCAACCUAGGGUCUGUGUACUACCUUUAUCUGAGCUGGAAUUUGAUUUAGACUAAAUUUUCUAAAUUGGACGAUCAUCGAAUUCUGCAUGGUUAAUAAUUAAGCAUCUAAGACAGUGUACUAUAUACUUUAGUCAUGCUCGCAACCUUUUUCUCUGAGCUUCUGGACAUGUCACCAUGAAAAUUAGGAUUACCUUUAUAUAUCUAGUUCAACAAAUUAAACAACUCAUCAUAAUUCUUUUCAAGAUCCUGACGACCUACAGCUGAAUCAAACAAAAUUUUUGUGUUAUGGUCAAGGGCUUCAACAAAUGUAUGAGCUAAUACAUUAUUGGAUUGUUAAUGAAGUGGACAGUCCCAAAGAAGAGAUUUGAAUCUCUAAAAAUCAUGACAAAGAUUCUUAUUUGGCUUCUGCUUGAAGCUAAAAAUCUAACUGUGUAGCUCGCAAUCAUGCAGGGUGGAAAAAAACAGAUCAGGAACUUCCGGUCUAAGUAAUCCCAUGUUUUGAUUGAACAUGUCGACUCUACAUUUGACCACUUCUUUGCCUCCCCCAAAAGUGAAUAGGGGAAGAGGGAUAGCCUCAUAUAAUCAGUUGACACACCCGUAGGGAUAAAUAUAUCACUAAUAUCUAAGAAAUUUUGCAAGUAGACUUGUGGAUCUUCAUGUAAUAGCCCAGUAAAAUGUCCACUUCCAUGUAGAAGCUGCACCAUAUUCUGGUUUUGUUUAAAUGUACCUCCUGCAGCCGACGAAUAAAAGAGGUCACAUUUGUCAUAAAUGGGAUUACCACUUCAUGAACUAUCUUUCGAGCUAGUGGAUCCUCAACCAUGGAUGCAGGAAUAUGUUGUUCCUCAUGAAUUUGUAGGAUAUGGUAGAGAAGGACUAUUUCUCUACUCUAUUGGUGAAAGCAUUGCUCAGGUUGAGGGUCUGGUUCAACCAACUCCCUAUCCCUUGCAAUCUUACUAGUCCCCUUAACCUGUACUUACGAAUUCAAAAGCCAAGAUCAAGUAAAUAGUACCAAAGAAAUAAAAAAAUAAAACAAAAACUAAUGUAUUUACCAAAGUACAAGUCCCCGGCAACGAUUCUAAAAACAUGUUACACCCAUGCGCACACGCAAGUGUACAUGGUCCAACCAUGUAAUAUAGUGGCCUUAAGAAAGCUAAGUAUCGAUCCCACGUGGACUAGUGUUAAGCUAUUAUCCAGUUCAACUUCAACUAUUAAGAUUAAAUAAAUGCAAACAUAACAUCAAGGUGUUUGAAAUUUAUAACUAAUAGUAAACUAAAAAAAUUAUGGUAAAUUAAACUUCUUAGACAAUUAAUUGGAAAAACCCAGUGUUAGGGCACUGCAACAAUCAUACCUCAUUAUAGAACAUCAUUGGUUAGGUUGACUAUCUUUGUUGUUGGUUCAUGGAGUCGUUACUACGACUAUGGUCUUACGAGCCUCUAGUCAAUUAUAUAACUUAUCCCUACAACUACAUCGUUAAGUGGGGAUGCAAGAACUAAGUAGAUUGCAUUCAUAAUCUAUCCCGUAAUCGAACCAAAUAGGGCACUUAAGUAUAUUUCUAUCAUAAACUACAAAUCAUAACUUCAUUCAAUUACGUUUACGAUGCUAUUCUAUUCAUCCUACGUUCUACCCUAUUAUUCAUCCUUCCGGGUUCAUAAUAGAGUGAAGCUUAUAUUCUAAGGUUCGUAAAUUCUUAAAUUAGUGAUAACAAGGAUAAAUAAACAACCAAAUAUUAUAAAUAGUCAAAACAAAAUCAAUUCAUAACCAUAAUACUUAUAUUCUUGGCCUUAACCCCAUAAAAGGGUGUUUAGUCACUAAUGGAUGUAACAAGAAUCAUAAUAUAAUAAUCCAUAUGUAAAUCCUAGAAUAAAAAAAGUAAAAGAUGAAAAUCCCUAUUUUUAGACUCCUUGAUCGUGUGUUAAAGCCCUAAGGUCCUCCAAGAUAUUAAGCAUAAUUACUAAGUGUCCUAUUUAUACUUUGAACAACAUAGACGAUUUUAACAUAGGCUCGUGCCACGCUAAUAUCGCCCAAUCUAGGCAGCAUGGAAUGUCCUAAUUGCAAAGGCACACUAGAAUUGACAUUACUAUAGUUCUUCCAAGGUCAUUCCAUGGCUUAAUCAUGGAACCUAGGCAGCGGGGCACGCCAAGGAGUCCAAAACAUCAAACUUUAGCCAUUUCUUGUCCCAUUCUUUUGUCCGUCAAGUCCAAACUUUGUGAUGUUAUUUGUACUUAAUUUCUAUUUUAUGUAACCUCUAUUUUUAUCAUGGUAAACUCACCAAGCAUCCUAUAUUAUCAAACACUACUUAUUAGUGCUCAAAAUAUGAUACAAAUCAAGACAAUGAACAAGUAAAGGUUAUAGAUCAAACUAAGAGUACUUUGGUCCUUUUGAUCUUUAACUUAUUGAUUUCGGUCCAAAAUAUUUAUGCACACACCUUAAUCACUAAAUUUACAUAGCAUAACACUUAGAUUCUUACAUAUACAUGAAAUAACUCAUUAAUCACAAGAGAAAUCCUCAAGACAAGACUAAUUAAGCCUGGUUAACAACAUUGAGGUACAUAAAUCCACCUUAGAUCAUAGGCAAAUCUCUCGGUGCUGAAGGACACCUUAAUAGGAAUAAAAUAUGCCAAUUUUUCCAACCGAUCUAUAAUGACCAAAUAACAAUGGAUCCACAAGGGGUGCAAUGAUAUCCACUAAUAAAGACCUUAGUAAUCAACUCGCAUUUCCACUCGGGAAUGGGUAUCCUUUGUAUUAAGCCAUCAGGUCUCUGAUGCUUGGCCCUCAUCUACUGAAAACAUAGUCCAAAAGCAAAAAAUUUUCCCAUAUCUCUCUUCAUACCUGUAAUACCCCGUAUUUCUACCUAGCUUAAAUUCGUCUCAAAAAUAUUAAAGACUUUCUUUAAGAGAUGAAUCCACUUUUAUAUAUGUGGAAUUUUCAAUAUUUUAACUUUUUGUUGUGUGAAAAAUACAAUAAGCAUUCCAUCAAUACCAAAUUCACCCAUAUCCGACACCUGGUGAAGAGUUAAAGCCUUUUUAGUGAGACAGUGUAUCACCUGAGCCAUCAAUACAUCGACGAGCAUGCCAAAAUGGCAAUCAUCAAAAUCCAGUGAGCCUCGGCGAUUAUGGAGCAUCGCGCCAUGGCUCAAAUUUGGAAUUGUCCUUUUUUCAGUAAAUCUCUGUGAUGUCUCCGCGUCGCGCCAAACUUCCAGGUUGCAAACAAAUUGGCAACGCAAUAGCUCCGCAUCGCGCCACCAUGUAGAUUUUUAAUUGUCCAGUUCCAGUGGCUUGGCACAAUAGAGGUGCAUCGCGCCAAACUUCCAGGUCGUAAACAAAGUGGCAACGUGAUAUCUCCACAUCGCGCCACCAUGCAGAUUCCCAAUUGUCUAGUUCCAGUGGCUUGGCACAAUAGUGGUACAUCGCACCAAGGAUGAAAAUUCAGAAUUUUCUAGUUUUUUUUAUAUUAAAUCCCAGGGUCCAUUUGGUCUUUUCCUAUGACUUUAAUUCUGCCCAAUCACGGGAUUAAACCCUAAGAGUGCAUUAUUUGCUCACUUUUGCAUUAGUCUCUCAUAUUAAAAUCAACUCUACUAAAGAACAAGAACCCUAGAUCUAAGAUUCAAGGGCCAAAUCACAAGAACUCUUCAUCAAUCCUUCCAAAUUCAUUAACUUAGGUAUGCAUAGUGUUCAUUCAUGGAUUUCUUUUUUUUAUGAAGCCUAAGAAUCAAGUUUUACACUAUGAAUUAUGAUAUUUAUGCUAUGUGUCAAUUAUGUUCAUGUGGUUGUUGUUGUUGUAUGAUUCUUAAGUUGGAAUCUUUAUGUGUUUUAAUGAAAAUAUGUUAGCAUGUGAGUUAAAAACCAUGAAUUUUAGUUGGUUAUAAUAUGUUAAUUUAAUGAUUAUCCCAAGCCCUAAGUCAUGCACCCUAAGUGUUUGACAAAAUGCCUAAGAGACUAGAAAUUAUGUAAUAUGACUCAAUUGUGACUUAAGUGAAGGAUUCAUGUUUUACCAUUAUGUUUAAAUGACUCUCAUGCUAUAAAUAUGCCUUGUAAAUGUUUGUUAGAUUGCUUUUUAAUUAGCCUUAUGAAAUUAUACCAUGUUUACAUGCAAUCCUAUUUAUGUAUAAGUUUGUGAUAACCAUGUACUUUGUGAAAUCUCUAACUUAUUGUAUUAUGGAUUGUUGAUAUUAGUCGUGUAUUUAAGAAUGUCAUGCCUUAUCAGUUUUCUUCUAUUGAGUCCUGGGGGUACUUAUACCCGACAAUUUAGCAUUAUAUCGAUAUCAAAUUUGCCCAAAUCUGACACUUGAGCAAAGAGUUAAAGUCUUUUUAGUGAGACAGUGUAUCACCUGAGCCAUUAAUGUGUCACGGAGUAUGCCAAAAUGGCAAUCAUAAAAAUCUAGUGAACCUCGGCCAUUAUGGCGCGUCGCGCCAUGGCUCAAAUUUAGAAUUGUCUUUUUUCUAGUAAAUCUCUGCGAUGUCUCCGCGUAGACUCAAGAGUAAAGGGAUUACAGUUUAGAUUAAAGUUAGUAAAGGGUUCCAUAGACUUAGAAUAUCAUCUUUGAUCUAAGGGGGAGAUGGUAGAGUGAAGAACCAAAUUAAGUUUUGAGAGUUAGAUUAUGUUAUAUGUCAACAAGAUUUGUGAUGAGAUAGUGAUCCUUUCUUCCUCUAGAGUAUUCCUUGGAUUUCAAUCGUUAUCAUAUCAGAUUCAUGUCAUGUAUGAUAGAUCCAUGCCAAAGGCUAAUGUUAUACGCUUCAUGUGUACUCAAUUCCAUUAUUGAUUUCUAGUAAGUAACAUCUUCAGUCUAUGAUUCGAGUCAUUCCUUAGAAAUCUAUGAACUUCAAUCUUAUGUUGAAAUGCUCAUGAUAAGUAUGACCUCAUAUUUUAGAGUAUGAUUAGUUCGUAGAAACUCAUGAUCCUAGUGAAAUCUUGUUUAUGUCAUGUAUGCCCUCAGUUUAGAUCUCUUUAACGAAUUUAUACCUUUAAUAUUCUAUUCCUCAUGUCUCAGUUAAGUGUUAAAGUUAUGUAUAGUAUUCUUCCGUACUUUAGGUCCUUAUGUAUUAUCUCUUCUAUGACCUCUUCCUACAUUAAGAUAGUGAUGAUGAACAAUUGUUUAGAUAGGAGAGAGUAAAUGUUUGUUGUUGAGAAAAGAUCGUCGUAUGCCCGUUUUAGCUAAGGCUGAGUGUAAAGUAAAAUUGAGGCCAAGUCUUUAGUAGAAGUUGUGGUUAGUUGAAAAUUUUUGUGUAUGUUCUUAAGAAUAGUGCAAGAAUGUUGUUGUUAAUAGAGGUUUAGAGACUAAGAGGAGUAAGCCUUUAUGAGUUCUUUCCUUGAAGUUCAUAUGUGGUUAUAAUGAUAGGCUUAAAUUUUAUGUUAGGAUGUAAGUGGAGGAAUGUAAUAUGCGCUAGUGAAUCCAUAGUAAGAGUUUAGAGUUAGUCAUUGAAGUGAUAAGAAGAAUUAUCUUAGAGAGGAAAAGUUGUGAAAAUGCUUGGGGUAUUGAAUUCAUGGUUUAUACUAGUGUUAUAAUAUUAUGUGUAGUAAGCUGUGAUUCAAGUUAGGCUUGAACAUGGUGAGAGAAUUUAGUUCAAAUCAGACAUUAGUAUAUGAAGUUAUAUGAACCCAUGUGAUUAUGGUAUUAAAGGGGAGAAAGUAAGUUGAAAAGAAUAUUUGAGAAGUAUUUCUAAGCUUGAAAAACUAGCAAUUGCAUUGACUAAGGCCUAGAAAUUCUAAACUAGUUUAUGUUUGAGAAGCCUCUGUUCUAUGUUACAAAAUUAUAGCUAUACUGAGAAUUCUAUCUUUAGAUAUCUCACUCAGAUCAUGAACAAAAUUCUUUACUCCCUAAUUUUAGUAGAAUUUUGUAGAAUAAUGCCGAAGAAAUACUCCAUUUGAGUAUAGACAUUCAGUAUGAUUCAGUCCAUAUAGCCUGCAAUCCAGUUUAGCAAGCAAGCAGAUGAGCUCCUAUAGAUUUCAAACUUUUCACCUAAUCUUACUAUCCGCAGUCUCCUGCGUAUGUCCAUUCCAAGAGGUAAUGAGUUGACAUCCAUGUAAAUUGCAAAUUCAGUUCAGUUUGUGUAUCAGUUUUAGUUUCAGCUAUUUAGUCAUGACUCAGUUCAUAAGUAUUCAAUGCAUAAUCUCAAUUUUUUCAAGUAUUUUAGCUCAGACAGUGUAAGACCCUUGUACCAUCUAAGUCUUGUUGUAUCAUGAUUUGUAAUUUCAUCAGUUAUCACCUCCCAAUUCAAUAGGUAUGAUUGGAUCAUGAACACUUCAAGUGAAUCCUAAACUCUCAGCAUGAAUCAGCUCCUUAAAGCAAGUAAAGUCAAGUCAACACAAAAUUCAGUUUCAUUAUGGAAGUUUAAAUAUUUCAUCUAGGUUAUAUCCUUUAUUCGAAUACAUAUCAUUCUCAUGUUAUUACAUACCUUUAAUUCUUCAACAAGUUCCUAUCAACAUUUGAGGAAAAAUUUUCCCAAGGGAGAGAUAAUGUAAUACCCCUUAUUUUCAUGCUAGAAUUCUAACUGUCAUUCCUAUACGUCUAAGAUCUAAUACAAGAAAUUCUCAUGUGAAUACAAGUUUAUGAUAUUUUUCUUUAUUUUUGAUUUGGUUUUGAGGUUAAAAAUGUUCAUAGAAAUCAUUUAGAGCCAAGUUGAGCUAAGUCAUUUGAUUCAUCCAAAAUUCGAUAUUUGAUUCUACAAGGGUCUACUUCAAAUGCGUAUCACCUUUUAAAUAUAUGAAAUUUUUUAUCUCAAUACCCACCAAAUUGUAUAUAAUUGAAUUAUCUUUCCAACGAUACCAAUUUCGCCUAAAUCCGAUACCCGAGCUAAAAGUUAUGACUUUGCAAAGUGGAGUAUUUUUCGUCCAAACUGGUUUGACAUGCCAUUGAAAUGCUCCAGCAUCUUGGGCACAUCUUAGGCUCAUUUCAGGGGCAUAACACACUGGUUUGAGAUGCCUUUGAAAUGCUCCAUCAUCUUUGGUGCAUUUCAAGGGCAUAACACACUGGUUUGAGAUGUCUUUGAAAUGCUCCAACAUCUCAGGCUCAUUUCAGGCCACAAUUUUAGGGUCAACUUCCAAUGAUUAUAACUUGCUGUAUUUAACGAACUAGGAUAGAUGAUGUAUAUCCAAUGAAAUCUCUUUGAGUCUUCCUUCCAAAUCAACAAAUUUCAUCCAAAUACAACAUCGGAGUAAGGAGUUAGCCCAAUUUACUUCAGCCUAUUAGCCUGUCAACUGAGGGAUAGCUGUGACUUUGUUUGUUUUCUUAGGGACAUUUUAGUCUUUUCUCCCACCCUUAUACAACUAUUAACAUAGUAUUAAGCUCCCAAUUGACCAAAAUUUUGUCAUUUUCUCCAAUUCCCUCAAGAAUCAAACCCCUUAGUCUCAAACUAAAAAUCAAGAUCCCUUAAAAUUCAACUGUCUUUUGAAAUUGAUUCAAGAUUCAGAAUUCCCUUUGUGAGAGCUACAAGAAGCACCCAGCAAUUGUACGAAUAGAGUUCCAAAAGCAAGAGUUCAUGAAAUUCAUAAUUUGAGGUAUGUGGGGUUUGAACAAGGACAAAUCUUUCGUCCUUGUGCCCAAACUUGAUUUUAUUACAAGAGUUAGUUGAUUUUAUAUGUUUUCCUAUGAAAUUAAAGUUGGGUUUAUACCCUAUGUUGCUAUUCAUGAGAUUAUGAGAUUUUCAUUAUUUUAGAAGUUGAAUUAUAUGAGUAUGUUUAUAUUUUGGUAUAUAUAGCUGAAAUUUCCAAAUUUUAAGAUGAUUAUGAAUGUUUUUUUUCAAGCAUGAAUUUUGAGAUGUUGAAAUCAUGAGAUUCAUAUUAAGAGUUAUUUUCCAAUUUCUUGAUUGAGAUGAUUGAAAGCUUUUUAACAUGAUUGUUGAGCAUGAAGUUUAAACAUGAUUUUGAUGUAUUAAAGCUUUAUAUUUUGAGUCCAAAGUACAAAUAAUGAGUUUAUAAGAAGAUUAUGAUCUCAAGUUUUGUUGACAAGUUUUGAUAAGUGCUUUCAAAAGAAAAGAUUGAUUUUGAUCCUAAUCUAAGAUAGGAAUCCACACUAUUUAUGAUUAAAGAAAAAAGAAGCAUAAUUUGGUGUUCAUUAUAGACCCUUGAGUUAUUUUAAGGUGGAUUUUCUAAAAUUUUUUAGCCUAAGAAUGGGAGUAGUAUUUAGCACCGAGUUGGGUAUGAUUCCAAGGUCUCAUACCCCAGAACUACGUGCCACUGUAGGAUUGAGAUUUGUGGCCUAGGGCUGAGAUAGUGAUCACUAAAGUUAAGGUUUUAUUCUGAUGGCAAGAGUAGAGCAGCUCUCCCCAACGUAGGCAAGACGUUAGACUCCAUGUGGCUCACAUGGUUUAUGUCGGUUAGAAGAAACUCCCAAAGCAAUCUCCUACUCUAAUUAAGAUAAAAGUAUAUAUGUUGAAAGUUUGAUUUUGAGAUUUCCAAAGUCCCCCAAGUCCAAGUUCUCUAAGUGCCAAAAGUCUUAUCCUCCUUAAGAUAAAAAUACAUGUUUUGAAAGUUAUUAUUUAAAGUUCCCUUUAGCCUACAAGUUUUGAGAAUAAGCAGAGAAUAAAAAUUUUAGAAUAAAGUGUAAUGACUCACAGGAUUUAGAUUACAUGUUUCUUUAUUCAUGAUUUAUGAGAUUCAGAUUUUAGUUUUAUUCCAGCUACGUGAGUCAUCUAUAUUUGCAUGCAUGUUUUCUUUAAAGUUUGAUGAUAUUGAUUGUUUAAUUUUCUACACCCCCAUAUACUCAGUACAUCCUCAAAGUACUGAUCCACAAAUAUGUUUGUGUGCUAUAUUGUCUUAUAAUGCAGGUAUAAGUUGUAGCGCAUACACUAUAUUCAGUCAGGUUUGCAACUUUCAGUCAGCAAGUGAUGGGUCAUUUUGUUUUGAGGACUCGAGUCAGUUAUACCGUUUGAGAAGUAUUGCAUUUUUUCAUUCAGUCAUAUUGAGUUAGGAUAGUUGAGAGUCCUGACCCGGCUAUCUAUAGUCAGUACUAGUAGAGGCUUUAUCCACAGUCAGUAGUGUCGAUGUAUUUUACUUUUGUUUUAUUCAUAAAAGCAGAGUUGUAAUCUUGUAAACUCAGAUGUUGUAUUGAUCAAGUACAGAGAAGCUUUAUUAUUUCCAUUGAUUUUACUCAGAUUUACGUAUUUAAUUUAGUUACUUGUAAGUAUGCCAGUAGAAGGGUUAGCUUGGGGUCACUUGUGACCCUGAGCACCAUGUGACAUCUCGGGACCCAUUUUUGGGGUGUUACACUUGGGGACUAAGGUGAACCUUAUCACCGCUUUCCACACUCAAAUGGAUGGACAAGCGGAACAGACUAUUCAAACUUUAGAAGAUAUUCUAAAGGCUUGUGUUAUGUGCAUCCUAAUCACUUAUUUGGGGACGAAUGAUCCUAAGGAGGGUAAUGUAACAUCCCAGGUGUUAUAGAGUCCAAAAACUAGCUUAAACGGGCCUACAUAACCUCUAUCUUAAGCGUAAAAUACUACAGGAAGAGUUUAGGUGCAUUGGAGGAAGAUGUGGAACCAAAGAAAGGUUAUGCAUCGCGAAGGGGGUGGUUUGAUUUUGCUUCAUACUACGAUGGAAUCCAUGAAGGCUCACUGCUGUAACUUUACACUGGGUUUUGCAUCGCAAAGCUCAGGCUUCGCGUUAAGUUUUCUUUAGGCUUCACACUGUGAACCUCCUUUCUUUUUUCGAUGGGACUUUGUUUUAAAAGUGUAUUAAGGUUAUUUUUGUCCUUUUAUGUCCUAUAACCCAUCCAAUUUCUACAUAACCUAUUUCUAAACAUUAAAACUCCCAUAUUCUCUCAAAAAAGUCAUUUUUCAUUCCAAAACUAAGGUUGAAAGGUAGUAAUGUUCAGGUUCAAGCUUGGGGCUUCUUUCCUUGAUAUUUUCAAAAGGCUUCUCUUCAAUCAAGGCAUGUAUCUCUUCCUUAAAUUAUUUUUUAUAUAAAGCAUGUGUUUAAAUUUUUAUCAAUGUUAAAUUUUUGGAUUUUGAAUAUGGGUUGAGGGGUUGGAAUGAUUAUCAUACGAAUUAGUUUUCCCAUAUUUUUAAAUUGGUUAUCUUUGAUUGAUCUUGUGGUUUUGAACUUAGUAUAUACAUGGGCGUAGGAAUUGGAAUGGGGAACAUGGGUUUCCCCAAAUGGUUUAAUGAUUUGGAAUUGGAUUUAAACUCAACUCAACUUGUGACUGGUUUGAAACAUAGAUAUAUAUAUAUAUAUAUAUAUAUAUAUGGAAAUUACUUUACUUUUGAAACCUUGCAUUGCAUAAAAGGUUUAAGGAACAUAAAUUGAUUUUGAAAGGCCUUGGUAGCCAUGGAUGGUGUUAAAUUGGAAACUUUGGAGUCAUGUGGCUAAUUGGUUUGGUUUUGCAUAAUGACAAUAGCUAGAAAGCAUAAUUAUUUGGUAUGACGAUACCAACGGUAAAUUCCUAAUUGAAAGACUCCUUGGCAAAUGUAUGGCAAUGUGUGUAAAUAACUUCAAUUGGGCUUAAAGGGGUUGUGUUGCUCGCCGUAGAAGGUGGAGGUCCCGGGGGGACUGAUAUUGGAAACCAUGUUAUUGGUGUGGGGGUAUAUAUGACCAUAUGUUCGAGUCGCACGAUAUAUAUAUAUAUAUAUAUAUAUUGUGGAUGGUUAGUUGCCUUGGUGAAUUUACCUUUCCCUCUGUUUUUCUCCAGUUCUUGCGACUAACACACACUGGGGCCCUUUCGGUAGGGGAGCUGAACCCAUUUAGCCCAUGGUUUUUUUAGGACUAUUAGAGCUACACAGUCCAAGUUAAUGGUUUUAAAUCUCUUGAUUAAGCCUUAUUCCCUACCGCAACAUAUUAUGUACAAGUAUAUGAAUGUGUGCAUAUGGUUUUUGGACUGAUUUGUACUUUGCAUUAUCUUAUCACUUUCCUAAGUUAUAUAAUAGAGCUCACCCCGCUAACCAUUGUAGGAUGGUACAUUGUUUUAUAGUGUAAGGUACGAAGACACUUCUUUCUCCCUUAUGCAAUGUUAGGUGGAUUAGCACGAUUAUCGAGUUGCUUCAAAGUGGUGAGCUUCCAUACUCUGGAAGGCCCGUCAUUUCAUAGUUUGUUUUUCCUUAUGUUUUAUACUAUAUCUAUGGAUUCUUUUGGGUCAUGUUCAGGGGCAUGUCCCGACCAAUUUGGUAAUCUGGUUUUAAAGGUUAUUGUGGACAAGUGUGGAUUGGUUUUUUAUUGAUUUACUCUUAGUUUCCAUUAGUGUUAUUUGUUCCUUUGUUUGUUAUUGUUUAAUUGGCUUCCACAUUACUCUUUAUGUUUAUUUUUGUGCUCAUGAGGUUAGGCGAUGGGGGUGGUCUCCGGUCCAUAGUGGGCUUAAGAUACCUGUCACGGCUAGGCGCUAGUUUGGGUCGUGACAUACAUACUCUUAUUCAAAUUUUUUUCUACAUCAUCUUUUUCCAAAACUUAAUUCUCUAUAGAAGGUUUACCUUCGUUUGUUUCUAAAAGAGCUUGUUCAUCAAGCUCCUCCAAACCUAUCUAUAUUUUAGCCUUUUUGGUUGGUUACUCAAAAGUUGAACCACUUUCAUUUCUUUUGGGAGGCAUCUUUUAUCUAUAUACAAGAGAAAAUAAAAAGGAUUAUAAUUUAUGUGUGCAUCAUUUUAAAAAAAAAAAGAAAUACAAAAUUUAAUAAAUACAACACAUUGAAAAAAUAUUUCCAAUAGAUGGCCCAUUUGUUGUAAUAUAUGAUCCACAUAUUGCAACAGAUAGGUCAUGAUAGAAGAAAUCAAAAUAGUAUAGCUACUAGUUUAAUAUCUUCCAACAGAUGACCCUUCUGUUUCAAUAGGUGGGUCUGUUGGAAGAAAUUAAACCAAGUCUUCCAACAGAUUACACACCUGAUGGGUAAUAAACCACCAACAUCACCAAAACCAAUAUUACGAACAACACCAACAAUAUCAACAACAUCAACAAAACAAAACAAAUAAACUAAAACACAUAUAAAUAAACAAACAAAACAACACCAACAACACCAAUGCCAACAGUACCAACAACACCCCACCAACAACACUGUUAACAUUCACCAACAAAUACCAAGUGAAGUGAAGUGAUUCAAAACAACAACACAAAUAAUAAGACAAAAUUGUUAAUCUCCAAAAAAGGUCAAAGUUCAAGUUUGUGCAAUUUUACAAUAACAACAACAAGAAAUCAUAUUUCACUCAGAAAAGAAACUAACGUUCAAUCACCAUACUAAGAUAACAACUAUGUCAAAAACUAGAGUUUUAUCAAAACUCAAAAUUGUUGACCCAUUCUUAAACAUAAUACAACUAAAGUUCUUUGUCUCAUUAUUAACUGAAAAGUCCUAAUUUUUUGAAAAAUAGCUAAUAUCAAACUCUUACCUACAAAGAGAGAGAAAUAAUGAAUACAAGGAAGAAGAAAGUAGAAAUAACAAUUGAUGUGGUCGGAAAUAGGAACAAAUUGAUCUGUUGUGAAGGGUUUGAGCAAUCUAGUGGAACAAGGUUGAGUAGUUGAGAAGAAAAGAUCAAAAGAUUGUGAGAUUUUCAAAAAAAUAAUGGAAAUGAUUGAAAUAAUUGACCAAUUGUUGCAAUAGAUAGGUCAUCUAUUGAUUAACUGGCAUGAAUUAUUCCAAUAGAUGUCAUAUCUAUUGCAAAAAAUGGAUCAUCUAUUGGAAUAAAUCAAAAUAGCUCACCCAACAGAUGACCCACCUGUUGCAACAGAUGGGUCAUUUAUUAGAAGAAAUCAAAUUGGUCUUUCCAUUGGUUUGAUAUUUUCCAACAGAUGGACCAUCUGUUACAACAUAUGGACCAUUUGUUAUAACAGAUGCCUAUAUCUGUUUGAUAAUUUCCAACAGAUGAGAUGUUAAUUGUAACGGAUGGUCCAUCUAUUUUUAGUCCUCUGUUGUAAUAGAUGUCUAUAUCUAUUUGAUAAUUUUUAACAGAUGUAUCUUCUGUUGCAACAGAUAAUGCAUCUAUUUUAAUAUUUGAAUGUAGUAAUCCAUUUUAAGUAAUAAGUUCAAAUAUAAGGAUAAAAUAGAAUUUAUGAGAAAAUAAUUGGUCAUCAAUUAAAAUAAAAUUCAUAAAAAAUUGAUUCAAGCCUCCACAAAUUAUGUUAAAUAAUUCAAUAAAUGCGUGAAAUAUAAAAUUAAAUGGGUACAGAUGAUAAAUAUUUACAAUUUAAGUUUUAAAUCCAAUAUUUAUAGAAUCAAGCGAUAGAGAUCUACUCAAUAUUGACCAGUUGUACUUCAUCCUGUAGUAUGAAAUUCAAAUUUGGUUGCGAUGGAACUUCACUGUUGGUUACGUACCCUUUCUGAGCCUUCACACUUCCAUAAUUCCACAAAAGUGUAGAAUACCUUUUAUGGAGUAAUUCAGCAUCAACUCCAUCAUUUGGUACUUGUAAUCCAUCGCUCAAAUAUUUGGCAUAAGCAGCAACAAAACACUACAAUUCCUAUAUUCAUAAAAAUCAGAUAACAAAUAUCUAAUUAAUGUAAGAGUUGCAAAAUUUAUGAAAUAAAUCAUUAUAAGUACUUACAGGUUACUACUGGAUCAUUGAGAAAUUCCUUCAACAUAUUCUUUAUUAAAUGGAUUACCUUGUAGAAAAUAGUUAUCACCCAUUUAAUGCUGGUAUGCUUCAAUCGUCAACCAAUCAGUACAAAUUUUUGGUCUAAAAAGCCACUUGUAUGAAGGUAAGUAGGAAACAUUAUGGCCAGCUUUUGUAUCUCGAAUGAUGGCUCACAAUAUCUCUUUGCCAACAUUGAGUCAUAAACUCGGAUGUGCCUCUUUUUAGAACAACAACAACAACCAUCCAAUGGAACUCACCAUCAUAAUUGAAUUAGAUGUACACUUCAUCGACCAAAUACCAAGGUAAGAAAGCUAAAAUGUCAAAAUCUUUGAUGAUGUUUGAUGUUUUGGCAUUUAAUGGAAUGUCGUGUACCUUUAACAAGCGAUAAUUGUAUGUUUUUAAGUAACUACUAAAGCAUUUGAUGUUGGGUUUUAGUUGUUCUCAGGAAAAUCCCUUAGAGGAAGGAAUUAUUUAGAAAAGUAGGAAAGAAUGCAUGUGAUGGAUUAAUUGACGGGUUGUCAACCUUAUGACGAACCAUUGUGGUGCUCAUCAGGAUAAAGCAAAAGUGAAGUUGUCAAGGACUCAAGUAAUGGACCAAGUGAUGGGUCAUCAAGCUUGCGACCUACAAUAACUGUGUCCAUCAGUAUUAAACAGAAUAGAUUGGUACCAAAGAUCCAGUGACGGACCAUAUGGCAGACCAUCAGGCCUGCGACGAACCAUCACUUUAGUCAUUAUCCUUAAAACGGAAUAAAGAUAAAUCAAAGUCCCAUCAACGGACCGAGUGAUAGGCUAUCAAGCUCAUGAUGGACCAUCAUCUUGGUCGUCAACCAUGAUGUGGCAGCUUGUGUUUUAAAUUUUAAGUUCCCACUUUCUGAGAACCUAUAAAUACCCAGUUUAGGGUUAUAUUAGGCAUCUUUCAGCUCUUGAAACAUUUUGUAAAUGAUAUUUCUUUGAGAAACAAGAUUAUUGCUUUGGGUUUUCAUUUUAUUCACCAUCAUCUAAGAUUUGGAACAAUUUCUUAUAUCUUUGUAAGUAAUUCUAAAUUGUGUAUGAAGAUUACAAUGGAUUUCUUUUCUUUCAUUAUGUGUGGCUAAAACUCCCAUAACUAGGGUUAUGAGAGCCUUGGUGUGAUUAAUUUCUAGGUUUGUGAGAAUAAUCAAAUUCCAUAAAUACGAUCAAUUGCAUAACCUUCUCUUCAAAUUAAUGACUCUACCUAGUUGCAAACUCAAAGUAUGUGCCUAUAAACACCACUUGUUGAGUAAAAGAGUUGGUGUUGGGAAAAGAGAAAAGUUACAAGAAAAUUAAGGGUUUUAACCUUUGAUUUAUAGGUUGAUGCCUUAACAGGAUAAACCUCCUUAAGGAUUUAAUUGAAUAAUCAUUAUCGCUCUUUAAGUUUGAAAGAAUUAAAGUGUAGCCAUCUUUUAGGAUUGAGAAAUAAUUAGAUGGACUUUAUUGCUCAAUUAAUCUUGCAUUUGGACUUUUCAAUUAGGGAUUUGAAAUAACUCACAACUCUUAUUGCAUCAACACCUUGGUGAUCAUAAUCCUAGUUUAACUAAUCUCAUUGAUUUUAUUUUGCAAAACACUCUCUAGCAUAAACACUAAGUGAUAUUCUCAAUAAUAUUUGUUAACAACAUAACCCCCCAUUUAUUUCUAGAAACCUUUGAUCAACAGUCUAUUAAUAGUCAUACGACUUAUUUAACACCAUAUUUCCUGUGGGAUUCGAUCCAAAUCUAGUUGGGUUAUAUAUUUGACAACGACCGCUUACACUCUUUAAAUAGAUUUGUAAUAUGGCUAUAUCAAUGUUGCUUAAAUAUUCCUCAUUUUGAGAAACUUCCAGAUGUUUUUGAUGAUACCUUUCAUAGGUCUUAUUGAUGUAUACUUUGAACAAAAAGUUGGUUUUUGUGUAUUUAUAUUAUUAUUGUGUUUGCAACUUUGUCUUCUUUCAAAGGUAGUAAAAUAUGACAUCGAUGUAUUGCACAUAUUAUCAAACAUUACAAUAAAGUAAAAAUAAAAUUAUUUAACAGAUACAAUUAAACAAAAAUGGAUAUCAAAUACAGUAUUAAUAGUAAGUGGAAUUUAAACCUCAUCAUUUCAUCAAGUUUUAGGUUGUCACAUCAAAUAGAACUAAUUCUGUAUUUUGAGAUGUGCAACAAUAAAGUUGAACAUAUCAAAUCCAAGACCCUGUUGUUUCGAUUUGUAAUGGUUGUUCUUUUAUUUUUUGCAGAUUUAUAUGAGUUAAUAUCAUGUUUGUAUAAGAAGAAGUUUAUAAAUCAGAAUUUAUAAAAAUGAUUUAUGUUGUUACUUGUUGGCAUAAUACUUUAAUAGACCAUCAAUAAUCCAUUUUGAAUAAGUGUUGAUCAACUGCAUUGGAGUAUCGUUCGAGAUGUUGAAUCCUUCAAACAGAUAAUUCUGAAGUUCAUCUAAACUUUUAUUUGAACUGACAGACUUCACUUUUUCUGCCUCUUUGGAAGCAGUUGAUGGAUUAUCAACUAUGACUGUAUGUUAUUUAGUAGUAUCAUGCACUGUGACAUCCACCUGAAAAGCUAGAAUUGUUAAUGCUUAUCACAAAGAUACAAACAAAAUGAAAUAGAAAAAGAUAAGAUACAUAAAGUUAUGCAGAAGAUGGGUAAUCUAUUGCACAAAUUUAGCCCAUUUGUUGCAAUAGAUACAUAAAGUUAUGUAGUGGAUGGGUAUCUGUUACAUAACUUUAAUGCAUCUACUGCAAAAAAUACAUAAAGUGAUAUGACAAAUGGGUAAUUUGUUACAAUAAAUAUCCCAUCUGUUGUAAUAGAUAAGUAAUUUGUUGCAACAGAUGGGAUAUUUGUUGCACUUAUCACUGGAGUUGUUAACAUAUUACAAAGUACUACAAGUUAUGCAAUAGAUUGUUAUAACAGAUUACCCAUCUGUUGCAAUAGAUAUGUAAUCUGUUGCAACAGAUGGGAUAUUUAUUGCAAAAAAUAUGUAGUCUGUUGGAACAGAUGAUAAAUAUUCACCUUUUUUAGCUCAUGUUUCUCUCAUAUGGCCCUUUUAUAUUACUCAAUAGUGCAAGAAAGAAAGUUUGCAAUUUUUCUUUUUUUGAUAUUUGAUAAUAGCUUAAAAAUUGCUUUCUUUCUCCUCUUAACCUCUAAUGGAGUGAAUGGAUCUAAAAAAAAAUUUAUGGGAUGACACCUCUCUUAGAUGUCAAUUCCUUUACAGUAGUAGUUAAUGCAUUAAUAGCAUUAAUCACUCCAUCAUGUUUUACCUUGCACUGUUGACAUUUGCAUGCACAAAAUAAGCUAGGAGGGGAAAGAUGUCUAAAUGAUUUACUACCCUUUUCAUAUGAGAAAUCUAUAGUAUGCAAAUUUAAAGGGGUAUAUCGACCAUCAAAAUCAGUAAAACUAGUAUAAUCAUAAUCAUGAUCAUUUCUUCUAUCAAAAACUGCAAGAGAAGCAUCAACCAACAUAACAACACCACCAACCCCAACAACAGCACCAUCACCAUUACCACCACCAACAGCAACUCCAUCACCAACAUCUUUAUCACCACCUGUAGCACCAUCAACAACAACAUCACCAAGAAUAAUUCCAUCCUCCCAAAGUGCUUUUCUUUUGAUGGUUGUUACUCCAACUAAUAAUUUUGUAUUCUAUCAAUUACCUUAAGGUCCGAUAAAGUUUGCACAAAUCGUAUAGUAAUAAAAAUGGCAUCUUCAACUCUCGAUUAGUCGAAAUAAGUUAUGAAUGCACAAUCUAAAAUAAAUUAGUAUAUAUAUUAGAAUUAUGAUUAAAUUAUUUAAAUAAAUCAUUAAUUAAAAUUAAACUUAUUGAUUCCUCGAGGGGAUUGAAAAGAUCAACAAAUUUUUCUUUUUUGUUAUUUUUGACCGACAACCAUCUAAGGAUUCUUGGACAUGAAACUUCUUCUUGGUGGUUCACUUGUUGCCUAAGAUAAGAAAUGGCUUCAAGUGUGCAAGCCUAUAAAAUUAUGCCAAUAAAUCAAAAGCAUUAUUCAAUAAAAAAUAAAUGAAACAUAAAGAAUGAAAUAUUUACCACGAAAUUCAAUGAAAAGCCAUAUAAGUUAACUGUCUUUGGCAUUAACAGAGUCAACAAAUAUUUGACAGUCAUUUGAAGCUUUCAUGACCCCGAGGAUAGUUGUUAAAUGCCUCAAGAUCCUCGGAGAGAUUCAUUAAAUCAAAUGGUAUAUUGUUGUUCACAUCUCUCACCUAAAUAGUAUUAUGUAUAAACCAAACCAAACACAAUGAUUGCUUGUGCUUCUUUGAAAGUCUUUUACCUUUCAAGUUUUCUAUCAAAUUUAUGUUUUAAAAGCUAGACCAACCAGAGACAACAAGUUAUCACCAUCAAUCGACUAGCCUUUUGGGGUACGGGUGCCUUUUUUGUGAUACAAUAAGUAUAGGUUGAGAAGAAGGAUAACAUUUUAGUUCAGUAACUAUGAAAAACUCCUUUCAACCAAAACAAACUGGCAUACAACAGUAAUUUAUUCACACCUCAUCUAUCUUAUCUUUAUUUCAUACAUAAACCUACAUUUGAAAAGAUCAUACACCAUGAUCAUUUGAAAACAAGCAUUAUUGUCCUCCGGCAAAUCAAGCUAUUGCCCAAAGCAGUUUUUCCUUAAAUAAGCAUUCAAUUUUUGUUCUCGAAGUAUUUUUUGAAGGUAUCAAAAAAAUUUCCAUGGCUGACUUUGCCACAUAAUUACCAGUUAAAUCCAUGGCACCAUCAUACUACAUUCUCAUACAAAAAUUAUCAAUACUGAAGGUUUUGACAAAUUCUUCAGUGAAAGGGAUAUUAGGAUCAAUAUUAGCAUUUGGAUCAUGUUGACUUUUAGAACUAAAUUCAACAUCUCUUUUGAAGCUUUUCCUCUUUCUAAUGUUUAUUUCUUCUAUUUCUGAUUAAGAUAUCACAUGUACAACAAGCUUAUAUAGUGGUGAAUAUAGCCUAGCUACUUCACUUAUUCCUUUACUUAGACUUGAUUCACUUUAUUUUCUUUUGGGAGACAUAUUAUCUAAAAACAAAAGGAAAAUAAAAGAUUAUAAUUGAUUUAUGAAUCAUUAAAAAGGGAUAAGAGUAAAUCUAACAAGUACAAUACAGUAAUAGUUUUAACAUAUCACUCAAUUGUUGCGAUAGAUUAGUGAUUUGUUGCAAUUGAUUAGUGAAACAUUGCAAAAGAUCACUCAUCUGUUACAACGGAUGAGUGAUCUGUUGCAAACAAUAAAAACAAUUUCAAUACUGUUCCAUUUCUCCAAAAGAUUAUCAACAUAUUGCAACAAAUAAGUAAUCAGUUGCAACAGGUCACUCAUAUGUUGCAAUAAAUGAGUGAUCUGUUAGAACAAAUAAAAUAGUUUCACUAUUGUUUAGAUUUCUUCCAAAAGAUUACCUAUCUGUUGGAAGAAAUCAAAAGUCUUGACAGUCAUCUGUUGGAAUAACUAUAAGUAUUUCAUCCAACAGAUGAGUCAUCAUUGUUUUUUUCAACAGUGAUUCAUAUGUUGCAACAGAUGGUUCAUCUGUUGAAAAAAAUAACCUAGUAGUAAGAGUAAUCAAUAGUAACAACAGCAAUAUCAAUACAACAACACCAAUAACAAUAAUAUUUACUAGACCAACAACAACAACAUAAAUAAAUCAACACCACUAAUACCAACACACAUACCAAGAACAUCAACAUUUACCAUCAACACCAAUAAAUCAACAGUUGUUAGAUUUGGUCACAAUAGAUGUCUCUGAAAAAAAUUAAAAUUCAAGUUUCACUAUUUCACAAUAAUGUUUGAGAACAAGAAGUGCAGUAACAACAAAAAUUAUAUUUCCCUUUGAAAAAAUAUCAUAUUUACACUAAUUAUAUUAAGAGAAGAAAUACUAUAAAUUAGAAUUUUCUUUAGUUCCCAUUUCAUUUUUAAGCAACAAAUAUCAAAAUUAUUAACCCCUACUAGAAGAGAAGUUAACUGAAGUUCUUUUUUUUCAUCAUAACUAAAAAGCCCUAAUUUUUUAACUGUGAAAGUCGAAAAAGAACGAUGAAGUACUUAAAGUUGUUGUCGCCAAAAGUCGUCAGAGAAUGUUGUCACGUUAAUUGACGGUUGUAAGUCAAAAAGAAAUGAUGAAGAACUUGAAAUUAUUAUCGCCGGAGGUUAAAAGCCACUGAAGAUUGAAGAGAACGAUGGUUUUGGUUUUGCAGAACUGUUAGGAGAAGCUUGAGAGAGAGAGUCGAGACAUUGGAUAAAGAGAGCAGAGUUUUGUUAUGGGUUGAUUUGUAUUUUUAAAAUAUGAAGAAGUUUAAAAAAUAUUAAUUGAGUUUUCAAUUAACUUAAUUAAGUUUUAUCUUAAGCUUUGACCUUUUCAUUUGGCCAAAGUCACUAAUGAUCAAUUCCAAACUUAAAAAGACACUUUUUCUUCAAUUUUCUCGAAUAACUAAGUCAAAGUUUCCACAUAAUUGCAUAACCUAUUGCUCCCAAAAUGUGCAUUAUUUAUCAAAUAGGAUCUCACGGAUAACUAUUCAAUGUGAUAUUGGAAUAAUUUGCUAAUAUAGGUUGCCCACCAUAAAACUCUUGUGCAUUACUAGUAUUUCAUUUAUACAUCACUUUUACGUUUUGUAUUUUAUGUGCCAGCUAUAAUUUUAUUUCUCUAUCAUGGUGAGUCCAUUUUGAGAUCGUGGGCUAGGUCAUGUGUUACAAUGGGGUAAAUUACAGAACUGGCCUUCAUAGGGGGGUGGCUUUACUUUUUGUCCCCCAUAAGAAAAAUGCAAAAUUAAUCGUCCUUUUUUAUUUAUAGAACAAAUACCUAUUUGCCCUUAUAUAUCUCAAAUAUUCUGAAAUAACUCCCCAUAUUUAUUAAUGUUUAACUUCUAUUUUUUCUGUUUUUUAUUUCACUUUAAUUCUAUUUUUUUUUUUUGGUUUUUUCUCAAUUUGUACUUUGUUUUCCUUUUCUCCUCUCAACUUCUAUUUUUUUUCUUUUUUAUAUUUCUUUGAUCUUUAUUUUUUUCUUCUCUUUUUUUAAUUUUUCUCAACCUUUAUUUUUUUUAUCUUUUUUUCUUCAUUUUCUUCUUUUUUCGCAAACUUUAUUUUUUUUCUUUUCACCUCUCCACCUCUAUUUUUUUCUUCUUGUUUUUAUUUUAGUUGAUUGUUCUAAAUGUUUUUCCUAAUAUUUUUUUUCUUUUUUCUAAACUUUUAUUAUUUCUCUUUUCUUUUCUUCGAUUCCUUCCAAACAGCAGGUUACACCCCACGGGCAAGAGAUAACACGACCACAUUGUGUCGAGAUUUACGAGAUGUUCUACAACUCUUGACUUAGAGGCAAGACUUAGCCCAAGGAUUUUCAAAUAAUAAGUUACUUACAGUGGACAAAAUUUGACACUGUCGCAUUGUACUUUGACAUGAGAUGCUUUAUAACUCUUGCCUUAGAGGAAAGGCUUAGUGCAAGGAUUUUCAAAUAACGAGUAAUGCCUAAUGGAAAAGAGCCGAUACUAUCAUAUUGUGUCUUGAUUUAUAUGAUGCUCUAUAGCUCUUGUCUCAAAGACAAGACAUAACUCAAAGACUUUCAAAUAACAAGUUACGCCUCAUAGGCAAGAGUUGACACUACCACAUUGUGUCUUGAUUUAUGAGAUACUCUAUAACUCUUAUCUUAGAGGCAAGACUUAGCCCAAGGACUUUCAAACAAGUUACAUCCCAAGGGCAAGAUUUGAUACCACCACAUUGUGUUUAGAUUUAUGAGAUGUCUUAUAACUCUUGCCUUAGAGGCAAGAUUUAGCCUAAGGACUUUCAAACAAAAAGUUAUGCCCCAUAGGAAAGAGUUGAUGAUGCUACUACAUUGUGUCUUGAUUUAAGAUGUUCUAUAACUCUUGCCUUAGAGGAAAGACCCAAGGACUUUCAAACAACAAUUUACGUCCCAUGGACAAGAGUUGACACUGCCACAUUAUGUUUUGAUUUAUGAGAUGUCUUAUAAUUCUUGCCUUAGAGGCAAGACUUAGCCCAAGGACUUUCAAACAACAAGUGAUACCAUAUAAGCAAGAGUUGAAACUACCGCAUUGUGUCUUGAUUUAUGAGAUGUCCUAUAGCACUUGCCUUAGAGGCAAGACUUGUCCCAAAGAAUUUUUGAACAACAAGUUAUACUCUUAAGUUUACUUUGAUGUCAAAAAAAGAAGAUCCUCUUUGUGGAUUAUCCAAUUUUUUGUUCAUUAGCAAGAAAAUAAUAGAUGUUGAGAAAAACAUAAAAAGAGGAAAUAGAAAGAGAAAAGAAAAAAUAGAGAAAAACAUAAAGGUUAAGAAAAGAGUACAAAAAACAAAGAGAAGAAUAAAAAAAUUAAAAAAAAAUGAGAAAAAUAAAAAAUGAGAAGAAAAAAUUAAAAAUAAAAUAAAAAUGAAGUUUGAAAAAAAAUUUUAAAAAAAGAAGAAAAAAUGACAAAAAAAAAAGAUAGAGGUUGAGACAAAUGAAUUAAAAAAAAAUAAAGAAAUGAAAAAUAAAUAAUGAUUGAGAAAAAAGAGAAGAAAAAAAAUAAAAGUUGAGAAAAAUGAAUCAAAACAAGAAAAAAAGGAAAAGAAAAAUUAAAAAUCAAGGAAAAAAAGAAAAAAAUAAAAACUUAAGAGACAAAUGAGCAUGAAAAUGUUAAAACAUUUGAGGUGUAGAAGGACAAAAAUGUACUUAUAUUAUACAUAAAAAAAAAAAAAAAAACUGGUAUUUAAAUCCUUUUCUAAUAGGGGACAAAAAAUGGGUAACUUCCUUGUUACAAUGUUACAAAGACUCUGGAGACGGAUUUGUAUUAUUUUUGGUUGUUAGAACUUGAAAGGAUUUACGAGUGUCAUAUUUAUUUAAAGACUGAUUAAUGAGCAUAUUGUUGAGUUGAUGUUUUUUUUCCCUUUGAUUAGUUAAUAUUUUUAACAGAAAAGGGUCAAUCUAUCCUUAAACUAUUCGAAUGGAGCAAAAAUAUUCUCUAUUUAUUUUUUUUCUCAAAAAUAUUUUUUCAUUUGUUUUUUGACUAAAAGAUACCUCCUCUGUUUGUUUUUUGGCUUUAAACUAUCCCUCACUUUAACAGAGUGCCACCAAGUACACCAUGUAAAAAAUUACCACAUUUCAAUCCAUGUCAGCAUUUUAUUUACAAAAAAGGAUCAAAACUAUCCAUGAACUAUCCGAAAUGGAACAAAACUACCCCUCUAUCUAUUUAUGGCUCAAAAAUAUCCUUCUGUUUGUUUUUUGGCUCAUAAAUACUCCUACUUUAAUGAAGUGUCACCAAGCACACAAUGUGAAAAAAAUAUUACUACAUGGCCAAAUCACAUCAGCAUCUCAUUUAAUACCCAACUGACACACUUAACCAUCCAAUUUAAUACCCUAAAUACCUGUACCCGAUCUGUCUUUAAAAAAUUCAACACAUCUUCACUUAAACUCUCUCAAAAAAAUCAAUGCAGACUAGGGAUUUUGAGGAAAAAGAAAGCACCCAUAUUCUUUAACGUGAAUAAGACGGAUCGAGUUUCAACCGAUGUAUUAAGGGUUUUUCUUUCUCUCAAAAUUCCUAGUCUUUAUCGAUCGGUUCAAGUGAAAUGAAGGGUGAAUCUAUCUUUACCCUUACUUAUGAAGACGAGUUGAUUGUUUUGAAGAUGGAUCGAGUAUGGUAUUAAAUGGGUUAUUAAUUUGGAUUGUUAAGUGGUUUGGUUGAUUAUUAAAUGUGAUGUUAACGUGAACUGGUCAUGUGACAACUUUUUUUCGUAUGGUGUGCUUGGUGGCGCUCCAUUAAAGUGAGGAGUAUCUGUGAGCCAAAAAAAUAAAUUGAGGGAUAUUUUUGAGCCAAAAAUAAAUAAAGGAUAUUUUGAGCCACAAAUAAAUAAAGGGUAUUUUUUAGCCAAAAAAUAAAUGGAGGGUAUUUUUGCUCCAUUUGGAUAAUUCAGGAAUAGUUUUGGCUUUUUUUCGUAAAUAAGAUGCUGACGUGGAUUGACCAUAUGACAAUCUUUUUCACGUGGUGUGUUUGGUGGCACCCCAUUAAGAUGAGGUUUUUUUAGCCAAAAAAUAAAUGAAAGAAUAUUUUUGAGCCAAAAAAUAAUCUGACGGUAUUUUUGCUCUAUUUCAGAUAGUUCAGACGUAGUUUUGACUGUUUUCUGUAUUUUUAACUUAAUGAAUUAUAUGAUAUUGGGCAUGACAUGGGUAGUUACUAUAUUAAAUACAUUUGUUUGUUGCAAGUUGUAUCGAGUGUCUUUUUUUUCAUCCGGUGCUUGAAAUCCAUAUUAGAGCCUGACUAAUUCGAAUUCACUUAAGGUAGGGCCUAUUCAGAGAUACCAUUUCCUACCAAGGAUUUUUUCAUACCCAAGACUCGAACCCGAGUCUCUGGUUAUGCGAGGAGUAACCUCGUCCAGUACACCACAUCCUUUGAUGGUAAGUUGUAUCGAGUGUCGUAUGACCUCUCGUUCAUUUUGGGGCAUGAAAUUUUCUUAAAGAACUAAUUAGGGGUCAAUCUUUCUAAAAUUUAGGUUUGCUAGAACUUCAGAAUCUAGAACUUUCAUAUGUAUAUUCAGUUAGUGCAAGUCCUCUGUAGUUUCUUCAUUUCAAAAUAGUUGACACUUGUUGACUUGAUACUCCCCUUAAGAAAAUAUUUAUUAGGAAUUUAUUCUACCAAAUUAGCCUUAUUAAGUAUGCUUUGAAAAUAUAAAUUUGAGUAUAUCCACUUUAUUUAGUCAUUUAAUGAUAAGGGUAUUAUUAAAAGAACAUGAUAAAAUCAUUUUGAUUUCAUUAAAGAGAUAACUAAAUUGAAACAUAUAUUUUUAGAAAGAGGAUCAACUAAAAUGAAAUGGAGGAGUACUUACAUUUAGCGGUGUUCAUGGAUCGAUUAUUGGUCAAAACCAUAACCAAACCAACUUAGUCGAUUUUUAAAUUCCUAAAAUCAAACCAAACCAAACAAAAAAAUAACCAUCGGUUUGGUUCUUGUCGGUUUAGUUUGGUUUGGUUUGAUUUUUUUGGUUUAUAACUUUAGCUAAUGAUAAAAGUUGAAAAUUUUUAAAAAACAAAUUGAAUAUAACAUAUGAGAUGUCAACCAAAUGUUGUAUCUCAACCUUAAAACUAAGAUGUCAACUCUGUCUUAUACUUCGACAAAGCCAUGAACAACGCCAUUUGAACGCUUCUACAAAAAUAUUUAAAAAUUACAUUUAACAGAUGAUAUGAUAAACUCCCCAAAAGGUGAACACAUAAACUUAUUGCUCAAUAAGGUUCUAAAAGAAAGUUAAAAUUAGUGAAUGUCUAUAAUCUAAUGAAUAUCAGCUGUAAAUUUCAAUAUACAACAAGAUAUUAUUUUCAAAAUUAGUAUCAUUUGUCAUUCAAAGUGGAAAAUUCAUUUAGAAUCUGUCACACCCCUUUUUUACGCGUACUCCAAAAAAUGGAUAUAUUUUAAAGUUUGAAAGGAUUUUAUUGUUUAAGUGACAAGAAAUGAAAAUUUGUUUCGGAAAAGGAUUAUUUACAUUUUUUAUUCAGAGUCGCCACUUGGCAUAAUCCGGUGUGCCAAGUCACCUUUGGAAAAUCCUUUUUGAAACCAUUUGACUCUUAAACCGAUUUGCGAACAGAGAUUCCGGCUAAGGAAUUCUAUUGACCGAGGGAAAGGUGUUAGGCACCCCUCGAUCCCGUGGUUCGACCAUGGUCGCUUGGUGGAGUGUAUCGACUAUUUUGACAUUAUGAAAUGUAUAAACCACACAAAAGAACACAAAAUAAUCAAACAAUAAAUAAAACGAAAUACUCCAAAAACGUAAAAGUCCAGUCCAAUUAUACAGUCCGAAAAUAGAAAAAAUAUGAAAAUAUAAAUCCUAGUCUAAAACUAAAUCUAAGCUCCAAUGCCCUACCCAACUCUGCGGGCCUUCAUCACGAUCAUUUUUUGCCAACAUGAUACGUCAGGGCAUUCCCCGGUGAAUAAAUAUAAGUGAUCUCAGGGCAUUCCCCGGCUAAAUAAAUACAUCUAAAUUAAAUACGAUAAACUAGAAAGAAAAAUUCACACGCACAUUCCAAUAUCCAACAAAACACUUAUUCCUAAAUUUCGCCUACCCGAACCUACGAUUGCCUACCCGCUUGACUUACCAUGAUACUAUCACGAAAUUGAUAAUUAGACGUGAAAGUCACAAUAACGACGAAUCAAAACAACAACAAAUCAAAAUUAAUCCUAAUUCACUUUAACGAUUUUUAAACUCGCGCUCCGAAUUCCCUUUAAACCACAUGAUUACUGCAUGCUUCGAUUUUCCAAUCCCAUCUCAUAAUCCAAAACCAACAUCAAACACAACACAAACAACGAAGAUUCAAACCAAACACACAACAAAUAAAUCAUCCACACCAACAACAUCAAUAAAAAGUCAAAAUAAAUUAAAGAUUUGGUUAGAAUAAAUGGACCUUGACGAAACUAAUCCUUGUCGAUAAUAAAGAAAUUCGAAGACCAAAAUACUCGAUUGGAGAACCUCACAACAAACAACUCCAAACUCGAUAUUGAGUUCAACCGGACAGAUCGAAAAACCAUGACAAAAAACUCACAAUGAAUAACCCACAAAUCUGAAUAAACUUCAAAAAAACAACCCAAGAUCCCAGAUCCAAAACCUCAAAUCAACGAUUUCCAACUAUCCUUGCACGACGAAAUAAGAAAUACCAGAUGAACCGAGACUGAAAUUAUGAAAAAUUGAAAAGACCCAAUAUGCGAAAUCUCGUCGUAGUCGAAGGGACGAGCUACAGCCAGAGCAGACUGACGCGCUGCGGCCGAAGCUGGCCGAUUCUCGGCCAGCAAACGGUGUUCUCACCGGCGGAUGAGCCGCGACAGAUCUGGCCGGAUCUGACGGUGACUGUUUCGCCGACGGAGCGGCGAGGGGAGACAAAAAAAACGGCGACGUUGUUGCCGCCGUCGCCAGUGAAGUCGAGUCGGCGGUUGGAUGACGCUGAGAACGGCGUUGUCGUUGGCGGUCGCCGACCGGCGGCGAAGCGGUGGUGGAAGUUCUAAUUUUUAAAGAGAGGAAGAAAGAGAGUGGACAGAGAGAAAAAAAAGCUGAUGAUAUUUUUUUUGGAUGUGUUACUGUUCAUCCUCUUUAUUGUGUAUGUGGAUAGGUAUAUAUUGUGUUCUUUCUUCUUGGACAAAAAAAAGAGAGGGGGUGGGGUAACGUGGGGUAGGGGGUAGUGUGAGGUGUUAUUUUUUUAUUGGGUAGGUGGUUAGGAUAAGAUAGGGUUAGUUAUUUUAUUAUUUGUUUAUUAUUUUUUUUGUAUUUUGUGGGGUAUAAUGAAAUGGAUGAGGGCACACGGUAGGAUAAAAUAAGAGUGGGUAAAAAAAUGACAUUGUGGAGGGUGCAUGAUAUGCUAAGGUAGAAAAUGAAUAAAAUCGAACUUCUAAGGGGGGCAAAAUUAUGUGUCUACAUCAUGCCCCCUUUGAAUGUAAACACGCAGUGUUUUCAGACAAAGAAGUAGACAACGAGAUCAAAUUUUGACCCGACCAUUAUUCAAAUAAAGAAAUAGAAGAAAGAAGGACUAUCGGGUUUUGAAUUAGGACAGCCUGCCCACCCAAGUCAUGAAGGGAUCGAGUGACAAGUAUUUCCAGGGAUUGGACGGAGAUGGACUAUACCGAGUUGGAGAAUCGAGUGAGGUUCCAUCGAGAUUUCGGUCCGCAGCUCUGUUAUUAUAUCAAAAAUGCAAAUUGCAAGUUAAAACAUAAAUGAAAUUACAAAAAUCCUAUCUAUACUUCUGUUGGUUCUUGACUCGACUUUCAUCACCCUAUUCUUCAGGCGGGCUCCUGAUUUGCAAUUUCUUUCAAACUGUUGCUUGGCUUUCAAUUGCUUCGUUUUGUUAUUUGACUUUUCAUUUCUCCACCCUAUUUUCCAAGCGGGCUCCUGACUUGCUAUUUCCAUCACUUUGUUGCUUGAAUUUUAUUUUCUUCACCCUGUUCUCCCAACGGGCUUCGAACUUGCUAUUUCAUCACCCUGUUCUUCAGGCGGGCUCCUGACUGGCUAUUUCAUCACCCUGUUCUUCAGGCGGGCUCCUGACUGGCUAUUUCAUCACCCUGUUCUUCAGGCGGGCUACUGAAACCCAAAAUUAAAACUAGAACGAACAAUAUCCCAAACAAAAAUUAUAAUAAAGUAGUAUUUUAUUUUUGAAAGCGUUGUCCCAUUUUCCAGGAGGGUCCUGAAUAUAAAGUAAAAUCCCAUUUUUCAAGAGGGUCCUGAACUGAAAGUAAAUUCCCAUUUUUCAGGAGGGUCCUGAGCAUAAAGUAAAAAUCACUGAACAGAAAGUAAAAUCCCAUUUUUCAGGAGGGUCCUGAACAGAAAGUAAAAUCCUUGAACAGAAAGUAAAGUCCCAUUUUUCAGGAGGGCCCUAAACUGAAAGUAAAUUCCCAUUUUUCAGGAGGUUCCUGAACAGAAAAUAAAAUCCCAUUUUUCAGGAAGGUCCUAAACAUAAUGUAAAAUCCCAUUUUCCAGGAGGGUCCUGAACUGAAAGUAAAAUCUCAUUUUUCAGGAGGGUCCUGAACAGAAAGUAAAAUCUCAUUUUUUAGGAAGGUCCUGAACAUAAAGUAAAAUUCGAUUUUUCAGGAGGGUCCUGAACAUAAAGUAAAAUCCCCGGAUGUGCAUUUCCAAUGGUAGCUGAAUCAAGUGAAACGAAUUUGCCCCUGUUUCAAUCAAAGAAAAAUUUGUCAGUUAAAAACUUAGUGGUGGCUUGCAGAUCUUGGCUUCUCAGGUAUCUGCCCAGCACUCGUUCCUUUUAUCUUUGUUCCAAAUUGCUAACACUUGUUGUGUCUUGCCGCAUCAUUGACCCGGAUCCAAAUUGAGGGAAGUUAUUUCUAACUCAAACAAUGGGUUUCCAUUUUACCAUGCCCCUGAGGUGUACUCUUUUCCUGAAUAUGAAUGUUUUCUAUGAAUCCAAUAGCGUGUCGGUUGAUAGACUUCCUUUGCUUCAUGUUAAAUUAUGAUCAUAUUUCUUCCUGUUCUGUUCCUUGGCUUUUCCUCAUAUAAUUGGAAAGAUUGGUAAUAAAUUUUGAAAUUCUUUCACGCUUGUUUUGACAUAGACUUGACUUAAAACGUAAAGAAAUGGUGGUGACUUUUAUUUUGAUAAAUGACAUAAAAAAGACAAAAAGCAUGAAUAUGUAAAUGAAAGAAAAGGGAAAUGUCCCAUAUUCAAAAAAAAAAAACUUNNNNNNNNNNNNNNNNNNNNNNNNNNNNNNNNNNNNNNNNNNNNNNNNNNNNNNNNNNNNNNNNNNNNNNNNNNNNNNNNNNNNNNNNNNNNNNNNNNNNNNNNNNNNNNNNNNNNNNNNNNNNNNNNNNNNNNNNNNNNNNNNNNNNNNNNNNNNNNNNNNNNNNNNNNNNNNNNNNNNNNNNNNNNNNNNNNNNNNNNNNNNNNNNNNNNNNNNNNNNNNNNNNNNNNNNNNNNNNNNNNNNNNNNNNNNNNNNNNNNNNNNNNNNNNNNNNNNNNNNNNNNNNNNNNNNNNNNNNNNNNNNNNNNNNNNNNNNNNNNNNNNNNNNNNNNNNNNNNNNNNNNNNNNNNNNNNNNNNNNNNNNNNNNNNNNNNNNNNNNNNNNNNNNNNNNNNNNNNNNNNNNNNNNNNNNNNNNNNNNNNNNNNNNNNNNNNNNNNNNNNNNNNNNNNNNNNNNNNNNNNNNNNNNNNNNNNNNNNNNNNNNNNNNNNNNNNNNNNNNNNNNNNNNNNNNNNNNNNNNNNNNNNNNNNNNNNNNNNNNNNNNNNNNNNNNNNNNNNNNNNNNNNNNNNNNNNNNNNNNNNNNNNNNNNNNNNNNNNNNNNNNNNNNNNNNNNNNNNNNNNNNNNNNNNNNNNNNNNNNNNNNNNNNNNNNNNNNNNNNNNNNNNNNNNNNNNNNNNNNNNNNNNNNNNNNNNNNNNNNNNNNNNNNNNNNNNNNNNNNNNNNNNNNNNNNNNNNNNNNNNNNNNNNNNNNNNNNNNNNNNNNNNNNNNNNNNNNNNNNNNNNNNNNNNNNNNNNNNNNNNNNNNNNNNNNNNNNNNNNNNNNNNNNNNNNNNNNNNNNNNNNNNNNNNNNNNNNNNNNNNNNNNNNNNNNNNNNNNNNNNNNNNNNNNNNNNNNNNNNNNNNNNNNNNNNNNNNNNNNNNNNNNNNNNNNNNNNNNNNNNNNNNNNNNNNNNNNNNNNNNNNNNNNNNNNNNNNNNNNNNNNNNNNNUCUUUCUUUUGUUCUUAUUUUCUUGAUAUUUAUCUUUGACUCUAUUUUGAUUCCAAAAGAGGGAUAUGAAAGAAAAAAAAAGAAGCUCAAACGGGUAAACAAAAGAUGACACCAUAUUUGGAUAGAAGAAUAAAAUACCUUCAUCGUAUCAAUCUUCAAGAAUGCAAGUGCUAAACAUGCAAUAAACUCAACAAAGGAUCCAAUAUCAUACAUAGUAUCUUUUGACCGCAUCAGCAUUGAUAGCCAUUUCUGCCAUUUUGCCUUCAAUAUCUGUCAAAUAUAAGGCUCUAUUGGGCAAUACUUUCUUCACAACGAAAGGACCUUGCCAAUUGGGAGAGAACUUGCCUUUCGCUUCAACCUGGUGAGGAAGGAUACGUCUCAAUACCAACUGACCAACUUCAAAAUUCCUAGGAUGGACCUUUUUGUUAUACGCUCGAUCCAUCCUCCUCUGAUACAAUUGGCCAUGACACACAGACGUUAGCCUCUUUUCCUCAACCAAACUCAAAUAUUCCAAUCGGGUUUUUACCUAUUCAUCAUCAUCAAUCUCUGCUUCUACAAUGACCCGAAGAGAAGGAAUUUCAACUUCUGCAGGGAUGACUGCUUCUAUCCCAUACACCAAUAAAUAUGAAGUUGCCCCUGUUGAAGUACGAACCGUGGUGCGAUAACCUAGCAAUGCAAAUGGCAACUUUUCAUGCCACUGUCUAGACCCCUGUACCAUUUUUCGCAGUAUCUUCUUUAUAUUCUUAUUGGCGGCUUCUACAGCACCAUUGGCCUUUGGGCAAUACGGAGUAGAAUUUCGAUGUGCGAUCUUAAAUUGUUAACACACUUCUUACGUCAAAUGACUAUUAAGAUUGGCAGCAUUGUCUGUAAUGAUCAUCUUAGGAAUUCUGAAUCUACAAAUGAUAUUGGCAUGAACAAAAUCUACCACAGCCUUCUUUGUCACUGACUUGAAAGUUACUGCUUCUACCCACUUUGUGAAGUAGUCAAUGGCUACCAAAAUGAAUCUAUGCCCAUUUGAUGCCUUCGGNNNNNNNNNNNNNNNNNNNNNNNNNNNNNNNNNNNNNNNNNNNNNNNNNNNNNNNNNNNNNNNNNNNNNNNNNNNNNNNNNNNNNNNNNNNNNNNNNNNNNNNNNNNNNNNNNNNNNNNNNNNNNNNNNNNNNNNNNNNNNNNNNNNNNNNNNNNNNNNNNNNNNNNNNNNNNNNNNNNNNNNNNNNNNNNNNNNNNNNNNNNNNNNNNNNNNNNNNNNNNNNNNNNNNNNNNNNNNNNNNNNNNNNNNNNNNNNNNNNNNNNNNNNNNNNNNNNNNNNNNNNNNNNNNNNNNNNNNNNNNNNNNNNNNNNNNNNNNNNNNNNNNNNNNNNNNNNNNNNNNNNNNNNNNNNNNNNNNNNNNNNNNNNNNNNNNNNNNNNNNNNNNNNNNNNNNNNNNNNNNNNNNNNNNNNNNNNNNNNNNNNNNNNNNNNNNNNNNNNNNNNNNNNNNNNNNNNNNCCUCUUUUGAUCGUUGGUGGCAUAUGCUGGGUAUUCUCCUGACUGAAUGUACCGCUUGAUAUCCAAGAACCAAGGUUCUCCAUCAAAGCUCUUCUUAACCGCACUACAGUAAGCAUGCUGAUCACGACUCUGUAUAUACACUGGAUCGAUGUAGGUUUUGUCAGAAUGUUGGAGCAUUGAAGACAAAGUGGCUAAAGCAUCAGCAAUUUCAUCACGAAUCCUUGGAAUAUGCCUAAAUUCCUUGGAAUAUGCCUAAAUUUUACUAACACAAACCGUUGACAUAGCUCCUGAAAGCAUUGUAGAUACAGGAUGAGCUUCAAGUCUCGCGUCUCCCAAUCGCCUUGAAUUUGAUGGACGAGCAAAUCCGAAUCUCCCAACACUAAUAAUUCCUGGACUCCCAUAUCAACAGCUAACCUCAAACCAAGAAUGCAGGCUUCAUACUCUGCUAUAUUGUGAGUACAGUAGAAUCGAAGUUAUGCUGUUACCGAGAAAUGUUAUCCCGAUUCAGAGAUAAGAACCGCACCUAUUCCGACUCCUUUCAUAUUAACAGCUCCAUCGAAGAAUAACCUCCAACCUAGAUCAGCAUCUAUAACAACCUCAUCGACACACGACACUUCUUCGUCAGGAAAAUAUGUCUUUAAUGGCUCAUACUCUUCAUCUAUGGGAUUCUCAGCAAGAUGAUCUGCCAAGGCUUGGGCUUUCAUUGCGGUCCGAGUCACAUAUACAAUGUCGAACUCGGUAAGCAUUAUUUGCCACUUUGCCAAUCGACCCGUCGGCAUAGGCUUCUGAAAGAUAUACUUUAAAGGAUCCAUGCGGGAGAUGAGAUAAGUAGUGUAGGAUGAGAGAUAAUGCUUCAACUUCUGCGCUGCCCAAGUUAGGGCACAACAUGUCCUUUCAAGAAGAGUAUACCUGGCCUCAUAUGCGGUUAACUUCUUGCUAAGAUAAUAAAUAGCCUGCUCCUUUUUGCCUGUGACAUCAUGUUGACCCAGGACACAACCGAAAGAAUUGUCCAUGACUGAUAAAUAUAAGAUCAAAGGCCUACCAGGCUNNNNNNNNNNNNNNNNNNNNNNNNNNNNNNNNNNNNNNNNNNNNNNNNNNNNNNNNNNNNNNNNNNNNNNNNNNNNNNNNNNNNNNNNNNNNNNNNNNNNNNNNNNNNNNNNNNNNNNNNNNNNNNNNNNNNNNNNNNNNNNNNNNNNNNNNNNNNNNNNNNNNNNNNNNNNNNNNNNNNNNNNNNNNNNNNNNNNNNNNNNNNNNNNNNNNNNNNNNNNNNNNNNNNNNNNNNNNNNNNNNNNNNNNNNNNNNNNNNNNNNNNNNNNNNNNNNNNNNNNNNNNNNNNNNNNNNNNNNNNNNNNNNNNNNNNNNNNNNNNNNNNNNNNNNNNNNNNNNNNNNNNNNNNNNNNNNNNNNNNNNNNNNNNNNNUUGAGCAAUAAACCUGCUAAUGUAGUUCAAUCUACCAAGCAAACUCAUCACCUCUAUUCUAUUCUUGGGCGGGGGCAAAUCCUGAAUGGCUUUGAUUUUCGAGGGAUCCAAUUCAAUUCCCCGACGGCUGACUACAAACCCCAACAGCUUUCUAGAUGGAACUCCAAAUUCACAUUUUGCCAGGUUGAGUUUGAGAUUAUACCUGUGAAGCCUUUCAAAGAACUUUCUUAAAUCUUUUACAUGGUCAGCCUGACUUUUUGACUUAAUAAUCACAUCAUCCACGUAGACCUCAUUCUCCUUAUGCAUCAUGUCAUGAAACAUAGUGGUCAUGGCUCUCAUAUAUGUUGCUCCAGCAUUCGUUAAACCGAACGGCAUCACUCGAUAACAAUAAGUUCCCCAUGGUGUGAUAAAAGAUGUCUUCUCUGCAUUUUCAUCAUCCAUAAUGAUCUGGUGAUAUCCAACAUAGCAAUCCACAAAAGAGGCAACCUCGUGUUUAGCACAGUUUUCUAGCAAAAUGUGGCUAUUGGGCAGUGGAAAAUCAUCUUUCGGACUUGCUUUGUUCAAAUCANNNNNNNNNNNNNNNNNNNNNNNNNNNNNNNNNNNNNNNNNNNNNNNNNNNNNNNNNNNNNNNNNNNNNNNNNNNNNNNNNNNNNNNNNNNNNNNNNNNNNNNNNNNNNNNNNNNNNNNNNNNNNNNNNNNNNNNNNNNNNNNNNNNNNNNNNNNNNNNNNNNNNNNNNNNNNNNNNNNNNNNNNNNNNNNNNNNNNNNNNNNNNNNNNNNNNNNNNNNNNNNNNNNNNNNNNNNNNNNNNNNNNNNNNNNNNNNNNNNNNNNNNNNNNNNNNNNNNNNNNNNNNNNNNNNNNNNNNNNNNNNNNNNNNNNNNNNNNNNNNNNNNNNNNNNNNNNNNNNNNNNNNNNNNNNNNNNNNNNNNNNNNNNNNNNNNNNNNNNNNNNNNNNNNNNNNNNNNNNNNNNNNNNNNNNNNNNNNNNNNNNNNNNNNNNNNNNNNNNNNNNNNNNNNNNNNNNNNNNNNNNNNNNNNNNNNNNNNNNNNNNNNNNNNNNNNNNNNNNNNNNNNNNNNNNNNNNNNNNNNNNNNNNNNNNNNNNNNNNNNNNNNNNNNNNNNNNNNNNNNNNNNNNNNNNNNNNNNNNNNNNNNNNNNNNNNNNNNNNNNNNNNNNNNNNNNNNNNNNNNNNNNNNNNNNNNNNNNNNNNNNNNNNNNNNNNNNNNNNNNNNNNNNNNNNNNNNNNNNNNNNNNNNNNNNNNNNNNNNNNNNNNNNNNNNNNNNNNNNNNNNNNNNNNNNNNNNNNNNNNNNNNNNNNNNNNNNNNNNNNNNNNNNNNNNNNNNNNNNNNNNNNNNNNNNNNNNNNNNNNNNNNNNNNNNNNNNNNNNNNNNNNNNNNNNNNNNNNNNNNNNNNNNNNNNNNNNNNNNNNNNNNNNNNNNNNNNNNNNNNNNNNNNNNNNNNNNNNNNNNNNNNNNNNNNNNNNNNNNNNNNNNNNNNNNNNNNNNNNNNNNNNNNNNNNNNNNNNNNNNNNNNNNNNNNNNNNNNNNNNNNNNNNNNNNNNNNNNNNNNNNNNNNNNNNNNNNNNNNNNNNNNNNNNNNNNNNNNNNNNNNNNNNNNNNNNNNNNNNNNNNNNNNNNNNNNNNNNNNNNNNNNNNNNNNNNNNNNNNNNNNNNNNNNNNNNNNNNNNNNNNNNNNNNNNNNNNNNNNNNNNNNNNNNNNNNNNNNNNNNNNNNNNNNNNNNNNNNNNNNNNNNNNNNNNNNNNNNNNNNNNNNNNNNNNNNNNNNNNNNNNNNNNNNNNNNNNNNNNNNNNNNNNNNNNNNNNNNNNNNNNNNNNNNNNNNNNNNNNNNNNNNNNNNNNNNNNNNNNNNNNNNNNNNNNNNNNNNNNNNNNNNNNNNNNNNNNNNNNNNNNNNNNNNNNNNNNNNNNNNNNNNNNNNNNNNNNNNNNNNNNNNNNNNNNNNNNNNNNNNNNNNNNNNNNNNNNNNNNNNNNNNNNNNNNNNNNNNNNNNNNNNNNNNNNNNNNNNNNNNNNNNNNNNNNNNNNNNNNNNNNNNNNNNNNNNNNNNNNNNNNNNNNNNNNNNNNNAACCAUUUUCUCAAGUUGGUUGAUUGUAAUCUCCCUUGGAACAUAUGCUUCAUUUAAUACCUUCAGUAAAACAUCACGAUGCUCCUUGGAGUGCAACAGCAAAGAUAAAAGGGAAAUUUGAGCAGGGGUUUUCUUCAACUGGUCUAAUAUUGAAUACUCUGGCAACUUCAUCUUUUUCAAAAAUUCUUCGACUUUCUCUUCAGUUAUAGGCUUUUUGAUAGACGACGGUCCACUCACCAUUGGCUUGGACUUUCUUAAGAUUUCAGGCACGAAGCAUCUUCCUGACCUAGUCAAACCCCCUACCGCAUCUGCAUCUUCCACAACUUCUUUCCAAUGAUAGGUCAUCACAGUCCGCCCAUAGUUAUAGGGAAUCCUUUUCGUAUCAACUAUCGGAGGUUGGGUCACCGGUUUGAGGACAAUAGGUGCUUCCAGUGCUCCUUUCACCAUCAAGAUGGGUUGACUCAGAGCUCCCACCACUGUUAACUUAGGUUUAUCCUGACUUAAAUCAACAUACCUUCUGGCACCCUGUACUGUGAUCAGGGGUUUCUUUGUGCUUUCUUGGGCUUUAUCUUCCCUCAUUCCUUCUUGGUUCAAUGAUAUUGCUUUCAAAGACUCCACUACAUUCACCGAUUUCUCCUCAAUGGUCUGUAUCUUGACAUUAGGCUUAUAACCCCUUGAAGACUCUCUCCCAUCAUAUAUCAAUUCUAACAUAUUGGCUUUAGCAUGGGUUGGCAGUGGAUUCUGGUUAAUGUUUGGACAUUUCAAGGCCUGGACCAACAUCUGAUUCAUGUCAAUUAAAUCUUAUCAUGGCCUGGCAUAUCAAAACAGUACGCACACCUUAAAGAAUAAUUGAGAUUCCUUAGCGGUGGAUUUGAAAGCCUUCCUUGAAUCGGGCUUAAAACCUUCAACUUUCUCAACCUGUCAAAAAAACUAGCAUAUGACUCCCCAAGAGGUGUGAAUUGGUUUUUGACCGCCUUCUCCUUCUUAUACUCAGGCCUAGGCUGAAAAUUGGGUCUGGAGGGGUUUUGGUAAUUUGGUGGAGCGAAUGGGAGAUUUUGUGGAGCUUUCGCACACCAUUGUAGGUAAGAAGGGGUUUGGGCAUAUGGCUGCAUGCUAUAUACUGGGUACGGUGGUGGUGGAAUGGAAUAUAAAGGGUUUUGGGGAGGGUAGUAAUAGCGGGGAGAAAUAUAUGGAGCUUGGGUGUAGACUUGGGCUUGGGAUUGGGGAUAGGGGCGAGGUGGUCUUUUGGGAUAGGAAUGGGUUCCAGCUACGACAGUCGCCACGUCNNNNNNNNNNNNNNNNNNNNNNNNNNNNNNNNNNNNNNNNNNNNNNNNNNNNNNNNNNNNNNNNNNNNNNNNNNNNNNNNNNNNNNNNNNNNNNNNNNNNNNNNNNNNNNNNNNNNNNNNNNNNNNNNNNNNNNNNNNNNNNNNNNNNNNNNNNNNNNNNNNNNNNNNNNNNNNNNNNNNNNNNNNNNNNNCUGAAUGAAAACUUCUACCAACUUACUUUCUUUCAUUGAAGGCUUUACCCUAGCGGCCUGUUCACGCCACCUUAUCGCAUAUUCCCUGAAACCUUCAGUGCUCUUUUUCUUCAUGUUGAGCAAGGACUUUUCGUCCUGAAUCAGGUCGAUGUUAUAUUGAAAAUGCUGAACAAAUUUAGAAGCCAAAUCAUCCCAACUGUUCCAUUUAUCGAUAUCUUGAUCGAUAAACCAUUCUGAGGCCAGAUCUGAAAGACUCUCGCCAAAGAAGGCCAUGAGCAAUUCUUCCUUUCCUCCUGCAGCCCUCAACUGGUUGUAAUAACAUCUUAAGUGUGCCACGAGAUCGCUGUGUCCUGCAUACUUCUCGAACUUAGGCAUCUUAAAACCAGGGGGAAGAUUGAUGUCUGGGAACAUGCACAGAUCUUUAUAAGAAACACUCUUGUAAUCUCCGAUUCCUUGCAGAUUCCUCAUAGCCUGUUCUAAACUUUUCAAUUUCUGAGCUAUGAUAUCCUGUUCCUCCGUUGCGAAAGGUUUCUCCGUAUCAAAUGGAAAUACAGGCAGCUGAGUGUACCCAUGCAGUUCAUUCAUUUGCAAAGUAGGCUCCGAGGCAUAAUACUGACUAUCUGAAACCUUCAGUACUGGCUUACUGGAAGACCUAGGCAGCCUCAUUAUGGGACGCGCAGCGUAUAUGGGAGUUUCAUGUGGUGGCGGAGCCAUGAAUACCGGUGUGAUCGGUGGCGCUAGCUGAGCAGCGGGUCUUGAUUGAGGAGCUGCCAAGGGCACACUAGAACUGCCAAGAUAAUAAUGUCGCGGAGUGAACCCUGGCGCAUGCUCAAGUGACUCAAUAGGAGCAGAAAAUUAUGCCUGAGAGAGCGGUGGGCAACUAGAGACAUUCGCAAAACCUUCAGGGAGUGAAGGAAGAGGCAUUUCGCUGGCCCAUGCCCAAUGCAAAUCUAUCAAUUGUUGCCUGAGCCUUACUACCUCAUCAUUUUGUUUAGAAUUUUCUUCCCUGUGAUCCUGAUCCGGGUCAAUGAGUGAAUUUUCAAUCUCCCUGCUAGCCAUGGCGAGCUUUGCUUUGGAUCUGGUGAAGUAUGGGUGACUAGCCAGAGUGCUGCAAACCUACCACUGUUAUCUGAAAGAACAUGAUCAUCAAAGACGACAUCCAUUAGAAUUAGGGCGCACAACAAGCAUAGGAAUCACAUUGGUAAAAUUGCCCUAAAUUCAUGCUCAUUUCUACCAACUUUUGAGGGUAGCGAGGUCAUUUUAACAUCAUCCUGAUUUUUGUCUACACUAUUUUCUAUCUACACUUAUUAUUAUUCUUUCCCUCUCUUUUCUCUUUUUUUCUUCUCUCUCUCUUUUUUUUUGUAUCAAUCUUUACUCUUUUAUCUCGUUAUCUACCUUUAUUUUAUCAUUCUUUAUGGCUUUUGUUUUUCUUUAAAAGAGGAAAAAUGAGAAACAACGAAACAAAAUGCUUAGAUCGAACCCAACAGUAGGUUGCCUACGUAUCAUGUUGUACAUGAAUCAGAUCUUGCGUAGUUCGGGCCUUGCCAAAAUGGCCAAUUAAACUUUUUUUUCUUGAAACUUUAAGAAGAAAAGAAAAAUAACAAUUUGUCAUAACCUUGUGAAGAAAGAAAACAACAAAACGUAUAAAAAGUUUGGGACCACUGUAAAACUAAAAAAAAAAAAAUGAAUACGAAACAACAUUAUAGACCCCUAAGACGACACAGGUGAAAUUACUAAUAAAGACUCUAAUACCAAAAACAACUUGACUUCGACUUAAAACAAACACCACCCUAUAAUGACAGACACAUAAAAGACUCCAACCGAAUAAGGAUAAGAAGUGCUCUUUCAGACUGGUGCUCUGCGUGAUGACCCUGGCUGAUAUGGACCUGGCUCUGAAGUUCUCUUUCUCCCAUUCAAGCUUUGUAGCAUAUCCUGUAAAGAUACCCUGAUAGCGGGGAAGAAGCUUCGGGCCCGUAUUCCUGCUUCAUGAGGAGUGCACUUGGAAAGAUUAUUCUGACACCUUUCUACCGUCUUGAACAAAUCUUGUAACUGAACUCUCAGUGUUUCCACUUUGGACCCUACACUUUCAUCCUGAUGAUCGUCUGCUAUGCAUUCUUCCUGUAUUCUCCCUCUAAACUGUGCUGGCAAGGGUUGACUGAUACCCCGAGGGACAGAUUGAAGCUAGAUCUCAUAUCCCUGAGUGUGGCCCGGAUUAUCCAAACUUUCUUUGAGUGUGUCCACACCUAGCUUUGUUGCAUGCUUCCAAAACUGCUCAUACCUGCUCUCACCUAAGGCUUGGUCCUUGAAUUACUCAACAUCCUUCAGAAGAUCCACUACUGGUGGCACGUCCUNNNNNNNNNNNNNNNNNNNNNNNNNNNNNNNNNNNNNNNNNNNNNNNNNNNNNNNNNNNNNNNNNNNNNNNNNNNNNNNNNNNNNNNNNNNNNNNNNNNNNNNNNNNNNNNNNNNNNNNNNNNNNNNNNNNNNNNNNNNNNNNNNNNNNNNNNNNNNNNNNNNNNNNNNNNNNNNNNNNNNNNNNNNNNNNNNNNNNNNNNNNNNNNNNNNNNNNNNNNNNNNNNNNNNNNNNNNNNNNNNNNNNNNNNNNNNNNNNNNNNNNNNNNNNNNNNNNNNNNNNNNNNNNNNNNNNNNNNNNNNNNNNNNNNNNNNNNNNNNNNNNNNNNNNNNNNNNNNNNNNNNNNNNNNNNNNNNNNNNNNNNNNNNNNNNNNNNNNNNNNNNNNNNNNNNNNNNNNNNNNNNNNNNNNNNNNNNNNNNNNNNNNNNNNNNNNNNNNNNNNNNNNNNNNNNNNNNNNNNNNNNNNNNNNNNNNNNNNNNNNNNNNNNNNNNNNNNNNNNNNNNNNNNNNNNNNNNNNNNNNNNNNNNNNNNNNNNNNNNNNNNNNNNNNNNNNNNNNNNNNNNNNNNNNNNNNNNNNNNNNNNNNNNNNNNNNNNNNNNNNNNNNNNNNNNNNNNNNNNNNNNNNNNNNNNNNNNNNNNNNNNNNNNNNNNNNNNNNNNNNNNNNNNNNNNNNNNNNNNNNNNNNNNNNNNNNNNNNNNNNNNNNNNNNNNNNNNNNNNNNNNNNNNNNNNNNNNNNNNNNNNNNNNNNNNNNNNNNNNNNNNNNNNNNNNNNNNNNCAAAAGGUCAACAAACCCUCUAUUAAAUCUGGACGAGGGGUAACAUGCAGAAGUUCUGUGAGGUCACCUAAUAUUUUAACCAGUUUCUGCUGAUCAACAUAGUUAAACAUUUCCCACCAUUUGAUUAACUUUUUGGGUACCUUGACAACCAUCAGAACUCUAGACUUGGUAGAAAAACCCAUCCUGUAAUAACACAUAAGACGUUAUCUCAAAAACUCGAUAGGAGUAGAAGAUUCCCAACCCUUGGAAUUUUUGAAGCAAACAUAUGUCGAUGGGACAGACCACAUUCAUGACUCCAAUUCGCCGAAUAGAAGUACUGAGCGAAAUCAGUCUACUUGGCAAACAACUCUAGAUUACGGGGUGAGAGGCCUAGGCUAAUACUAAGAUAAAGGCCGACACAAAAAUUUACCGAACCCAUCGAGGGUUGUCUACGUAUCUCCACCCGAGGGAAGUGAAUCAGGUAUGUGUAGUUCAUUCAGAUUGGACAAUUAACGAUUAACAAAUAAAUUGACCCUAACUUACUACCAAAAACGAAAAAAAAACUUUUUUUUUCUUUUUUUGGCUAGACGCUUUAACCAAGACUGACACCACCAAUUAUACAGAAAAAUCUUUUUGACAUUUUUGUUUUUGACAAAUAAGUAGAAAAGACAAACAAAUUUUAUUUUUUUUUGAACUUACGGUGCUUUACAAAACGUAAAAAAAAAUCUUUUUUUGAAUUUUUGAAUUGUGCAAAACAAAAGUCAUAACGAAUUCUAAAAUAAACUACAACACUCUUCUUUUUCCGUUCUUUUCGACUCACUUUUCUAUUUUAUUUUUUUUGUUUUUGCCUACACACCUUACUCCUAACAAAUUAAUUUUUUAUUUUUUUAAAAAAAUCAGUCCGUCAAAAGACCAGUUACCCUUAAUAAUGCAACAGUUAGCACGUAGGGAUGCUUUUAAAGGAAGUCUCCUACAAAGGGCCAUGUAGAGCCCACUAGGUCUCCGCAUGAUGCACAUAAGCAUGACCUAAGGGAUGACCUACGUUGUGGUUUACUAACAAGGCUGUUCGGGGGAGCCUACAAAGGGCCAUGUAGAGCUCACUAGGUCUCCGCAUGAUGCACAUAAGCAUGACCUAAGGGAUGACCUACGUUGUGGUUUACUAACAAGGCUGUUCGGGGGAGCAUAUGGUCAAUAGUGGCUGCUUUGCUUUCCACCUACUCCAUAACACCGACGGUUCCCCCUAAAAUAAGGGUGACUCAACUAGAGGUUGUGUACAACAUAUGUACUACGGACUUGUUGCAGAAAAAAGGCUGGGGGUGGACUCAUGAUGACAGAUAUAAAGCAGUAACACAUAGGAUAAAUAAUAUUAAAAAAAGCACGAAAAAGCACAAAAAGUGAAAAUAACACAAACAAUAACCACAAACAAUGUUUAUACACUCGUAAUGCCAAACAAAGCCGAUACGACUCCAAAAAUAGCUCGAAUUUUGAAAACUUGUCAUACUUCCCCAGCAGAGUCGCCAGAACCUGUCACACCCCUUUUUUACGCGUACUCCAAAAAAUGGAUAUAUUUUAAAGUUCGAAAGGGUUUUAUUUUUAAGUGACAAGAAAUGAAAAUUUGUUUCAGAAAAGGAUUAUUUGCAUUUUUUAUUUAAAGUCGCCACUUGGCAUAAUCCGGUGUGCGAAGUUACCUUUGAAAAUUCCUUUUCAUAAUCAUAUGACUCUUAAACCGAUUUGAGAACAGAGAUUCCGGUUAAGGAAUUCUGUUGACCGAGGGGAAGGUGUUAGGCACCCCUUGAUCCCGUGGUUCGACCACGGUCGCUUGGUGGAGUGUAUCGAUUAUUUUGGCAUUAUGAAAUGUAUAAACCACACAAAAGAACACAAAAUAAUCAAACAAUAAACAAAACAAAAUAGUCCAAAAACGUAAAAGUCUAGUUCAAUUAUACAGUCCAAAAAAUAGAAAAAAUACAAAAAUAUAAAUCCUAGUCUAAAACUAAAUCUAAGCUCCAAUGCCCUACCCAACGCCGCGGACCUUAUCAUUUUUUGCCAACAUGAUACGUCGGGGCAUUCCCCGGUGAAUAAAUAAAAGUGAUCUCGGGGCAUUCGCCGGCUAAAUAAAUACAUCUAAAUUAAAUACGAUAAACUAGAAAGAAACAUUCACACGCACAUUCCAAUAUCCAACAAAACACUUAUUCCUAAAUUUCGCCUACCCGAACCUACGAUUGCCUACCUGCUUGACUUACCAUGAUACUAUCACAAAAUUGAUAAUUAGACAUGAAAGUAACAAUAACGACAAAUCAAAACAACAACAAAUCAAAAUUAAUCCUAAUUCACUUUAACGAUUUUUCAACUCGCGCUCUGAAUUCCCUUUAAACCACAUGAUUAGUGCAUGCUUCGAUUUUCCAAUCACAUCUCAUAAUUCGAAACCAACAUCAAACACAACACAAACAACGAAGAUUCAAACCAAACACACAACAAAUAAAUCAUCCACACCAACAACAUCAAUAAAAAGUCAAAAUAAAUUAAAUAUUCGGUUAGAAGAAAUGGACCUUGACGAAACUAAUCCUUGUCGAUAACAAAGAAAUCCGAAGACCAAAAUACUCGAUCGGAGAACCUCACAACGAACAACUCCAAACUCGAUAUUGAUUUCAACAGGACAGAUCGGAAAACCAUGACAAAAACCUCACGAUGAAUAACCCACAAAUCCGAAUAAACUUCAAAAAAACAACCCAAGAUCCCAGAUCCAAAACCCCAAAUCAACGAUUUCCAACUAUCCUUGCACGACGAAAUAAGAAAUACCAAAUGAACCAAGACUGAAAUUAUGUAAAAUCGAAAAGAACCAAUACGCGAAAUCUCGUCGAAGUCUAAGGGACGAGCUGCGGCCGGAGCUAACCAACGCGCCGCGGCCGGAGCUGGCCGAUUCUCGGCCGGCAAACGGUGUUGUCAUCGGCGGACGAGCCGCGGCUGAUCUGGUCGGAUCUGAUAGUGACUGUUUCGCCGAUGGAGCGGCGAGGGGAGAGAAAAAGAAACACGCUGUUGCCGCUGUCGUCGGUGAAGUCGGGUCGGGUCGGCUGCUGGAUGACGCUGAGAACGGCGUUGUCGUUGGCGGUCGCCGGCCGGCGGCGAACGGUGGUGGAAGUUCAAAUUUUUAAAGAGAGGAAGAGAGAGAGUGGAGAGAGAGAAAAAAAAGCUGAUGUUAUUUUUUUUUGGAUCUGUUACUGCUCAUCUUUUUGUUGUGUAUGUGG